AUGGUACAUGAUUUUGCCCGAUUUGUAAGUCAAAAUGAAUGUUUUUCGAUGGCAAUUAAUGGUAGUGAAGAACCAAACGCCACAAACUCUCUUGAUGAGAAGGUCCGUCAUUUAAUGUUAAUCUUUAGUAAAGGGGCUUCAUUACCUGUUUCCACUCGUAGAGUUAAAAGAAUGCGUACCCUCGUAAUUAACGAUAGUAGAUCAUUAAAUGGCGAGAUCCUAGAAGAAUUAUUUAGGGAAUUGACAAGUUUAAGGGCAUUAGAUUAUGGCGGAUCGCCCCACUCAAGGCCGUUGUUGACUGCGGAGGUUCCAAGAAACAUAGAAAAGCUGGUACAUUUGAGAUACCUUAAUUUGUCUUUUCAGAAAAUAGUGAAACUACCGGAGACAUUGUGCGAGUUGUAUAAUCUAGAAAAGUUAGAUAUUAGUUGUUGUUUGUAUCUUAGAGAAUUACCUGAAGGGAUUGGGAAGUUAAUAAACAUGAAGCAUUUACGAAAUAGAGGUACUAGUUCUUUAAGGUACAUGCCAGUAGGGACUGGGAGAUUAACGGGUCUUAGGACCUUGGGUCAGUUCCAGGUGAGUGCAGGAGGAGGUGUUGAUGGUAGGAAAGCAUGUAGGCUUGAAUCUCUUAAAAAAUUGGAACACCUUCAAGUAUGUGGUAUACGUAGACUGGGUGAUGUAUCAGAUGUGGGCGAGGCUAAGCGAUUAGAACUUGACAAAAAGAAAUACCUCUUCAGUUUGACCCUUGAGUUUGAUAAGAAGGAAAGAGGAGGAGAAACGAGGAAGAACGAGGACGAUCAACUUCUUCUUGAAGCCCUGCGACCACCUCUGGAUUUAAAGGAAUUAGUGAUACGGUACUACCGAGGCAACACUGUUUUCCCCAGCUGGAUGACGUCAUUAAUCAACUUAAAGAGUUUAGAUCUCUCUUCCUGCGAAAAUUGCGAGCAGCUGCCUCCUUUGGGAAAAUUGCCGUCCCUUGAAAAACUCGGCCUAUCGGACAUGAAGAGUGUGAAAAGAGUGGGUGAUGAAUUUUUGGGGAUAGAAAGUGAUCAUCAUGGCUCAUCUUCAUCUUCAUCGGUUAUUAUUGCCUUCCCCAAAUUGAAAUCACUCUCAAUUGAGUUUCUGCGCGAAUUGGAGGAGUGGGAUUAUGGGAUUACAAGAACGGGAAACACCGUCAUCAACAUCAUGCCACGUCUUUCUUCAUUGACAAUUGUUGAUUGCACCAAAUUAAAGGCACUGCCCAACCACAUUCAUCAAACGACAACGUUGAAGGAAUUGUGCAUUGUGGAUUGUGAGCUUCUGGAAGAACGUUACCGCAAGGGGGAAGGAGAAGACUGGCCUAAGAUAUCACACAUUCCCAACAUAGAUAUUUUUUAAGAAGGAUUUGCGCAUUCGAGAUUUGGCGUUGACAAGUAAUUUCUUCUCUUACUCUGAUUUGCUUUGUUGUUGUUUUUAAUCUAAUUAAGAAGCGUAAAUAGCAUUUUGAAUCAAACUCUAUAUCCGAAAUCUGCAAUACAUACUUUCUAAUAUUCUGAUUUUCAUAUCCUACCAUUUUUAAUUUGUGAGAUGGGUAACGUUACUGUAAAAGAUUAUUAAUGGAACAUGAGUAAUUCUUUUGCAGGACAAGUGACCUACAUUUAGUUUGGCUUUGGAGUUGAAUAAUAACCUUUCAAGGCCAGGACCCAAAAGCAGGAAAAACAAAAAAAGGAACGAAGCUUAAUUUUGCCACAGAUUACAUGUAUUGCCAUUAUUGACAAGUUUCUGGACAAGUGAUCAAGGGUGAGAGUGGUGCUACAACAUUGAAUAAAGCAGUCGUGACUGAAUUUAGGUUGUGUCAAAAGUGGUAAAUUAUUUGCAUGUGUAGCUAAUUUGACCAUUUCCUGAUCUAUAAGUCUAUAUUAAUUUUGAUUUUUAGUUGAGUGAUUACAUUUCAAGGUUUGCUUACUUAACAGGGCGACCAAUUUCUUUUAACUAAAUGUAUUAUAUGAUGCAGGAAGCAAGGCAGGAUAUGAAAUAAGAAGCUUAUUAAUGGCAGUUGGCAGUGAAUGGAGGCCCUUGACUAAAUUCUCAAGCGGUUGCACUGCAAUUACGCUUAUCCGUAGCCUCAGGUAAUUUCUUCUUCUGCAUUUUUGUAAUUUGUUAUCUAAUUAAGGGGCGUGAGCUAUUUUGAAUCAAAUUCUAUAUCAGGAAUAUAUGCAACAUUUUUUAAAAUUUUGAUAUGAGAGUAAUGAUGGUAAUUUCUCUUUUUUGUCUGUCAUCGAAUGUUAAAUAACAUUCACUAAGACUCUUGAGAGUCAUUUUUUGACAAUUGCAGGACAAGCGACGAAGAGUGAGAAUGGUGUUAGAUUGGGGAUUGAGGCAAAAGGAGGUAAAUUAUUGGCAGAGAAUUUGGGAGCUUGAGUGUACAGGGAUUUGCAAUUACAAUCUUACUCUGCCUUAGGUGAUUUCUUCUCCUGCUUUGUCAUUGGUUGUUCUCUAGUUGAAAAGCAUAAAGUAUUUCAAUCAAAUUCUAUACCAAGAAUAUGCAAAACUUUAUUUCCAUCUGUUUGCAUUGAUAACUUUGCGGCAUAUGCGCUAGUUAAAGAACAAACAGAAACAGAGGUCAGGAACAAGUUUCCUCUGCCGUCAUAUUUGAAAAUGCAACCAUUUCCGGGAAGUAGUUGGCAGCAAAUUCAUAUAAAGUGUAGACAAUAAUGAGCAAAAAGGUGAUUCACAAUUUUAUUUUUUUUAAAUUAAUUGUUAGGUUGGAGUUGUUAAAAGGCCAUUGAGCUAACCUAUGUCAUUAGUUACCUAGAUUGCAGGGGGUCCCGAGACUCCAAAGAAGCAUUGAAUUUUAAAAGGCAUGCAAUAAUUCUUGUGGGCGUAUGAGUUUGAUUUAGAAUCAAACUCUAGAUCAGAAAUCUGCAAUGCAUAUUUUCUAAUAUUCUGAUUUUCAUAUCCUACUAUUUUUAAUUUGUGAGAUGGGUAACGUUACUGUAAAAGAUUAUUAAUGUAAUAUGAGUAAUUCUUUUGCAGGACAAGUGACCUACAUUUAGUUUGGCUUUGGAGUUGAAUAAUAACCUUUCGAGGUCAGGACAACAAAAAAAUGAAUCUUAAUUUGCCACAGAUUGCACUUAUUGCCAUUAUUGACAAAUUUCUUCACAAGGGAUCAAGGGCGAGGAUGUUGAUAGAAUAUUGAAUAAAGCUGCCGUGACUGAACUUACGUUGAUGUCAAAAGAGGUAAAUUAUUGGCAUGCCUGACUAUUUUGACCAUUACAUGAACAUGAGUUUACAUUAAUUUUGAUUUUGAGUUGAGUGACUUUUUAAGGUUUGCUUACUUAACCGGGUGAUGUGAUGCAGGAAGCAGGGCAGGAUAUGAAAUGAGAAGCGUAUUAGUGGAAGUAUUGCCAGUAACAGAACCCAAAAAAAAGUGGAACCAUUUUAAGGCAGCAGUUGGCAGUUGGGAGUGAAUGGAGGCCCUUGACAAAAUUCUCAAGCAGUUGCAAUGCAAUUACGAUCAUCCUCAGCCUCAGGUAAUUUCUUCUCCUGCUUUGUUGUUAUUUGUUACCUAAUUAAGAAGCAUAAAGUAUCUUGAAUCAUUUUCUGUAUCUGGAAUAUAUGCAACAGUCUCUAAAAUUUUGAUGACUGUAAUGAUUGUAGUUUCUGCUUUCUGUCCGACAUCGAAUGUAAGACGACUUUAUUAAGACUCUUGAACCGAGACAUUUUUGACAAUUGAAGGGCAAGUGCUGAAGAGUGGGAAUGGUGCUAGAUUGGGGAAUAAAGCAAAAGGAGGUAAAUUAUUGGUAGUUUCUGCAGCCUUGUUUUCUUUGAAUCAGCACCUGAUUCACAAGACUCCAUUAAUUUGGCUUUUGAUGAGCUGAGUGAUAAAUUUUCAAUUUCUUUGGUGCUAAAUGUAUGUGUGAAGCAGGUAGCAGGGCAUGACUGUGGAAAAGAGAAGAUUUUAGUGAAAGCUGAAACUCAGAUAAUUCUACAUUUAUCUAAUUCACGAAAUUUUAUUUCCAUCUGUUACAAGAUCAAACUGAAGCAGAACUCAAAGAAAGUAAUCUACUUCUUGCGGCAAUCUUGCCUUCGCUCAGAUUAUGAAACCAUUUCCAUGCACCAAAUUCAUCCAAAAGUUUGAAUAAGUUUCAUGGUUGGACACUGUUGGCUUCUUUUUCUUUUGGGGUGCAUUUUGGUGCUACCAAGUGACAGCUGCAAGUAUGAUUGCACUAACCUGCUGCUGGGAAAUUUGAGGUUUUGAUGGCUGCCCAUGUUAUUGUCAAGAAACUCCUCAUGUAAGAAGCUGUGGUUCUUUUCAUCAGCUUGAACCUGAAACUGUUGCUAUGGAUAACUCACGUUUUUAUUCUCAACUAUAUCAUCUUUUUUAGUGUUUUGAAACUCUUAAGAUUAAACUUUGGUAAAAUGUUUUCAGUUAUCCAUGUAAUCAGGCUGAGGAUAAUUUAGUAAAGUUGUUUCCGCUAUUCAAAUGAAAAACCCCAUUGAUUUUAACCAUGAUAAAGCUAAUGUUCCCAAUGAUUACUGCAGGUGAGACUUGUGAAGAGGGUGAGUGAGGCAACUGCUAAAAUUCCUGGCUGGGAUACAGUAACUAGAGGCUGAGAUCAGGUGGUGGAAUUUUUUGUUCCGUGGAUGAUACCAGAAUUGUCCAGAAAAGAUUUGUUGAUACUAAUUACAGAUGAUAGAAAGAGGUAUAGGUGGAGAAGAGAAAUCUGCGAGUCAAAUUAGGGAUAAUUGAUUCUGAUACUAGUUAUAUUGAAAAUAAUAAUAACAAUUGCAUGAAGAUAGUCAAUAUUCUUCUCUAGAUAUAUUGUAUGGACUUCCUUGCUGCCUUUAUCUAUGUGCAUGUUGACUAAAGCUAAUCUAGAAUCAAUAGAGAGGGAUAUUUAUCUAUUUUGUUUAACAUAAGAGUGCUGUAUAAUUUUUCACUAAAUACACCUACAACAAACUAUUAAUAAUAAAGUGAUAGAAGAAUGCCUAAAAUAUAGGUAUUAAUGUCAUAAUAAGCCCAUGUGGAUCUCAGUGCCGCAAGUUCGAUAAAUGGCUAUCAAGGAUUGCUUAUUAAGUCAAAAUAUUCAAAGGACAAAAUGGUAAAACUAUAAGGGUGGAGUAAUAUGGCUAUCUUGGGUUACAUAGUAAGUCAACUACAUUCAAAGUAUAAAAUAUUAGAACCUGAACGGCGGAGUAGUCGUCGUUAGAACCUGAACGGCGGAGUAAUCGUCGUUAGAAUCUGAAUGAUAUGUCUAAGACGUUGCAUGCAUCUAGAAAAUUGCAGAUGAUUAGACCUUGCCAUCUAUGCGUUGUAUGAGGUUAUAGCAACUAUCUAUCUGGUCACCGUUUUCAAGUCUCAAUUGGUAGUCCAAACUCCAAAGAAAAGAAUGAUUCUACAAUAGCAUUAAGUGUUAAUUGGACACAAAAAGAAAUGUUUUAACCACUUUAAGGAAAGUAAAUGUAAUUUUGUGUCCUAAAGAAAAGGUAAAUGUAUGCACUGUCAAUUAAUCUUUGGUCGACCAGCAACAUCAUAAUUUUGUGUAGGUUCAUUUUUGUUUCUUAGAGUUUGUAAAAAGAAUGGGAAGAUUUUAAAAUAUAAAUUUCAUAUCUGUUUAUUACUGUUGUUUGGUCUAAUUUCUUAUGUAGAAUUUUCAGAAUCUGUAGGACAUUAGUUUAUAAUUUUGAGAUUUUGCAGCCAUAAAUGUUUUUUUUUUCUUUUUUCUUUCUUUUUUUUUUUGUUGGCAUUUUAUUUUGCUCCUUUAUCUAUGUGCAUGUUGACUGGCUGCAGUGAGUGAAAAUUUACCCAUAUAUGCUGGCUAUUCUUGGACAAUAUUAGAGAAAAUAAUCAUAUUAUUUCGCUUGAUGUGAACUUCCAUAACUUAUCAAUUGAAUUGCUGUAAAAUAUUAAAUAGUUUUAUUUUUCUUUUAUCGUGUAACUUGGACCAAAAAAGGAAAUGAGUUUAACACGACCCUCAUUCUGCUUCUUGCUUUGGUUUCAAACAAGUCUUUCUCCUUUAUGACAUUUAUUGUAAUUUCAUUUGGAGACAUAUAUCUGUCGUUCAAAUAUAUUUCAUACGUAAGCUGUUAAUAAUUCUGCUUGCAGAAAGCCUACAAAGCAGCUGUGUGAUGUAAUAGAAGACCAUAGUCUCGUCAAUUUUUCAACAUUAGAUAUUCAGGUCAUCAGCUUCUCAUGAAUUCUUUCCUGAGUUUCUUUGAAUUAUUUGUGAUGUAAUAACUUGUGCAUUUGAGAAACUGUUCUCAUGAAUUCUUUCCUGAGUUUCUUUGAAUUAUUUGUGAAUAAGUUCCUAAUCGGCUGCUUCUCCUCAGGAUAAGGAAAGUGUUGCAAACUGGUGAAGCAGCUGAUAGAUAAAAGCAAUGGGUACAUCUUUGCUGGCAUGGAUCGAUGCCAGUGCGGUUGAAUUCAGCAAGACUGCCGUUCGUGAUGUUGUUGAUUGGGAUUACAUUAAGGAUGAUGACAACAUUGAUUAAAAUGGGACGUGAAGAUAUAUGGUGUGCAAAUUAACCCAACCCAACCAAACCCGUACAUUUUAUCAACCCAACCCAACCCAACCCGUAAAAAAUCACACGGAUUAGGUUGGUUUCACGGAUUGGGCGGGUUAAUUCUAAUUUCUUUAUAAGUUUACCAAAAUUAGAUCUGCUUACCUUUGUUCAUUCAGCAACAACACUUACAAUUCACAGCUAGAGAAUCUAUCCAUUGACAAUUGUGGAUUAAAAUUAUAACACCUGAAUUCAAACAUAUCCUUAUGAAGUUAUGAAUUUGUUCAUACUUCAAAUGAUUUUUUUUUUCCAAGCUAAUAAAGCAACGACUUUGAUCAAACGACGACGUUGAAGGAAUUACGUAUUUUCAAUGUCCUUUGCCAGACAGACGCUGGAGAGAGGGAAAGGAGAAGACUGGCCUAAUUAAGAUAUCUCACAAAGAUUAUUAUUGAGUUAAAAUGUUAUUGUAAAAGAUGUUUAAUACAAUAAUAGUACUUCUUUUGCAUUGUUAUAAUGAGGCUGGCGGGUUUCCUCAGAGGAUGGAUCUGGCUCGCUAGUAUGCAUUUGGGAAGCUGCUAAUUAUCGGCCAUAAAAAGUCAGGGGGUUGUGGCUCGUCCGUCGCCCAGAAAUUCCUAAACUCAUAUAUCAAACUUCAGAUGAACUUGGGCAUUAUGUAAAUAUGUAUUUUUGAGAAUUAAACUAGUGCGUUAGAAAAAUUUUGAGCCAUUGUAAUCAUUUUAUUUUGCUAAGAGAAAAUUUUACUCUGUGUUUCGCUUUGCCUUUUGUUUUUUCUGUGAUAAUAUGAUUCAUACGAAUGUGAUUACACACUAUCAUGCAUCUAUUUUCAUUUGCUUGUCAUGAAUGAUCAACAUGCUCGAAAUAUUUAUUUAGGUUGGAAAUAUUUAAAUCUAUUAAAAUACUAUACACACCCAUUUAAAAAUAAAAAUAUGAUUAUCAUAAUGAUCGCGAAGAUAACACGAUAUCAUACAUAAAAUAAAAUAUUUCGCAAAAAAGAAAAGAUACACUUGAAUACAUUGGUAUAAAAAAUAUUUUAGUGGAUUCAAGUAGCACUAAUGCCCCCUUAUCAAAAAAUAUAUAAAGAUAACUAAUCUGAUUGGGUAUACCGUGUGUGUGUGUAAUAUUUUUUGAUAUUAUUAUAUAAUAUUUUUUAAAAAGAAGAGAGUGGGCAAAGUCCAAAUCAAUUUUCUAAUCCCUAUCUCCUUUAGGAUUUCUAGUCAAAGAGGCUAAAUUGCACGAAAUUGUGCUAGCUUAUUUGAUUUUAAAAUUUUCCAAUGCACUGUAACACACUCUCAUGCUUGUACAUAGCUCGAAAAUCUCUAGAAUUUACCAGAGUAGUGUACCAUGUAGCUUGUACAUAGGUUUUUCUGGAACACUCCAAGCGUUACUAAGCAUAAGAGCUUUGAGAACUCUCUAGACAUAAAACAUUCAAGGGUAGGCCUACCCUAAAAAUAGGGCAUGAUGAUUGCCAUUUGAGCAUACAAGAAGUAAGAACAAAUCAAGUAUAUUUGUAAGCUCCCAAACUCUCUCGUACACACUCUUGUGAAUAAUAUGCUUUCUCUUUGACUACAUUACUCUCUCUUCUCUCUAGUUUUUUUCGUAAGUAUCAUAGCUUAGCUAGUCGAAAAGUUCAAGUAGGAAUGAUAAUUUUUCCUGACAGGAUGUGGGAUCCCAUCUCAUUUGGGACGGGAUUGGGACACAUUUUUAUCCCACAAAAAAAUAUAGGGACGGGAGUAGAAAUUUUUUUAUCCCACUUGUAUAUAUGGGACAGGACUGAGAUUAACAAAUUCAGUCUCGUCCCGUCCCGUCUCAUUACCAACUAGGGAUGGAAAUUUUUCCAAUUGGGAUGGGCUCUCGCAGAAUCCCAUUUAUUUUGGGAUGCAAUUGAGACAUAUUUUUAUCCCAAAAAAAUAUAUCGAGAGUGAGACUUUUUUUUAUCCCACUUGCAUAUUCGGGACGAGACUGAGAUUAGUAAAUCUCACCCUAUCCCAUCCCAUUGCCAACCCUAAGUUCAAGGCUUACUUUGCAAUUAUCUCAUAAAAGUUGUUUUAAGUACCACAGGAGUUUGUUGUGCAAAAUACUCAUCCCGUGACAUUAGCUAAAUAAAAUUAUUUGAAAGCCACUUACCCAAACUAUUAAACAAAUAUUAUUCUUUUAAUAUGUAAUCUUUUAAUAUAAAACUUUUGUCUUAAUUUUCUAUCUCCUACAAUAAAUUUUAUGAUUUUAAAAAUUGAAAAAAUUAGUAACUUUUAGAUAGAGCAUUCCUUACUGUGAAAAGAAAUAUGAAUGGUAAUAUAAAACUUACUUAUUAUAGUAUAAUGCUUUUAGUUUUUUGAAAUAUAGGUUCUUAUUUUUUUCAAGAUAAAGUUCAAAGAAAACAAGUUAAAUGUUGUGGAAAAUCUUACGCACAUACAAUAAAUUAUGACAGCUAAAUGCAAACCUGGCUGAAGUAUUAGUUGUUUUAUUACAGAGACAAAAGGACAAUAUCACUAUCCAAGUCAAAAGCAACUCAAUGUGAGUCUUAGGGCACUCGCAGUGAAUCCCAAGAUAAACUAAUUUCACUAGCAAGUUGGAUACCAAAGAGUAAGGCUUCAGCCUCAAUUAUAUUAACAUUAGCUGAGUAAACAUUAAAUACCACAAUCAAUCUCAGAAAUCAUAAUUAAACUAUCAUGAUUAAAAAUAAAGUUUUUUUUUUAGAUAUCCGUUUGUAGUAUCUCUUUAGAUGACAAGUAGGAGAUAAAGUAAAUAAAUAUUGGUUGCGUAAAUAAAAAUAAAUAAAUUUUUUAACUGAAAAAAAAAUUCCUAAAAACUAAAUAGUUCAAACUUUUUUUAACAUGAAAUAAAUAUUUGAUGCGUAAAUAAAAAAAAUUUAACUGAAAAAAAUUCCCAAGAACUAAAUAGAUCAAACUUUUUGUUUAACAUCAUGGGUUUUGUAUAUUCAAUUGAACCGAACAACUAAAUUAAAUCGAAAUUACCAUGUUCGGUUCAAAUGAAUAGACGAAAACCGAACAGUUUAUAUUUUUAUGAACUGAUGGUGCGUUUACUUCAUGAAAUGAAAAUAUGGUGGAAUGAGAAUGUGUUAAAAUGAAAAUGAGGAAUGAGAAUGAGAUUCUAAUGUUUAUUUAGUAAAAAUAAAGGGAAAUGAGAAUGUGCUGGAAUGUCAUUGAUGUGUUUAUUUGACAAAAUAAAUGACAAAAGUAUCAAUUCGGAUCCUGCUAAUGAUAGUUUGCCAUAUCCUUUGUCAUUGAACUUUCUUACAAAUGCUGUGGUUUGUUGUAGUAUAAUUAGUUCAAUCAGAAACUUCCUUGAUGUUAAUAUAGAUAUGAGUGUGCUGUGAAUAUUGAGGACUUCAUUAGACUAAGUGAUGUGAUGAUGGAGCAUUCACUUGGUCCCAAUGGAGGUUAGUCAGCCCAUUGUUGUUUACUCUUUCUUGCUUUAUCACGCAAUGAUAUUCCUUUGCUUCACAACAAAUUUCAUGAAAUUAACUUCAAUCGAGUGGCUAUGUUCAUACGCUAUUGAGAUUUUAUGGACAAUGAUUUGGUAGACUUUAUAUGCCGUCUUCUUUCUUUUUGCAGUGAUAUGUUUGUAUGCAAUGCACUUGUACUUGUUCUAUGGUUUCUAAAGUAGGCGUUUUUAUGAUAAACUAGGUCUUGGGUAUUGUAUGGACUAUCUAGAGAAGAAUAUUGACUGGUUGCAGUCGAAAUUGGAACCACUUUUGAAAGGUAAGAAGUGGCCAUUUUCCUUCAUUCUAAUGCCAAUAAUGCUGUCAUGAGACUCAUAAAAAUUGUUAAAACGUUAAUGUUUUUGGUAUUUUGCAGAUCAUUAUCUUCUGUUUGAUUUUCCUGGCCAAGUUGAAUUAUUUUUUCUUCAUUCCAAUGCCAAGAAUGUUAUAAUGAGACUCAUAAAGAAGUUAAAUCUCAGGGUAUUGUUACAUCUUACGUCUAUGAAGGGACUCAAAGAGUUGAGAUGAAUUCAUCAUUAUUAUUUUGAUGCCAGAAUUGUGCAAUUCUCAGUUGCUUCCUUUCACAUGCAGUUGACUGCAGUGCAUCUAGUUGAUGCGCAUCUUUGCAGUGACCCCGGGAAGUAUGUUAGUGCUUUGCUUCUCUCGUUGUCGACGAUGCUACAUCUGGAAUUUCCCCCAUGUCAAUGUCUUGUCUAAGAUCGGCCUGAUUGAGAAUUAUGGAAAGCUAGGUGUGGUUUUAAGUGUAGCUCUCCUACUUGUUUGUUUAGAUUGAGAUAUCAGAUAUUGUCACAAGCUCCUAUCUGCUACAUUUCCUCACCAAUCAAUUACUUUGGGUAUGUUGCAGCUUUUAAUCUCGAGUACUAUACGGAUGUGCAAGAUUUGUCAUUUUUACAGCAUGCUCUGGGUCAGGACCCUCGUUCUGCUAAGUAUAGGUUUGAAUUCUAGCUGAAUCAAUGAUGCAAAUUAUGUCCAUUGCUAUUUCUGACUGUCGUUUCUAUCAUUUUCAAUUGUUACCUCCCCUUGCCAUCUACUGCCAUACUGCAAUGCCCACACAAAUGUUAUGAAAUUUGUCAAUGGAAAUGACAUUCUAUUUGUCCAGAGACAGCUCUUAGAUGCAAGUGAACAAUUUUUGGCUUUGGCCGUAGUACAGCCUUAGAUUUCAACUUGCCAUAUCUUGUCUCGGAAGUCAAAAGAAAGCAUAUAUGUUAGCCAAAUUUUAUUUGAAUUUCUUGUGUAACAAUGAAUGGGGAAAAAAAACAGUUCCUCUUUUGUUUUGAUCAGACUCAAUGAAUAAGUGGUUAAAAUGUGCCUGUACUAGAAAUAUAGAUGUGUGGUUUCAUAAAAUUUUCUUGAUCUUAAGAAAGAGUUAUCUUGAAAAGAAGAUAACAUGGGGAAUUGAACAACUAUACAGUCAUAUUGAUGUCUGUCAACUUGGGUCAUAUGGUGUCGUUUGGAUGGAGAUGUUAGGUCCCAGAUGGUAAACUUGUUAUCGAAUUCCAGUCUACUUCAUUCAUGCUUUGAUGACAUAUGUGGUGCAGCUUCUUAUCUAAGACCUGCAUAUGUUACAGUCAACAUUCUGUUCUGUAUUUGGCUGCCAUUCUUUUCAAUGAAUUCAAACCACUUUCUGAAUACUUGGAAAUUCAUCCAGUGUUGUCAUUGAGAUGCCAAUAUGAAAAGAAGCCAUAAUUGCCCUUGAUAGUAUGCUUAUUGAUUGCCUCUUGCCUCACUCAACCUCAGGAAUCUGCUUGUAUGGUGUUCUUCUAAUUUCAAUUGGAGAUAAAUAAUAUCUGUUGUUCAAAUAUAUUUUAUUUACAAGCUGUUAAUAAAUCUGCUUGCAGAAAGCUUACAAAGGAGCUGUGUGAUGUAAUAGAAGUCUACAGUCUGGUCAAUUUUUCAACCUUAGAUAUUCAGGUCACCAGUUUCUCUUGAAUUCUUUCUUGAGUUUCUUUGAAUUAUUUGUGAAUAAGAUCUUAGUUGACUGCUUCUCUUCAGGAUAAGGAAAGUGUGGCAAAACUUGUGAAGCUGAUAGGUAAAAGCAAUGGGUACAUCUUUGCUGGCAUGGAUGCCAGUGCAGUUGAAUUCAGCAAGAUUGCCGUUCGCGAUGUUGAUUGGGAUUAUUUCGGAUAUCCUUCUUUUCACCUAUUUUCAAUCUUGUUAUUCUCAUAUUCAUAAAACUUUUUGGUUAUUUAAUUAUGGUUCAUCAUAUGCAUCUGCAUCUUCUAACUUGUUCGUUUGAGAAACUAAUUUUGCCGUUAGGUAGGCUUCGAGCUUGAUGAGUUGAUUCAUGCUUUUUCAUAAAUGUACCAAAAUCAUGGAAACUUCUUUUUCCCAGAUAUUGUAUCCACACUUUUCCCAUAUAAUUGGGUCAGACAAGUUUUGCUUAACAAAGAUAUCUACAGUAGCCGAAGUGCAGGAGAAGUACAUUAAGGAUGAUGACGAUGUUAACUAAAAUGAGACGUGAAGAUAUGUGGUGUGCAAACCGUAAGCCUGCCUCUUAAUUUUGUGCAUGUUUACUUGCUUGUGAUUCACGUUUGUUAAUCUAUUUUGCUCUCUUGCAGGAGUUAUAAAGUUUUCAAUCAAUCAAACAUUUAACUCAAGUCCUUAGCUCUUCACGGCUUGAAUGGGUCAGAUAGGACAAGCGCCGAAGAGGUGGUUUUAAUCAAACCCCUCCUAAUUAUGAUGUAUGGUCCGAAUCUCGGACUUUUUGUACAAUAUCAAGCGAUUUUUUUUUGGUUGAAUCGGCUAGUGUACGCAAAUGUCGAUUAUUGAUUUUUCUCCAGUAUUGUUUGUAAUUACAAGAAACGAAGUAAUGAAAUUUAUCACUGCGUUCAUAGUUAUGCUUAAGCUCAAAGAUUACCGUCAAGAUCAUUUUGGGCCCUCAAAGAAACAUGAUGUUGACACAUGUAAAAUUAUGAAGCUUGUGAUUAAAAUACUUUUCACAUAUAUAUGUUAAGUUCUAUUAAUAAUUAAAUAUAUGAAUAAAUAUGGUCAAUGAGGAGAGGAUAAAAUAAAAUGGUUUCAUUUUUUGAAUUACCCAUCCGCUUCAAACUUCUAAGAAGUAGAUAUACAAUCAGUGGAAUACUGAAUUGAGUACGAGCUGCGGAUAACUUAUAAAAUUGGGAUACAAGCUUCAAGGAAAGUGUAUUGCUAUUCAAAUGUAGAUUUCAAAUUAAGAAGAUAUGCCAACAAAUUAUUCUAAAUGAUGAAAUGAGCUAUCUUGAUCAAAAGGUCAAGAACCUACCUUACUUCUCUUAGAGAUAACUUGCAUCAACCGUUGUGGUAUUGAUACUUGUCUUCAGCUAGUAAAAGUGAAAGUUUCACAAUUGAAAUAAAGCUAAGGGAAGAUGCUAUGCUCCAUUUAUUAUUAUUAUUAUUAUUGACGUGGUCGAGAAGUAAAGCCGUGCAUAUGAUGAAGUAUAAAUAAGAAUGCAAUAGCCCGGAAUUCAUUUACACAAACACUUCAAUAUCCUUUCGAUCACUUUUGCAAACAUCAAUUUGUCUCCUCUUGUAUUCACCAUGGUUGAUGCCAUCGUUUCCCCUCUCGUGGAGCAGCUGACUUCCUUCGCUGCUAAAGAGAUAAUACAACAGGUGAUCGAAGUUACACCCCCCAUAGUAUAAAUACUUCUAAUGAUUUUAAUUGGUUUUGUUUUUAUCGAAAACAUUAACUUUGCUUUAUUUUACGCAUUUAGGCAUUUUAAAUUUUGAAAUUUGAAUUGAAUUUAAUUAAAAUGUGAUUUAGUUAGUAACCACUUUUUUUUUUCAUUUAUAUUCUCAAUAACUACCCAUAUUUUGGUAACUUACUGUAACCCCCGUAUCUAAGAAAUUAUCAAAACCCACAAUUUUAACUCCACAUAAAUAUUCCAUGUUGAGCUAAGUUCGAUGUUGAGGUAAGUUUUUUGCAUAACAUUCAAAUUUGUCAAAUAGUCAUUAAUUUAAUGUUUAGUAAAAACUCAUCUCUGAAAAAUUUCAUAAUUUUCUUACAUUAUUUGAGUCUGGUAAGUGACUUCAUAUAAUUUCUUUUCAAUUUAAAUUUUAAUUUGGUUUCUGAUAUAGUCUCUUUACUGAAUUUAUAUCUUUUAUGAUUCUUGGAUUUUGGGCUCCAACUUUUUAGGAUUUGAUAGUCACAUUUUAUGGCAUGCUUAGAUUGAUGUUCAUGAUUUUUAGUACUCGUUAAGUGACUGAGAAUUUGACAAAAGUUUGAAAGGAAAUCCGUUUCACGAUUCUUAUGUGGAAGGUUCGUAAAAUCAUGAAAUUUGGAUAGGAUUCAUUAGCAAUAUGUACAAGACUGUCCAUAAAGUUUCAUAAUUUUUCAUUCGGUCGGGGGUGGUACAGGUGAAACUUGUGGUUGGUGUUGAAGAAGAAGUGAAAAGCCUUACCAGCCACCUUCAAGCCAUUCAAGCUGUGCUCAAUGAUGCAGAGGAAAAGCAAGUGAAGGACAAAGCUGUUAGACAUUGGCUGGGUAGGCUCAAGUAUGCAUCCUACGACAUUGAAGAUGUGUUGGAUGAGUGGAUCACAGCUAGACACAAAUUGCAAAUUGAGGGUGGCGUUGAUGACAAUGCUCUUGCUGCUCCUCAAAAGAAAAAGAAGGUAUGUUUCUGCUUUCCUGCCUCUUGUUUUGGAUUCAAACAAGAAGAAUUUGGUUUCAGACAAGUCUUUCUACGUUAUGACAUUGCCAACAAGAUCAAAGAAAUGAAUGAAGAGCUACAUGCUAUUGCUACUCAAAAAGACAUGUUUAAUCUUGUUAAGAGUGGCAAUAAAAGUGGUGAAAGACCAAGGCGUGUACAGAGUACCUCCUUGAUUGAUGAGGAAGAGAUUUGUGGUAGAGUUGGUGAGAAGAAUGAACUCAUAAGCAAGCUGUUGCGUGAGAGUAGCGAGCAACAAAAAGGCCUCCAUAUCAUCUCAAUUGUUGGUAUGGGAGGCAUAGGGAAAACUACUCUUGCACAACAAGCUUGUAAUGAUGACGAGGUGAAGAGAAAGUUUGACAAAAUUAUGUGGGUGUGUGUAUCAGAAACUUUUGAGGAGUUUAGGGUUGCCAAAGCAAUGGUUGAAGCUUUGGAUGGUCGUGAAUCUCAUUUAGGUGAAUUCCAAUCUCUUCUUAAACAUAUUGAUGAAUCCAUUGCAGGGAGGAGCUUUCUUCUUGUCUUGGAUGACGUAUGGGAUGGAAAUUACGUGAGAUGGGAACCAUUCUAUCGUUGUCUAAAGAAUGGUCUCCAUGGAAGUAAAAUUAUAGUUACCACACGUAGUGGGUCCGUUGCAUCCAUGAUGGGAUCCAUAGAUAUUAUUCCCAUUAAGGAAUUAGCUGAAGAGGAAUGUUGGUUGUUGUUUAACAAGAUAGCAUUUUUUGGUAGGCCUAUCGAGGAACGUGAAAAAUUCGAACGAAUUGGGCGAAGAAUUGCAGGCAAGUGCAAAGGUUUACCUCUUGCUGCAAAGAUAUUAGGGAGUCUUAUGCGCUCUAAACAAACUGAAGAAGAGUGGAAAAUAAUUUUAACUAGUGAUUUAUGGAAAGUAGAAGAGAUUGAGAAAGAUGUUUUGUCCUCUUUAUUGUUGAGUUACAAUGAUUUGCCAUCUAGAGUAAAAAGAUGUUUUUCAUAUUGUGCUGUCUUUCCAAAAGACUACAAUAUAAAAAAAGACAAACUAAUUACAUUGUGGAUGGCUCAAGGUUAUCUUAGUGCAGAAGAAGAUGAGGAGAUGGAGACUAUAGGUGAAGAGUAUUUUAGCAUCUUAGCUUCUCGCUCUUUCUUUCAAGAGUUUGAGAAAAGUUAUGAUAAUCGUAUUAUAGAGUGCAAGAUGCAUGAUAUGGUACAUGAUUUUGCCCGAUUUGUAAGUCAAAAUGAAUGUUUUUCGAUGGAAAUUAAUGGUAGUGAGGAACCAAACACCAUAAACUCUCUUGAUGAGAAGGUUCGUCAUUUAAUGUUAAUCUUUAGUAAAGGGGCUUCAUUACCUGUUUCCACUCUUAGAGUUAAAAGAAUGCGUACCCUCUUAAUUAACGAUAGUAGAUCUGAUCAUUCAUUAUUAAAUGGUGAGAUCCUAGAAGAAUUAUUUAGGGAAUUGACAAGUUUAAGGGCAUUAGAUUUUGGCGGAUCGUACACACAUUUUUCUUUGACUCUGGAGAUUCCAAGAAACAUAGAAAAGCUGGUACAUUUAAGAUACCUUAAUUUGUCUUGUCAGAAAAUAGUGGAGCUACCGGAGACAUUGUGCGAGUUAUAUAAUCUACAAAAGUUAGAUAUUAGUGAUUGUUUUAAUCUUAAAGAAUUACCUGAAGGGAUUGGGAAGUUAAUAAACAUGAAGCAUUUACGAAAUAGAAGUACUAGUUCUUUAAGGUACAUGCCAGUAGGGAUUGGGAGAUUAACGGGUCUUAGGACCUUGGGUGAGUUCCACGUGAGUGCAGGAGGAGGUGUUGAUGGUGGGAAAGCAUGUAGGCUUGAAUCUCUUAAAAACUUGGAACACCUUCAAGUAUGUGGUAUACGUAGACUGGGUGAUGUAUCAGAUGUGGGCGAGGCUAAGCGAUUAGAACUUGACAAAAAGAAAUACCUCAUCAGUUUGACCCUUGAGUUUGAAAAGAAGGAGGAAGGAGGAGGAAGGAGGAAGAACGAGGACGAUCAACUUCUUCUUGAAGCCCUACAACCACUUCUCAAUUUAAAGGAAUUAGAGAUACAGUACUACCGAGGCAACACUGUUUUCCCCAGCUGGAUGACGUCAUUAACCAACUUAAAGAGUUUAGAUCUCUCUUUGUGCCUAAAUUGCGAGCAGCUGCCUCCUUUGGGAAAAUUGCCGUCCCUUGAAAAACUCAGCAUAAUGUUUAUGCCUGUGAAAAGAGUGGGUGAUGAAUUUUUGGGGAUAGAAAGUGGUCAUCGUGACUCAUCUUCAUCUUCAUCGGUUAUUAUUGCCUUCCCCAAAUUGAAAUCACUUUCAAUUGAGUCUCUGGACGAAUUGGAGGAGUGGGAUUAUGGGAUUACAAGAACGGGAAACACCGUCAUCAACAUCAUGCCACGUCUUUCUUCAUUGGAAAUUAAUUACUGCCCCAAAUUAAAGGCACUGCCCGACCACAUUCAUCAAACGACAACAUUGAAGGAAUUGCGCAUUUGGGGGUGUGACCUUCUGGAAGAACGUUACCGCAAGGGAGAAGGAGAAGACUGGCCUAAGAUAUCACACAUUCCCAACCUCCAUAUUGGGCUUUGACAAGUAAUUUCUUCUCUUACUCUGAUUUGCUUUGUUGUUGUUUUUAAUCUAAUUAAGAAGCGUAAAUAGCAUUUUGAAUCAAACUCUAUAUCAGAAAUCUGCAAUACUUACUUUCUAAUAUUCUGAUUUUCAUAUCCUAUGAAUAUACGAUUUUUAAUUUGUGAGAUGGGUAACGUUACUGUAAAAGAUUAUUAAUGCAAUAUGAGUAAUUCUUUUGCAGGACAAGUGACCUACAUUUAGUUUGGCUUUGGAGUUGAAUAAUAACCUUUCGGGAACUGGUGUGGACUGGCAAAGGAUGAUGAGAUAGUUUUUUGAGUGAGUAAAUUUUGGGAGCUUGAGUGUAUUGGGAUUUGCAAUUACAAUCAUCCUCUGCUUCAGGUGAUUUCUUCUCUUGCUCUGUCAUUGUUUGUUCUCUAAUUCAAAAGCAUAAAAUAUUUCAAUCAAUUCUUAUACCACGAAUAUGCAAAAGUUUCUAAUAUUUUAUUUCCAUCUGUUACAAGAUCAAACUGAAGCAGAACUCAAACAAAAGUAUGCUACUUCUUGCGGAAAUCUUGCCUUUGUUCAGAUUAUGAAACCAUUUCCAUGCAGCAAAUUCAUCCAAAAGUUUGAAUAAGUUUCAUGGUCGGACACUGUUGGCUUCUUUUUCUUCUGGGGUGCAUUUAGGUGCUAUCAAGUGACAGCUGUAAGUAUGAUUGCACUAAGCUGCUGCUGGGAAAUUUGAGGUUUUGAUGGCUGCCCAUGUUAUUUUCAAGAAACUAUUGAUGUAAGAAGCUGUGGUUCUUUUCAUCAGCUUGAACCUGAAACUGUCGCUAUGGAUAACUCAGGUUUUUGUUAUCAACUAUAUCAUCUUUUUCACUAUUUUGAAACUCUUAAGAUUAAACGUUAGUAAAGUUGUUUCAGCUAUUCAAAUGAAAAACUCAUUGAUUUGAGACUUCCUUCAUUAUUGUUUCUAAUUACAAUGCUAACGAUCCAGAUAAGAUAAUAUUUAAUCGGCGAAGGUGUCCCUUGGAAGUACAUCCUUCUUUUUCUUUUAUUAUAUAAAUUCUUGCAAUGAGCUUAGUGAAGCUGUUGUGCUAAUCAUGCCACUGCAUAAUUUGGCCCCUAAUGUGGGUACUCUGUUACAUUGUUCUGCAAAUUCUCCAGAAGUUAAAAUCAAUAAAUUUUCUAUUAGCUCUAGUGCUUUGACCUAAAUGCUAUUCUAUAUUCUGAUUACAAUGUUUUAACCUUUAAAUUAACUACCCCUAGAUGUUGGAUUUUCUAGAACUUCAAAUUAUAUAUAACCUUUAAAUUAUAUAUUUCUGUGUCUCUAUUUAUAGAUGACAUUUAAGCAUCCAUAAACCGUCAGACAGAGGAAGGGGGUUCAGUGCAAAGAUUCUGUUGACCUAGGGUUGACUGCAUAUGUCACUUGUUCGCAAUCUAAUAUUUAUUUUAUAUUUUGAAAAAUUUAAUGGGUAAUCCUAAUUGUUUGUUUUGGCAGGUAUGUGUUGUUAUCUCCUUCUAUCUUACAGUCGUACCUAAAUAGCAUAGUUUCAUCUGUGUUACCAUGUGAUGUACAUAAUUUCACAUUUGCCUCAGAUUAAGCUUAAUUUCCCACAGAAUAGAGCUGUCGCGACUGGACUUAGUUUGAUGUCCAAAGAGGUAAAUUAUUGGCAUGCCUAGAUAAUUUGGCCAUUUCCUAAUUCAUAAGUCUACAUUAAUUUUGAUUUUGAGUUGACUGAUUUCUUUUCAAGGUCUGCUUCCUUAACGGAGUGACCAAUGUUUUUCAACUAAAUUUAUCAUAUGAUGCAGGAAGCAGGGCAGGAUAUGAAAUGAGAAGCUCAUUGGUGGAAGUAUUGCCAGUAGCAGAACCCAAUGAAAAUGAAACUAUUUCAAGGCAGCAGUUGGCAGUUGCAAGUGAAUGGAGGCCCUUGACAAAAUUCUCAAGCAGUUGCAAUGCAAUUACGAUCAUCCUCAGCCUCAGGUAAUUUCUUCUCCUGCUUUGUUUUUAUUUGUUAUCUAAUUAGGAAGCAUAAAGUAUCUUGAAUCAUUUUCUGUAUCUGGAAUAUAUGCAAGAGUUUCUAAAAUUUUGAUAUGAGUGUAAUGAUGGUAAUUUCUGUUUUCUGUCUGUCAUCAAAUGUUAGAAAACUUUCAUUGAGACCCUUGAACCGAGUCAUUUUUGACAAGUGAAGUGCCGAAGAGUGAAGAGUAAGAAUGGUGCUAGAUUGGGGAAUAAAGCAAAAGGAGGUAAAUUAUUGGCAGCUUCUUCAGCCUUAUUUUCUUUGGACCAGUGCCUAAUUCACAAGUCUCCAUAAUUCGGCUUUUGACCAGUUGAUAGAUAAAAUUUUAAUUUCAUUGGUGCUAAUGUACCCGUGAAGCAGGCAGAGAAGGACUGUGGAAAAGAGAAGGUUUUUAGUGAAAGCUUAAACGCAGGUAAUUCUAUAAAUUAUAUGUUUUUGCUGAUUUAUCUAAAUCAGGAAAUUUUAUUUCCAUCUGUUACAAUAAAACAGAAACAGAACACAAAGAAAAAUAGUCUACCUCUUGUGGCAAUCUUGCCUUCAUUCAGACUAUGAAACCAUUUCCUUUCACCAAUUUCUUCCAAAAGUUUGAACACGUUUCAUGGUUGGACAUAGUUAGCUUCUUUUUCUUUUGGUGCAUUUAGGUGCUAUCAAGUGACAGCCAUAAGUAUGAUUGCAUUAUUGGGAAAUUUUAGGUUUUGAUGGCUCCCCAUGUUAUUGCCAAGAAAUUUUAAGUCCUCAUGUCAGAAGCUGCGUUUCUUUUCAUCAGCCUGAACCCGAACUGAGGUUUUUGUCAUCAACUAUAUCAUCUUUUUCACUGUUUUGAAACUCUUAAGAUUAAACUUCAGUAAAGUUGUUUCAGUUAUCCAUGUAAUCAGGCUAAGGAUAUUUAGCAGCUUAUUUAGGCAACUGCCAGAAUUCAGUUUGUUUGCUCGAAACUUGUAUGGUGACAAGGAUACUGGCAAGGAUAGUGAGAUAGAUUUUUGUGUGAGUGAAUUUUGAAAGCUUGGGUGUUCUGGGAUUUGCAAUUGCAAUCAUCCUCUGCUUUAGGUGAUUUCUUCUCCUGUUCUGUCUUUAUUUUCUCUCUAAUUGAAAGCAUAAAGUAUUUCAAUCAAAUUCUGUACCAGGAAUACGAAAAACUUACUAAUAUUUUAUUUCCAUCUGUUUGCAUUGAUAACUUGGCCGCAUAUGUACUAGUUAAAGAACAAACAGAAGCAGAGUUCAGGAAAAAGUUUCUUCGGCCACCAUAUUUGAAAAUGAAACCAUUUCCAGGAAGCAGUUGGCAGCAAAUUCAUACAAAGUACAGACAAUGAUGAGCAAAAAGGUGAUUCGCAAUUUCAUUUUUUAAAAAUGAAAUUAUUUGUUAAGUUGGAGCUGAUAUUGUUAGAAGGCCAUUGAGCUAACCUAUGACACUACUUGCCUAGAUUGCAGGAGGUCAAGACUCAAAAGAUGCACUGAAUUUUAAAAGGCAUGCAAUAAUUCUUAUGGCCAUUUGUCAAUGGUGGAAUGCUUUUAGCUUCUUUUCCUUUCGUGCAUUUUGGGGUUCUAUCAAGCGACAGCCGUAUGCAUGGAUGGAUAUAGCCGCUGCGUUGAUUUCUAAUGCGUUGUAUGAUGUUAUAGCAACUAUCCAUCUGGUCAAUGUUUCAAAAGAAUAAAACACAGGGAAAAAGAGAAAGCAAGUGGCCAAUCAAGUAUUCAUGUCCCAAAGAAAAGAAUGAUUCGACAAUAGCAUUAAGGGUUAAUUGGACACAAGAGAAGUGUUUUAACCACUUCAAGGAAUGUAAAUGUAAUUUUCUAUUCUGAAGAAAAAGUAAAUAUAUGCACUGUCAAUUAAUCUUUGGUCAACCAGCAACAUUCAUAAUUUCGUGUAAGUUUCAUUUCUGUUUGUUGGAAAUAGCAGUGUAUUUCUUAGAGUUUGUAAAAAAUGGAAAGAUUUUAAAAUAUAAAUUUCACAUCUGUUUAUUACUGUUGUUUGAUCUAUUUUCUUAUGUAGAAUUUUCGGAAUCUGUAGGACAUUAAUUUAUAAUUUUGAGAUUUUGUAGCCAUAAAUGUUUUUGUUCUUUUUUUCUUUUUUUUGUUGGCAUUUUAUUUUGCUCCUUUAUCUAUAUGCAUGUUGACUAAAGCUAAUCUAGAAUCAAUAGAGAGGGAUAUUUAUCUAUUUUGUUUAACAUAAGAGUGCUGUAUAAUUUUUCACUAAAUACACCUACAACAAACUAUUAAUAAUAAAGUGAUAGAAGAAUGCCUAAUUUUUCGUACUUUUUAAUUUCUUUCAGCCCUAAAAUAUAGGUAUUAAUGUCAUAAUAAGCCCAUGUGGAUCUCAGUGCCGCAAGUUCGAUAAAUGGCUAUCAAGGAUUACUUAUUAAGUCAAAAGUAUUCAAAGGACAAAAUGGUAAAACUAUAAGGGUGGAGUAAGAUGGCUACCUUGGGUUACAUAGUAAGUCGACUACAUUCAAAGGAUAAAAUAUUAGAACCUGAACGGCGGAGUAGUCGUCGUUAGAACCUGAACGGCGGAGUAAUCGUCGUUAGAAUCUGAAUGAUAUGUCUAAGACGUUGCAUGCAUCAAGAAAAUUGCAGAUGAUUAAACCUUGCCAUCCAUGCGUUGUAUGAGGUUAUAGCAACUAUCUAUCUGGUCACCGUUUUAAAAGAAUAAGACAAAGGGAAAAAGAGAAAGAAAAGAAUGAUUCGACAAUGGCAUUAAAGUUCAACGUACCCCAAGAUCUUGUAAUAAUGCCAUUAAUCAUUCUCUAGCUAGGCUAGCCUUAGAGAAAAGUGAAACUGUUGCACAGGUAGAAUCACACCCCUCAGAGAUAAUGUAUUUAUUCAGCUCUUCGAAUGAAUGAAGUUUAUUUUCUCGUCAAAAAAAAAAACUGCUCGCUCCGCUGGUUUCAUACAAUGUCAACUAGAAACAUCAUACUUUCGUGUAAGUUCAUUUCAGAAUAUUUCUUAGAGUUUGUAUAAAAUGAAAAGAUUUUAAAAUAUAAAUUUAAUAUUUGUUUAUUACCGUUGUUUGGUCUAAUUUCCUCGGGAGAAUUUUCAGAAUUUAUAGGACAUUAGUUUAUAAUUUUGAAAUUUUGUAACCUAAAUGAUUUUUUUUUCGGUUACCAUUUUGUUUUCCUGCUUUAUCUACGUGUAUGUUGACUAAAACUAAUCUAUUUUGUUAAACCUUUACCACUCUAGACAUUGCACUAAAUAUGAGUUCGUGAUGCUUGCAUUUUAUUGAUGCUGAUGAUUCGUUGAAUGUUUUAUGUUUUUGAUUUUUAAGUAUUCCGGAUCGAAGUUUGUGUCUACGCGGAAAUUGUAAAGGCAGCAUAUAAAGUACUCGUCGUUCUUUAGAUUUUAUUGAGUACACUUUUGUCACAUUUAGCGUAUGCUAUACACUACUGAUUUGCGCAUUGACAUAUAUCUUUUUUUUUUAUGAGAGGGGGCUCGUCAAAACGAGCUAAACAGGAACAAACCGGGGGUUAGAAAUCCCAAACAAGUCUUGCGAAAUGAUAGAAUAAACACCCAUAGGAGGGUUAGAGAACACAUGGAGGCCAAGAGGAGCUGAAUGAGCCAUAUUAGCCAUGAAAUCCGCAGCUGAGUUUGCUUCGCGAUAAAUAUGGGUGAUAGCAGUCUGCCAAUUUCUACUUAGUAAUUCCCGGACAGCUGAUAAUAAAGCAGUGAACGCAUUAGGAACAACCACCUGCUUAGAAAUCAUUUGUGUAAUACAAAUACUAUCCACUUCCACCAACAACCGUUUUAUGCCUACAUCCCAAGCAAGAAUUAGGCCCUGAUACAGCCCCCAAAGCUCAGCCAUAAGCACUGACCUGUCCCCAAUUUUCAUACAAAAGCCGGAUACCCAAUGACCAACUGAGUCUCGAAUAACACCUCCCGCUCCUGCUUCCCAAGUAUUUUUACAGGAGCCAUCUGUAUUUAAUUUACACCAUGGCCAAGGCGACGGCAGCCAAUGAAUAUAAAUCUCCUGUCUCCUCGGCUGCUGGCUUAGGCAAGAAUUAUUUACUCUGCAAAUUUCUUUAGCUCUCGCCAUAACAUCCAUAUAGAUUGUUAGACUAUCCACCAGCUUUCCCUCAAAGAAAAAAUGGUUCCUCCAGAACCAUAGCCUCCAAACUACCACACCAAAGAUACAAUCCCAGGGGAGGGGAGACCCAAUCUUCCAUUUAUUUUGCAGGUUCCCAGCAAUCCAUUCUCGUAAGUUCGAAUUGAAGAAAGUGUUAUGACUGGCCAUCGGAACAAGCUUCCGCCAAACCUGCUUGAUACAGCUGCAGUCUCUCAAUGCAUGGAGGAUAUCUUCAACCGCACCCCCACACCUAUCACAAUCCUCAGGAACAUUAAUAUGGCGCCUAACAAGUUCAUCACGAGUCUUGAGUUUCCCAUGCAUAAGCUGCCAAAGAAAAAGGCGGAUGGAUUGAGGCCCCUUCCAACUCCAUGGAAGCUUCCAAUUUCUGUCAUGAACAGCAGCUUGAUGAUAGCAAAGUGAUUCAUAAGCUGACCGAACCGAAAACAUGCCGCUUGGAUCAAAGCCCCAGUAAAUAAUAUCAGCCCCAAGAUGAGGAGCCGGAGGCAAGACUGAAGCAAUCUGCAUGAGAAUACCAUGCGGCAGAAGAUGCUCAAAGCUCGACCAAUUCCAUCCCCCAUGCCCAUUCGUAAAGUCACUCACAGUGGCAUUGAUAAGCUCGUGAGGAAUCGGCAAGAUGGCAAGGCUGAUCAGAGGAUAUUUCGUAGCCCAACAAUCAACCCAGAAUCGAGUUCUAACACCAUCACGAACUGACCAGCGAGCUCCCUGCACUGUUGCCAACCACGUGCUACGAAUAGCCCUCCAAAUCUGAGAACCCGGUUUGUCUGAAAGAGACAUUGGUAGGUUGCGAGACUCCAAACCAUAUUUGGAGCAGAAGACUUGCACCCACAGUUUAUCCGAAUUGGAAACAACCUCCCAGCUCAAUUUCAUCAACAUCGCCUGAUUCAUUUCGUCCAUUUUUUUGAAUCCCAGGCCUCCAUGUUUUUUCGGCUUGCAAAUUUUGUCCCACCCCACCAUACUCAUCUUGUGACUCUUUGAAUUCCCAUCCCAAAUAAAUCUUCGACAAGCUUUGUCUAUUUUAUGUCUCACUGGAGAAGGAAGUAAGGUCGUUUGCAUGGCAUAAACAGGCAUUGCUUGCAGGACUGAUUGAGCCAGAGUGACGCGUCCAGCAAAAGAUAGAUGAGCCGCGUUCCAACCAGUUAACCGCUUAUCCACUUUAUCAAGGAUGGAUUGAUACGUGUAUUUAUUAACCCGCGAAUGGAUUAAGGGCAUUCCAAGAUAAUCACCCAAAUUAUUUGUGGCCGAAACUCCCAAAGUCGAGCCUAUGAUAUUGGCAUCCCGAGAAGCGACAUUUUUUGAGAAGAAAACUUUAGUUUUCAUUUUGUUGACUUUUGCUUCCGAACUCCUACAAUAAUUAUCCAGAACAGCAUCUACGACAUAAGCUUGAUCAAUUGAAGCUUCCGCAAAUAAAAGCAAAUCAUCUGCAAAAAAGAGAUGCGUUAAAGGAGUUCCAUAUUUGGCCAACCGGAUAAGCCUCCAUCUCCUCUCCAUCACCGCUUGGGUUAUACCAUGGCUUAACCGUUCAAUGCACAGAACAAAAAGAUAAGGCGAGAGGGGAUCGCCCUGACGGAUACCCCUUCCCGGAGUGAAAGCUUAUGUCGCCUCGCCAUUCCACAAAAUACGCAUACUAGCUGAAGUUACGCAUUCCAUGAUUAGUCUAGAUAAGUGAAUUGGAAUACCAGUCUGGUUAAGCGUAUCAAAAAUGAAAUCCCAACUGAGCCGGUCAUAAGCCUUCUCAAGGUCGACCUUAAUGGCCAUAAAUCCUUUCCUGCCAGUUUUUCUGCGCAUAGAGUGAACUACUUCCUGAGCCACUACAAUAUUAUCUACUAUAUGCCUCCCAGGAACAAAGCUCGUCUGAUUGGGGCUUAUUAGAUUGGGCAGCAGUGUUUGCAAUCGAGUGGCUAUAAUUUUAGUCACCGUCUUGUAGGCCACUGUGUAUAGGCUUAUGGGCCUAAACAUCUUUAAGCUAGUGGGGUGCUCCUCUUUAGGAAUCAAAACCAAGAGGGUAGUAUUUAUCUCUUGCGGCACCUUCCCCGUUGUAAAAAUAUCAUGAAUAAACCUGCAAAACGACGGACCAACCACAUGCCAUUGGGAUUGAUAAAAUAUAGCGUGCAAACCAUCCGUACCUGGGGCUUUCAGCGGCUUCAUGCUAAACACAACGUUCCGAAUUUCCUCCCUCAAAAUUGGGGCUGCAGCCCCAUCUACGUCAUGAGAAUCCAAGGCUGGGAAAAAGUUUGGAGCAUGGUAAUUCCGAUAAGUUGCAUUAUCACUUGUAAAUAGGUCAGAAAAAUACCCCACUACAUGCCUCCUUAUAUCCUCCUCAUCAUAUAGCCAAUUCCCCGAACAGUCUCGGAUGGCCUCAAUUCUAUUCCGCCGCCUUCGAGCAAUGGUUUUUUGGUGGAAAAAAUUCGUAUUUCUGUCCCCAUGCAGAAGCCAAUCCUUUCGAGAUUUCUGAAGCCAAAGAAUUUCCUCCGAUUCAUCACCAUUUCGAGCUCAUUUUGCAUGCGGGCUUAUAAGCGCAACAAACUGUUAGAGCUAUAAUUCUCUAGAGUAGCUUGAAUUCCAUUAAUCCGAGCCAUAAGCCGGCGUUUUCUCUGAAAGAUAUUCCCAAACACAUCUCGAUUCCAAGCUUGAACCUCCUGGACAAAAUGAGAGGCUGCUGCACUAUAAUGGAUUUGCGGAUUCCACACCCGCUUAAUAAAGUUAUGAAAAUGCUCGUGAGUUAACCAAGCAGCCAAAAAGCGGAAAGGCCUGUUCCUCCUGUGACCGGCCACAGCUCUCUCAAACCGAACCAGCACCGGCCUGUGAUCCGAGGCAACCUUCGGGAGGUGGAGGACAGAAUUAUUCGGAUACUUAUGUAGCCAAUCACUAUUGCACAGAGCUCUAUCAAGCCGUUUAAAGAGCAAUCCACGUGACCAAGUAAACCUUGGACCUUUAAACUUUAAAUCAAAAAUUUGGUGCCCAUCAAACCAUUUCCGAAACAGAUUACACACUCCUGGGUUCCUGGCCUCACCCCCCUGCUUUUCAGAGGCAUAUAAGAUAGAAUUGAAAUCCCCACCUAUCAGCCAAGGGCCUCGAAUUGAAGGCGCAAGGUUCUCCAUAUGGCUCCACAACUGUCUCCUUAGCAUUGGAUUUGGGCUGGCAUACACAGCCGUUACCCAAGACACAAAGGUCUUAUUCAUACAAAAUUUAAAGUGAAUGAACUGCCUAUGAUUAAUUAAGACUUCCACCUCUAUGGAAUUUCGCCAAAGAAGCCAAAUUCCUCCAGAAAAACCCACAGCUUCCACCCGGUGCGAAUACUCAAAUCCACUUUUCUUUAUAAAGUCAUCGGCUUUAGCACCACUAGUGCGAGGUUCCAUUAACACCACCAUCGAUGGAUUGUAGUUUUUAAUAAUUGUUUUAAACGAGCGCCUAAAUACCCCCGAGGCUGCCCCUUGUACAUUCCAGAACAUGAUACUAGCUGACAUAAUAAAAAUAACAGGAGAGAAACAAACGUCUACUGCUGCUGUCCAAGGACUUCCUCCAUCCACGCCAAUGGCGUUUCUUGAACCAUCUCAACUUCAUUCUCAACCAUCCCAUCGCCAUCAACACCAUUUAUAGGUACAACUGGAUGGUUAUGAGCACUGUCACCUUCAUUCACCCGAUGGAUGGUUUGAUCAUCUGGAGGGUCUGCUACUUGUUGUGGAUCCGGACCUUGCCUCUCUAUGUGUUCCGCGGUCACGUCCCUUUCAUCACCAUUAGGAAGGGUUUGGGAGGAGCAAACAAACACUGUGUGUUUAGAGGGGUCCAGGGUGGUUGCGAAUGGUGCCACGAGUUGAUUGCUAGAAGCUUUCUGAGGGAAAAUAUGGGGUUCAAAGCUUCGGUUUGCAUGAGGUAGGAUGGAUAUUUCCUUCUCUCUGGUGCUGAAGACACUAGGCUGGAGAGGGUUACAGGUAGGAGUUACUGGGACGUUUGGUUUCCUGCUCUGAUUCCUUGCUGCCACGGCCUUAUUUUGCGGCUUACGACGAGCCAUAGUCUUUGCUGAGGUAUCUGCUCUGGCUGUGAAAGUAUGGUUUGAUGCGGGCAUGAAAGGUUGCCGUGAGGUGGAAGGGAAGUCUGGGCAAGCCUCAUGCACAUGGUUUCCACCUUCAUCCGAGACUUUGGAUAAUAUGUGAAACCGUGAGGUACCAGCUCCAGUAAACUCCCUAUUACGGUUUGAGUCUCCAGUGUUCUCCUUACCAAUAUUCGGCUUCCUUCCUCUCCUAGUGGCAAUCAUCCAGGGUCCGAAUAGUUCCACAUUAUUAUCACCAUUACUACCUACAGCCUGCUGGCCAGGAGCCUCAUUUUCCGGCACUGCCUGUUGGGGUUGACCAGCAUCUUCAGGGCUUGUCGAACUCUUAGCAUCCUUACAGUUGCUGCUACUAUGCCCGUAAGAUUCCACACUUAUAACAAAUUACUGGCAAUCCCUCGUAUUCCACCUUCUGGAUCUUCCCAUCCAAUUCAAACUGAGAUACCAGCGGCCUUGUUAACGAGAUACUUACUGCAAGACGUGCAAAUCUUCCACGAGAUGAGGAGGCUGUAUUCGAAUCGAUUUUAAUCACGUUACCCACUAACUGACCCAGCUUCUGUAGAACUUUUCGAUUAUAAAGAUGAACCGCAAGGCCUGGUAAACAGAUCCAUACCGUGACUUGAUCAAGAUCCGCAUUUGUGAAAUCAAAAGAGGGUGUCCAUGGCUGCACAGUUAAAUAUUGACCCAUUAUAAGCCACGGUCCCUUAGUUAAAACAUCCAUAGCAUCCCCUACCGAUCUGAAACGAACCAGAUAAUAAUUGUUUUCCAAGUCAAUCACGGAAAAACCCAUGGCUGAUUUCCACAUGACAUUUAAUCUUGCACACAUAGCUCUAUAGCCAAUUGUGCGGCCAAGCAACUUCACAACCACCGAGUUCUUCCAAGGCUCACUUAACUUAGCAUGAACCCUAGCCGAAAAAGUGAUGGAUGGCAUGGGUCCCUCGUUAGUUUCAAUAAUGUCUCCUUCCUCAAAAUCCCAGUCCUCUAGUCCACCUCCAAUUCCUUGCUCCAUCGCUUGUGUUGCAUUCACUAGGGUUUCUUUGUACGAAAACUGUACAGUGGUAUCCCCAGCAUGUUCUUCAUCACGAAAUCUUGCUUUUUUAAUCGUUCUAGCCUCCCUAAACGGCGGGGGAAAAAUCCCUCCGGAGUUAGGGUUUCCUUCACGUCCGAGGUUUUCGGAGCCUUCCAUAUGGUGUUGAUCUUUUUAAGUCACUCGUUUCAAUAUUUCAUUUAUUUCCUUUUCAAGCUAACAAUUAAUGUAUAUGAAUGUGCGGAUGCAUUGACAUAUAUCUUAUUUUAUCAUUUUGAAUGAAUUGCACGGCGAGGCUUAUCAACUUUGGAUGAAUCCUCCAAUUGUCGCAGUCCAAGACUGGCUGCAGUGAGUGAAAAUUUACCCAUAUAUAUGCUGGCUAUUUUUAUUGGCGACGAAUUCGUUGUAGUUGGUCCAUCUUGCUAUUCUCGGACAAUAUUAGAGAAAAUAAUCAUAUUAUUUCGCGUGAUGUGACCUUCCAUAACGUAUCAAUUGAAUUACUGUAAAAUUAUUGUGUAAGUUUAGGCCCAAUGGCACUUUAGUUCAUCACAUGAUAGCCUGGAUUUAAAAGGAAAACUAUAUUGCAUUGCUUCAAAAAAAAAAUUUAAUGUUUUUAAUAUGAAUAUUUUUAACUAUAUUCAGUUAAAAUAAUAUAUUCUUAAUAUUAAUAUUCAUAGAUGAAAUUCUUUUGCGGAUUUAAGAAUAAAAUAUCAAAUAGUUUUAUUUUUCUUUUGUUGUGUAACUUGGACCGAAAAAGAAAAUGAGCUUAACAUGACCCUCCUUCCGGCACUAUGCAUGUUUUUCUUUUAUUUUUCUUGUAUUGAUGACAGUGCUCUUGGUGCUUCUCAUCUGCUUCUUGCUUUGGUUUCAAACAAGUCUUUCUCCGUCGAGACAUUUAUUGUAAUUUGAUUUGGAGACAUCUGUCGUUCAAAUAUAUUUCAUAUGCAAGCUGUUGAUAAUUCUGCUUGAGAAAGCCUUCAAAGCAGCUGUGUGAUGUAAUAGAAGACUAUAUAUGCAAGCGGGUACCGAGCUCGAAUUCUUUCUUGAGUUUCUUUGAAUUAUUUGUGAAUGAGUUCUUAAUCGGCUGCUGCUCUUCAGGAAAAGGAAAGUGUUGCAAACUGGUGAAGCUGAUCGAUAAAAGCAAUGUACCAUCUUUGCUGCCAUGGAUCGAUGCCAGUGAGUUUUUUAAUUUGUCAACCUUUUUAAUAAUGCAUAUGUGUUUCUUCAACUUGAAGCGGCAUUUAAGACGAAAGAAGUGAUCUUUAAAGCAUUCUAUAGCAUUAUCCUUUCCUAUUAUAUAUAUCCAAUUGCUCCAAAUUAUUUGUAAAUUACUGAACACGAAUGCUGAUGAAUAAACUGAUGGCUCUAUGUAUGUAUGCACAUGCAUGGAGAAAUUUUAAGUCAGACAUUCCCAUAUAUAACUCGUGCUACCAAAUCAUUAAAUAAUCUUGAAAUCAAAGUAAUAAUUAAAUACAAAUAAAUUGCUCGAAUUGUACAUAUAUCUGAAUCAUGUAGUGAAGAAAAUACAACAACAACAACCAAUGGCUCAAAUUCCCCAUCAACUUCUAAUCUCAACACUUUUGAGUGUCAGAAGCAUUACUCUGCUACCAGUUAACAAACAUAUAAUUAGUAAUUUGCCAUUCACUUCCCUUUUAGGCCUAACACAUUUUCUAUAAAGGAGCCACAGAGUGAACUCAGCAGGAAACACUCAAUUUCAACCUACGUAGGACCAGGAAUUUCAACCAAAAAAAAAGUGUGCAAUUGCUUAUCCUAUCCUAUUGCUACUAGAAAGAAAGUGAACAAUUAAUUUCAGUGAAUAAAUUAAAAAAAAUUACUUCUGCAGAUACUCAAGCUAAGAACACAUUAACCCAUUAAAGACUCCAAAUUGCAUCAAACAAAUUGUUGUUAAACAAGUAAAACAAAGAAAGAGAGUUAAGGAAGCUGACCUAGUAGUAGGGGAGCUGAAGAAAGACUGCCAGUGAAUGUAAGAGAAAAUAAAAUGCAAUAAAUGGUGAAGUGCAGCUUUUCAUGUCAACUUGAAAUUGUUUCUUCUGUUUUUUUUUUUUUUAAUCUUUUGGAUUUUUAAAACAAAGAAAAUGAGGAGCAACCAGGGAGAUAAAAAGGGCGCCAAGGCAACUGUGUGUUGGGUUUAGAGCCCAAAAAAAAAGGAGGAUAAGACAUCGUGUUCUUGUGGAGACCAGACCUAUUACGUAACGUCCCCUUCAAUACCACUUGUUCCGUAUCUGGUUUUUUCUUCGUCUUUUACAUAUUUAUCCUGUGAUUUUACAAUAACUAAAUAAUCCCCGCAUAGUUUGCAAUUUUAUUCAUUUGAGCCCUACAGAUUUCAGUAAUAGGUAGAGUUGGCAAAACGGGUCAUCGGGUCGUGUUCGUGUCAUGUCAAAUUUAAGUCGACCCAAACCCGACCCAUUUAAUAAUCGUGUCAAAAUAUUGAGACCUAAAUCCGACACGGAAAAAUAAUCGGGUUACCCAAUAACUCGUUUAAUAUCAAUAUAUUGAACAAAAGUUACAUCAAAUAUUUACACACUAUCAUACAUACAUACAUAAUUUAUCGAUAUUAUAAAAUAUAUAUAUCUACUAAUAUAUUACACAUUUACACUAUUGAGGUUUUAAUUAUAUAUAUAUAUAUAUAUAUACCUACGAUGAUUGUUUAAGCCGCGGUAAACGCUUCUAGAACGCCCUCUGGCAGGAAGGAAGGUACUCAAAGAAAGUGGAGAUGAGGGAAACUCCGCUGGAGUGAGGGGAUUUAUCGGAAUCUCGUUCAGAGUGAGGAGUCAAUGAGGGUUUGCUUGUACUUGUGGUUCUAUUGAUAGGUGUUUGCAAUGGGCUUUCGUCUCAGGUAGUUCAGUCUCCGGGGUUACGCUUAGUUUCAUAUAAAAUAAAUGAAGAAGACAGCUGGACUUCAGAGUGGGAUCCUCCUAUGUUGUCGGCUGUUUGUUUGUCCGCAGCUAUUACAGCUUGUGCUCGAAUAUAUAUGUAUCCAUAUAUUUCCAGAUAUUAUAUAUCAAUAUAUAUAUAUAUUAUUUAUCAAUAUUAUAAAAUCUACAUAUCUAUCAAUUUUUUCACAUUUACACUAUUGAAGCUCUAAAUGUAUUUAAAAUUUUAUAAAUAAAAUAUUAUGUUUAUAUUCACCCUUUUAAAGAAUAAAAAAGAAAAUCAUUACUAAUAUUUGAGUUUUAAUGAUAAGAAUAUGUAAAUUAUUUUAAAAUAGAAAAUAUAAUCGGGUCAUUGAUCGGGUAAAUGGGUCAAGAAUUUUAACUCUAACCCGACACGGAAAAAAAUCGUGUUGACCCGGACCCGACCCAUUUAAUAAUCGUGUUAAAUUUGACGACCCAUAUUCAUUUAUUUAUGUCGUGUUCGUGUCGAGUAAUCGGGUCGUGUCAAAUUUUGCCAGCUCUAGUAAUAGGAAUUAUUAAGGGACAAGAGCGCAAAACAAAAACUCUGUCCACUACUGAUGAUAUAACAACGAACCUUUGUUUUUUUCUUCUUUUUUUUUUACAAAAUAUCAUUAGAGAAAUGAAAAUAUUAACUAACAUCACCCUACUGAUGAUAUAACAACGAACCUUUGUAGUUUCUGCCUGUUAAUAUGAAUUGAUCAGGAGUGUUUCCUCACUUAAAAAUUACGAAUUUACAAAUAUGUAUGUAAGUAUGUAUGUAUGUACGUACGUACGUGAGUAUGUAUGUACAUAUAUGCAUACACCUAUGUAACAUUUACUUAUCCAUCCUUUUGAGUUUAAAACUUAAUACACAUUUUCAUGAAAUUUUUAUUUUAUUAAGUAUACAACUACAGUAAUGUAUAUAUUUUUUAUAUAAGACAUGCCGUCAUAUUAUUCAUAAGUAAAACAAUGUGUUGUAAAUAGUUUAAUUAUUAAAUAUCAUACAAUAUCUUUCAACAACCGGCAAUAGACCUUUACCCAUUUUUCUUUUUCGACCAUUAGAUUCAUUCAGUUUACAUCCAACGGCAGUUUAGGAUGGAGACAAAAAGUGUGGUACGUUACCACAGUGGUAACAUUGGAUUGGGAUUGUAUGUCGUGUUUAAUUUGAAUUGGUUGAUUCCUCUAAUGAAUUAUUUUGAUAAAUUUAGUAGCAGUAUUUGGCGGCAAAAGUAUCAUUAAUUUUUGGAAAUAUGAUUAUGUUAUUAAUUAUUUUAGCAUUCUAAAAAGUCAAUGGUUAUGUUGGAAAUACUCUAAGGUAGAAUAGAGUACAAAUCACAGUCACACAUACAAAAUGAUAAAUAAUAAAAAAUAUAUUAUAUUUUUGAUCAUAUGAUUAUGAAGACGUAUUUUACCUUAAAGAAGUUCUAAUAAGCGAAUUCUUCUAAAACAAUAUAAAAUUUCUUUUUUAUCAUACUCAACCGCUUCAAACUUCUAAGAAGUAGAUAUACAAUGAGUGGAAUACUGAAUUGAGUGCGAGCUGCGGAUAAUAUAUAAAAUUGGGAUACAAGCUUCAAGGAAAGUGUAUUGCUAUUCAAAUGUAGAUUUCAAAUUAAGAAGAUAUGCCAGCAAAUUGUAUAAAAAUGUAUAAAUUGAUCAGUAACAUUAAUUCCAAAUGAUGAAAUGAGUUAUCUUGAUCAAAAGGUCAAGAACCUACCUUACUUCUCUUAGAGAUAACUUGCAUCAACCGUUGUGGUAUUGAUACUUGUCUUCAGCUAGUAAAAGACUAAAAGUGAAAGUUUCACAAUUGAAAUAAAGCUAAGGGAAGAUGCUAUGCUCCAUUUAUUAUUAUUAUUAUUGAUGUGGUCGAGAAGUAAAGCCAUGCAUAUGAUGAAGUAUAAAUAAGAAUGCAAUAGCCCGGAAUUCAUUUACACAAACACUUCAAUAUCCUUUUGAUCACUUUUGCAAACAUCAGUUUGUCUCUUGUAUUCACCAUGGUUGAUGCCAUCGUUUCCUCUCUUGUGGAGCAGCUGACUUCCUUCGCUGCUAAAGAGAUAAUACAACAGGUGAUCGAAGUUACACCCCCCAUAUUAUAAAUACUUCUAAUGAUUUUAAUUGGUUUUGUUUUUAUCGGAAACAUUAACUUUGCUUUAUUUUAUUUAUUUAGGCAUUUUAAAUUUUAAAAUUUGAAUUGAAUUCAAUUAAAAUGUGAUGUAGCUAGUAACCACUUUUUUUAUUUCAUUUAUAUUCUCAAUAACUACCCAUAUUUUGGUAACUUACUGUAACCCCCGUAUCUAAGAAAUGAUUAAAACCCACAAUUUUAACUCCACAUAAAUAUUCCAUGUUGAGCUAAGUUUUUGCAUAACAUUCAAGUUUGUUAAAUAGUCAUUAAUUUAAUGUUUAGUAAAAACUUAUCUCUGAAAAUUUUCAUAAUUUUCUUACAUUCUUUGAGUUUGGUGAGUGACUUCAUAUAAUUUCUUUUCAAUUUAAAUUUUAAUUUGGUUUCUGAUAUAGUCUCUUUACUGAAUUUAUAUCUUUUAUGAUUCUUGGAUUUUGGGCUCCAACUUUUUAGGAUUUGAUAGUCACAUUUUAUGGCAUGCUUAGAUUGAUUUUCAUGAUUUGAGUACUCGUUAAGUGACUGAGAAUUUGACAAAAGUUUGAAAGGAAAUCCGUUUCACGAUUCUUAUGUGGAAGGUUCGUAAAAUCAUGAAAUUUGGAUAGGAUUCGCUAGCAAUAUGUACAAGACUCUUCAUGAAGUUUCAUAAUUUUUCGUUCGGUCUGGGGUGGUACAGGUGAAACUUGUGGUUGGUGUUAAAGAAGAAGUGAAAAGCCUUAUCAGCCACCUUCAAGCCAUUCAAGCUGUGCUCGAUGAUGCAGAGGAAAAGCAAGUGAAGGACAAAGCUGUUAGACAUUGGCUGGGCAGGCUCAAGUAUGCAUCCUACGACAUUGAAGAUGUGUUGGAUGAGUGGAUCACAGCUAGACACAAAUUGCAAAUUGAGGGUGGCGUUGAUGACAAUGCUCUUGCUGCUCCUCAAAAGAAAAAGAAGGUAUGUUUCUGCUUUCCUGCCUCUUGUUUUGGAUUCAAACAAGAAGAAUUUGGUUUCAGACAAGUCUUUCUACGUUAUGACAUUGCCAACAAGAUCAAAGAAAUGAAUAAAGAGCUACAUGAUAUUGCCACUCAAAAAGACAUGUUUAAUCUUGUUAAGAGUGGCAAUAAAAGUGGUGAAAGACCAAGGCGUGUACAGAGUACCUCCUUGAUUGAUGAGGAAGAGAUUUGUGGUAGAGUUGGUGAGAAGAAUGAACUCAUAAGCAAGCUGUUGCGUGAGAGUAGCGAGCAACAAAAAGGCCUCCAUAUGAUCUCAAUUGUUGGUAUGGGAGGCAUAGGGAAAACUACUCUUGCACAACUAGCUUGUAAUGAUGACGUGGUGAAGAGAAAGUUCGACAAAAUUCUGUGGGUGUGUGUAUCAGAAACUUUUGAGGAGUUUAGGGUUGCCAAAGCAAUCGUUGAAGCUUUGGAUGGUCGUGAAUCUCAUUUAGGUGAAUUCCAAUCUCUUCUUAAACAUAUUGAUGAAUCCAUUGCAGGGAAGAGCUUUCUUCUUGUCUUAGAUGACGUGUGGGAUGGAAAUUACUUGAAAUGGGAACCAUUCUAUCGUUGUCUAAAGAAUGGUCUCCAUGGAAGUAAAAUUUUAGUUACCACACGUAGUGGGUCCGUUGCAUCCACGAUGGGAUCCAUAGAUAUUAUUCCCAUUGAGAAAUUAGCUGAAGAGGAAUGUUGGUUGUUGUUUAACAAGAUAGCAUUUUUUGGUAGGCCUAUCGAGGAACGUGAAAAAUUCGAACGAAUUGGGCGAAGAAUUGCUGGCAAGUGCAAAGGUUUACCUCUUGCAACAAAGACAAUAGGUAGUCUCAUGCGUUCUAAACAAACUGAAGAAGAGUGGAAAAGAAUUUUAAAUAGUGAUUUAUGGAAAGUAGAAGAGAUUGAGAAAGAUGUUUUGUCCUCUUUAUUGUUGAGUUACAAUGAUUUGCCAUCUAGAGUAAAAAGAUGUUUUUCAUAUUGUGCUCUCUUUCCAAAAGACUACGAUAUAGAAAAAGACAAACUAAUCACAUUGUGGAUGGCUCAAGGUUAUCUUAGUGCAGAAGAAGAUGAGGAGAUGGAGACUAUAGGUGAAGAGUAUUUUAGCAUCUUAGCUUCUCGCUCUUUCUUUCAAGAGUUUAAGAAAAGUUAUGAUAAUCGGAUUAUAGAGUGUAAGAUGCAUGAUAUGGUACAUGAUUUUGCCCGAUUUGUAAGUCAAAAUGAAUGUUUUUCGAUGGCAAUUAAUGGUAGUGAAGAACCAAACGCCACAAACUCUGUUGAUGAGAAGGUCCGUCAUUUAAUGUUAAUCUUUAGUAUAGAGGCUUCAUUACCUGUUUCCACUCCUAGAGUUAAAAGAAUGCGUACCCUCUUAAUUAACGAUAGUAGAUCUGAUCAAUCAUUAUUAAAUGGUGAGAUCCUAGAAGAAUUGUUUAGGGAAUUGACAAGUUUAAGGGCAUUAGAUUUUGACAAAUUGUACCACUCAAUUUGGUCUUCGACUCUGGAGAUUCCGAGAAACAUAGAAAAGCUGGUACAUUUAAGAUACCUUAAUUUGUCUUCUCAGAAAAUAGUGGAGCUACCGGAGACAUUGUGCGAGUUAUAUAAUCUAGAAAAGUUAGAUAUUAGUUUUUGUUUUGAUCUUAGAGAAUUACCUGAAGGGAUUGGGAAGUUAAUAAACAUGAAGCAUUUACUAAAUUAUGAUACUGAUUCUUUAAGGUACAUGCCAGUAGGGAUUGGGAGAUUAACGGGUCUUAGGACCUUGGAUGAGUUCCACGUGAGUGCAGGAGGAGCUGUUGAUGGUAGGAAAGCAUGUAGGCUUGAAUCUCUUAAAAACUUGGAACACCUUCAAGUAUGUGGUAUACGUAGACUGGGUGAUGUAUCAGAUGUGGGCGAGGCUAAGCGAUUAGAACUUGACAAAAAGAAAUACCUCUUCAGUUUGACCCUUGAGUUUGAUAAGAAGGAGGAAGAAGAAGGAGAAAGAAGGAAGAACGAGGACGAUCAACUUCUUCUUGAAGCCCUGCGACCACCUCUGGAUUUAAAGGAAUUAGAGAUACGGUUCUACCGAGGCAACACUGUUUUCCCCAGCUGGAUGACGUCAUUAACCAACUUAAAGAGUUUAAAACUCUCUUUCUGCGAAAAUUGCGAGCAGCUGCCUCCUUUGGGAAAAUUGCCGUCCCUUGAACAGCUCUUCAUAUCGUACAUGUCGAGUGUGAAAAGAGUGGGUGAUGAAUUUUUGGGGAUAGAAAGUGAUCAUCAUGGCUCAUCUUCAUCUUCAUCGGUUAUUAUUGCCUUCCCCAAAUUGAAAUCACUUUCAAUUGAGUUUCUGUGCGAAUUGGAGGAGUGGGAUUAUGGGAUUACAAGAACGGGAAACACCGUCAUCAACAUCAUGCCACGUCUUUCUUCCUUGACAAUUGCUCUUUGCCCCAAAUUAAAGGCACUGCCCGACCACAUUCAUCAAACGACAACAUUGAAGGAAUUGCACAUUUGGGAUUGCAGGCUUCUGGAAGAACGUUAUUGCAAGGGGGAAGGAGAAGACUGGCCUAAGAUAUCACACAUUCCCAACCUCCAUAUUGGGCAUUGACAAGUAAUUUCUUCUCUUACUCUGAUUUGCUUUGUUGUUGUUUUUAAUCUAAUUAAGAAGCGUAAAUAGCAUUUUGAAUCAAACUCUAUAUCAGAAAUCUGCAAUACUUACUUUCUAAUAUUCUGAUUUUCAUAUCCUAUGAAUAUACGAUUUUUAAUUUGUGAGAUGGGUAACGUUACUGUAAAAGAUUAUUAAUGCAAUAUGAGUAAUUCUUUUGCAGGACAAGUGACCUACAUUUAGUUUGGCUUUGGAGUUGAAUAAUAACCUUUCGGGAACUGGUGUGGACUGGCAAAGGAUGAUGAGAUAGUUUUUUGAGUGAGUAAAUUUUGGGAGCUUGAGUGUAUUGGGAUUUGCAAUUACAAUCAUCGUCUGCCUCAGGUGAUUUCUUCUCCUGCUCUGUCAUUGUUUGUUCUCUAAUUCAAAAGCAUAAAAUAUUUCAAUCAAUUUUUAUGCCAGGAAUAUGCAAAAGUUUCUAAUAUUUUAUUUCCAUCUGUCACAAGAUCAAACUGAAGCAGAACUCAAACAAAAGUAUGCUACUUCUUGCGGAAAUCUUGCCUUCGUUCAAAUUAUGAAACCAUUUCCAUGCAGCAAAUUCAUCCAAAAGUUUGAAUAAGUUUCAUGGUUGGACACUGUUGGCUUCUUUUUCUUCUGGGGUGCAUUUAGGUGCUAUCAAGUGACAGCUGUAAGUAUGAUUGCACUAAGCUGCUGCUGGGAAAUUUGAGGUUUUGAUGGCUGCCCAUGUUAUUUUCAAGAAACUAUUGAUGUAAGAAGCCGUGGUUCUUUUCAUCAGCUUGAACCUGAAACUGUCGCUAUGGAUAACUCAGGUUUUUGUUAUCAACUAUAUCAUCUUUUUCACUAUUUUGAAACUCUUAAGAUUAAACGUUAGUAAAGUUGUUUCAGCUAUUCAAAUGAAAAACUCAUUGAUUUGAGACUUCCUUCAUUAUUGUUUCUAAUUACAAUGCUAACGAUCCAGAUAAAAUAAUAUUUAAUCGGCGAAGGUGUCCCUUGGAAGUACAUCCUUCUUUUUCUUUUAUUAUAUAAAUUCUUGCAAUGAGCUUAGUCAAGAUGUUGUGCUAAUCAUGCCACUGCAUAUAAAUUCUCCAGAAGUUAAAAUCAAUAAAUUUUCUAUUAGCUCUAGUGCUUUGACCUAAAUGCUAUUCUAUAUUCUGAUUACAAUGUUUUAACCUUUAAAUUAACUACCCCUAGGUGUUGGAUUUUCUAGAACUUCAAAAUGAUUAAUGGAGAAAGAUCCCAUUAUCGUUAUUGCUAUAAGAAAUUGAUUUAUGCAUCCAAAGAUACAUUAUAUAUUUCUGUGUCUCUAUUUAUAGAUGACAUUUAAGCAUCCAUAAACCGUCAGACAGAGGAAGGGGGUUCAGUGCAAAGAUUCUGUUGACCUAGGGUUGACUGCAUAAUGUCACUUGUUCGCAAUCUAUUAUUUAUUUUAUAUUUUGAAGAAUUUAAUGGGUAAUCCUAAUUGUUUGUUUUGGCAGGUAUGUGUUGUUUUCUCCUUCUAUCUAACAGUCGUACCUAAAUAGCAUAGUUUCAUCUGUGUUACCAUGUGAUGUACAUAAUUUCACAUUUGCCUCAGAUUAAGCUUAAUUUCCCACAGAAUAGAGCUGUCGCGACUGGACUUAGGUUGAUGUCCAAAGAGGUAAAUUAUUGGCAUGCCUAGAUAAUUUGGCCAUUUCCUAAUUCAUAAGUCUACAUUAAUUUUGAUUUUGAGUUGACUGAUUUCUUUUCAAGGUCUGCUUCCUUAACGGAGUGACCAAUGUUUUUCAACUAAAUUUAUCAUAUGAUGCAGGAAGCAGGGCAGGAUAUGAAAUGAGAAGCUCAUUGGUGGAAGUAUUGCCAGUAACAGAACCCAAAGAAAAUGAAACUAUUUCAAGGCAGCAGUUGGCAGUUGCAAGUGAAUGGAGGCCCUGACAAAAUUCUCAAGCGGUUGCAAUGCAAUUACGAUCAUCCUCAGCCUCAGGUAAUUUCUUCUCCUGCUCUGUUUUUAUUUGUUAUCUAAUUAAAAAGCAUAAAGUAUCUUGAAUCACUUUCUCUAUCUGGAAUAUAUGCAGCAGUUUCUAAAAUCUUCAUAUGAGUGUAAUGAUGGUAAUUUCUGUUUUUUGUCUGUCAUUGAAUGUUAGACAACUUUCAGUGAGACUCUUGAACCGAGACAUUUUUGACAACUGAAGGACAAUUGCUGAAGAGUCGGAAUGGUGCUAGAUUGGGGAAUAAAGACAAAGGAGGUAAAUUAUUUGCAGUUUAUUCAGCAUUAUUUGCUUUGGACCAGCGCCUGAUUCACAAGUCUCCAUAAUUUGGCUUUUGACCAGUUAAUAAAUUUUUAAUUCCAUUGGUGCUAAAUGUACACGUGAAGCAGGCAGAGCAGGACUGUGGAAAUGAGAAGGUUUUUAGUGAAAGCUUAAACUCAGGUAAUUCUAAAAAGUACAUGUUUUUGCUGAUUUAUCUAAAUCAGGAAAUUUUAUUUCCAUCUGUUACAAGAUAAAACAGAAACAGAACACAAAGAAAAAUAUUCUACUUCUUGUGGCAAUCUUGCCUUCAUUCAGACAAUGAAACCAUUUCCUUUCACCAAUUUCUUCCAAAAGUUUGAAUAAGUUUCAUGGGUGGACCUAGUUAGCUUCUUUUUCUUUUGGUGCAUUUAGGUCCUAUCAAGUGACAGCCAUAAGUAUGAUUGCAUUAUUGGGAAAUUUUAGGUUUGGAUGGCUCCCCAUGUUAUUGCCAAGAAAGUCCUCAUGUCAGAAGCUGCGGUUCUUUUCAUCAGCCUGAACCCGAACCUGUCGUUAUGGAUAACUCAGGUUUUUGUCAUCAACUAUAUCAUCUUUUUUACUGUUUUGAAACUCUUAAGAUUAAACUUCAGUAAAGUUGUUUCAGUUAUCCAUGUAAUCAGGCUAAGGAUAUUUAGCAGCUUAUUUAGGCAACUGCCAGAAUUCAGUUUGUUAGCUCGAAACUUGUAUGGUGACAAGGAUACUGGCAAGGAUAGUGAGAUAGUUUUUUGUGUGAGUGAAAUUUGAAAGCUUGGGUGUUCUGGGAUUUGCAAUUGCAAUCAUCCUCUGAGUCAGGUGAUUUCUUCACCUGCUCUGUCUUGAUUUUCUCUCUAAUUGAAAGCAUAAAGUAUUUCAAUCAAAUUCUGUACCAGGAAUACGUAAAAGUUACUAAUAUUUUAUUUCCAUCUGUUUGCAUUGAUAACUCGGCGGCAUAUGUUCUAGUUAAAGAACAAACAGAAACAGAGUUCAGGAAAAAGUUUCUUCGGCCACCAUAUUUGAAAAUGAAACCAUUUCCAGGAAGCAGUUGGCAGCAAAUUCAUAUGGAGUGUAGACAAUGAUGAGCAAAAAGGUGAUUCGCAAUUUCUUUUUUUUUUUAAGUGAAAUUAUUUGUUAGAUUGAAGCUGAUAUUGUAAGAAGGCCAUUGAGCUAACCUAUGUCGCCACUUGCCUAGAUUGCAGGGGGUCAAGACUCAAAAGAAGCACUGAAAUUUAAAAAGCAUGCAAUAGUUCUUUUGCCAUGUGUCAAUUAAUGCAAGUUUGAAUAAGUUUAUUGGCUGAACGAUGUUAGCUUCUUUUCCUUUCGUGCACUUUGGUAUGCUAUCAAGUGACAGCCGUAUGUAUGGCUUGCAUAUAGCUGCUGCUGGGAAAAUUGACGAUUUCAUGGCUGGCCGUGUUAUUGUCUUAAAUUAGUUGUGAUAAGCUGUUGCUUGGAGAUUCUGUUGCCAAGAAUUUGCUCACAUCAGAAGCUGUGGAAUCUGAACCCUUCGAUUCUGUUGCCAAGAAUUUGCUCACAUCAGAAGCUGUGGAAUCUGAACCCUUCGUUAUGUAUCAUCUUUUUCAUUGUUUUAAAACAGUAAACUCUCAGGACACUGAGCAGGCAAAUGUUAUAACUCGGUUUGUUAGCCAAAAACUUGUUGAAGAUUCUUGACAAAGCUGCGUCGAGUGAAUUGUCGGAGCUCUGAGGGUGAGAGAAAUUAGAGGGUGUAUAGGGAUUUGGAUUUGUUAGGAAGUUAUCAUUUUUAUUUGUCCGAUUCAAAACUUGAUAUUCCAAUUAUAUUCAUAAGCUUCUACAGUUAUCUUCAAAAAGACAUUCCAAUUAUAUUCAUAAGCUUCUACAGUUAUCUUCAAAAAGACAAAUGGAAGGCUUUGAACGGCUUGGGUCUGAGUAUUGUAGUUUGAUUUAUUUUGAUGAAAGAACCUUUUGACAUUAAGAUUCUUUCAUGAGUUAAACAUUCUUUUUAAAACCAACUUAUUAAAAAAAAAGUAACGAACAUAUAUUAUUUUGUUAGUGCUUUUUAAAUCAAAUAUAAAAAAGAGAACUGUAAUUCUUAGCAACCAAUUUUUCAUUGAGUACACCUACAACAAAUUAUUAAAAAAUAAAGCGAUAGAAAAUGCCUGAUUUUUCGUACUUUCUAAUUACUUUUGGUCCUAAAAUAUGGCGAUUUGUGUAAUAAUAAGCCCAUGUAUAUCUUUAUGCCAUUAGUUUGAUAAAUAACUAUCAAGGAUAACUUAUUAAGCUAAAAAUAUUUGAAGGAUAAAAUGGGAAAACUAAAAGGGUGGAGUAAUAAAGUUAUUUAAGAUUACAUAGUAAGUUAACUAUAUUCGAGGGAUAAAAUAUUAAAACUUGAAUAGUUAUAUUAAAAAUAUCUCGGCUAUUAUACUAUUAAACCAUAUGCCGUAAUAAUGUUUUUUUUCAAACUUUAAAAAAUUCAGGAUUUUAAAUUAAAACAUGGAUUUCUUUAAGAUGCUAUAUGUGUUUUUACAGUAUUGAUAGUGGGAUUAGUGUGUACCCUUAUAUGAAAGAGUUUUAAUCUGAAUCAUUCAUUUAAUAUAAUAGAUAAUUAAAUAAUUAAUUAAAAUAUAGCAGGUAACUUAUAGGUUGCAGGUAAAAAAUUAAUUUUUUAAUUUUAAAUUAAAAUUAAUUUGGAACAAAACCAUCCACACCCCUAAGGUUUACUUAAAUGAUCAUAUAAAUCCCUUUAGUUUCUACAUAGUUAUACAGACCCUCUUAAUUUCAUAAAUUAUUAUUAUACUUUUAAUUAAAACAACCUAAAUGAAUAUAAAUAUAGUAAUAGGAUAGAAAUAAUAAAUAAAUAUCAGAUGAAACAAAUAAAAUAUUACAAUAAAUACAAUUAAUUAAAUAACAUGUAUGAUGAAAAUUUUAUUCAUAUUAAGUUAUUAUUAGUCUAUCCCGAUGGAUUUACUCAAAUCAAUUAAUCCAAAAUUUAAUUUUAAGAUUGAUAUUAAUAUGGACAUAAUUAAAUAAGAUGUUGUAAUAUAUACUACUUUGAAUGUUAAGUAUAAUUAUCUAAUAUUAUUAGUAUGUGAAAUAGAUUUUAAUAUUAUUAAAGAAUAUGACAAUAUAUAAUUUUGAAUUAAAUUUUUUAGUAUUCAUGAUAUUUUAUAAAUUUUAUGUGAUUUUAUAUAUUAUAUUUUUUAAUUUUAAUGUAUUAUAUAUGAUCAUUUAAGCAAAUUUUGGAGGUGCGGUGGUCUUUUCCCUAUUAAUUUUGUAGCAUAUUUAAAGUGUUAUAUCAUACAUGAUACAUCACACUUUUGUUAAAGUGUUAUGUUAUUAAAAAUUAAACUUUGCAUUUAUAAUAUACUACCAUUUUAAUGUAAAGGUAAUAGAAAAUAUGAAGAUAUUUUUAAGUAGUCAAUUGUAGCUUUCUUUUACAAAAUAGCAGUAUAGAAAUACAAUUGGUAAAAUGUAAUAAAAAUGGUAUGGAAAAAAGUUAGUAGAGGCAAUUAUUCUUGUAGUUGCUAAAACAUAUGAAGUGACACACACACACACACACAUAUCAAGUACUUGUAUGUUCCCCUAACUUUUAUUAAUGGGAAGGAAAUUAAAUUCGUAAUUUUCCCGGUGAAUUAUGAAUUGAUAAAUGAAAUAUAAAUAUUAGUAAAAAUUAAUUUGUCGACUAAAGAAGUAAACCAUAUUUUAUGGGCAUUUAAUACAUUAAUUUAAGGUCAAAUGAGAUAAUAUCACAUGAUAUUUGAUACAAGAGUCCAAUUUUCAACAUUUGCAUAUAGUUUCUAAGCUAGUAAUCUAAUAAAAUAUACCAAAUGAGAAAUUGAAGGCUAUUAUUUAUAUUUCACCAUUGGACAAACACCAUACAUUAGAAUAAAAAAAUCUCACAGUAGAGACGGCAUCUGUUUGCAUGUUUUGAAAAUAGAUUUUGAAAUUAGUUUAAUUACAUGAUAAUUAAAUUAUAUUAUAAAAUUAAGAAUAUGAUUUAAGUACUAUUUUAGCAAUUUUGAGUCUCACAUUGAGUAUUCAAGUUAAUUAAAUGUUGAAACUCUUUUCUAUUUGGCUUGAAAUCACUACUAAAUAAAAUUACAAAAAGUCAAUAAUGAAUGAUGUAGGACACAUAUGUAAAAUAAAUUUUAAAGUGUAAUUAAACAUUCCUAUCAAUAUUAGUUUUGCAUACAUAUUCAUAUAUUUUACCGAAACCAUAUAUAAUUAAAUUUUGUGUAAUUAAGUAAAAUAUAUUAUUCAAGUGAAUUUAUGAGAAUAUUUAAAAUUGUAGGGGUCGUCACUGAAAUUUGCCAAACUUGAGCCAACCGUGCAUGAUCCAAACAGUUUAUUUUAAUAAUUCUCAAUAUGUUAGUCUGUUUGACUGUUGGCAAAAUAAAUUCCUAUCAGCAAUGCAACACAAUUCAAAAUCAUAUCUGCAUACAACGAACAAUAUCUCAUGAAAGAUCAAAUUAUACAUUUUUUACACCAAACCAUAAAUAUCUAAAUUGUCCCUCUUCAACUCACCAAGCUCAUACCUAACAACAGCAAGAUUAAAUGUCAUUUGAUCCAUCUUUUUUAUUAAGCUUUAUCAAUUCUUCUCAUGGUUGCAAUUUUGAAAGCUCGCUUCGCUAUUUCCAUUUGCUUUUAUGCUUUGUUUGAGCUCCAUCUUUUCUCUCCAUCUACAUUUUACACUGUAAAAAAAAUUUUAAAAAAAUUACAAAGCUUCUUAUGCUAGAAUAUGAGCAACAAUAUAAAUAAUAAACAAUAAAGUUAUGAUAGCACAGCAUGCUCAUUAAAGUGCUUCUUUUUUUUUUUUUUCAACAAGAAAUUACUACUGAAUUAAAGAUUUGGCUUUGCAUUAAGGUUUGCCUUCAAUAACUCAACUCCCCACUUGGGUUUUGUCGUUUUCUUAAAAUCUCUGCUCAAUCAAUUUAAAGAUCCUUUUUUUUUUCUUUCCAAAGAUCUAAAAGCAAUGUCUUUUAUUGGUACCCAACAAAAAUGCAAGGUCUGUGAGAAGACAGUUUGUCCAGUUGAGCAGUUAUCUACUGAUGGGGUUGUUUAUCACAAGUCUUGCUUCAAGUGCUCUCACUGCACUGCAAAGGCACACUCAAGCUAAGCAAUUACUCAUCCCUGGAAGGUGUUCUUUACUGUAAGCCUCACUUUGAGCAGCUUUUGAAGGAGUCGAGUAACUUCAACAAGAAUUUCCAAUUACCUGCAAAGUCAGCUGAGAAGUUAACUCCUGAGCUGAAAAGGUCGCCUAGCAAAGUUGACAGCAUGUUCUCUGGGCCCAAUAAAAAUGUGCUUCUUGCAGUAAAACAGUGUGUCCGUGGGAGAAGGUAGCAGCGGAAAACCAAGCCUCUCACAAGACAUGUUUCAAGUGCUCACAUGGUGGUAAUUCCAUUAGCCCGUCAAAUUACGCAGCCCUAGAAGGCAUCUUGUAUUGCAAACAUAAUUUCUCCCAAUUGUUCAAGGAAAAAGGCAGCUACAACCACCUUCUAUCAAAUCUGCUUCCAUGAAGCGUGCUGCAGUCUCUGUUCAAGAAGCUUGAACAUGUUAUGUUAUCUUCCAUAAAUCUUAUUUGGCGUGGGUUUUCUCUGGCUUGAGGGUGUGCUUUCUAUUUUGAUCCCUCUUGUUGUUUUUGCGGGGAACUACCAAACCUUCGGUUCCCUCUGCUUCUUUGGAUCAUCUUUGUUGGGACAAAUUUCAUGUAAUUAGAGAUACUGAUUUAUGGGAGGCAUAAUCCCAUGGUUGUAAAUUGACCAUUUUCUGGCAAUGUUCUUUUUAAAAAGAGAUGAGCAGUUGUUUAACAAAAAAAAUAGCUGGCCUUCAUCAUGGUAUGUUACCAAACUGCUAUGUAUAGCUGCUAACUAUGAGCAUCCGAAAAUAUGGUGCAUCGUGAUUCAUGUCGUGCAAUAUGGCUACCAACGCAUCCUAAAUGGAGUAUUACUCAGUUAGUCAGCAAAAUAAGACAACAGUAAGAUAUUAAAAAAAUAAAAACUACAUUAAUAAGUGGGCAAGAUCAUGCCAGUUUAACUUUUCGCGCGUCGCUGCUGGAGAUAAUCAAAUCGGGGCAGAGAAAAGGAGAAUGGAAUCAGAGGCUAAGAUUAAUAAGUGGGCUUCUGCUUGCUUUGCCCCUCUUUCUUAAACGAUUGGUAGACUGCUGCUUCCACCGAUUAACCGGGUCUUCAACCACUGCUUUUAUUGCCUGCCAUCUUGUUGUUUGUCGAAGGGAUGAAUUCGAGUCGAAAAGAGAAAGCGCGCUGAAAAAGACAAAUCACUAGUGGUUAACUACUGACUCAGCCAAGUGUUGGCUUCACUUGAUUCACCGAUUGAGGUUAUUUUGUCUUCUAUCUAAUGCAGCGAAGAAGCUUUACUGCUUAACAUGCUGCAAUGCAACUUUAUCUUUUGAAGUUCACACUUCAGGGCUGCGCACUUUAUGUAAUCCUAUGAGUAAAAAGAAUUUAUUUUCAAAUGUGAAAAAAGAAAAUGUAAGGUAGUAACUAAAUAUAUUAUAGCAUCAAAGUAAGAUUUGAUAUGAAUUUAGUACAACAAAGAACAUUAAAUCUGUGAUUCCUUGUCUAAUGUCACCAUCGAGCAACAAAUUUAAAAGCCUACCUAUCAAAUACACGAGGCAAUAAACGGAGAAAAAGUUGAAUUACAAGAACAAGUUUACAAUUCUUGUCAAUGGUUAAUGAUUCGUGAAUUGAGAUAGCAUUCAAGAAUCCAAUUUCAAUACAACAACGUAAAAGAUAAACAGAUGAUGAAUUUUAUGAGAUAAAGAAGGAGAUUGUGUUUUAUCGUAUCUCUAUUUUCUUUCCAUUUAAAUUUAAAAUAAGCUUUUCAACCGGUUAUAAUAUUUUUUGAAAUAAUUAAAUAUUUUUAUUAUUAAAAAUAAUGUGUACCGUUGAUUACAUCUAACGCUACAUAUUUCUUACACUAUUAAUACCGUAAAAAAAAUCAUAGAGGGACCCUUAAAACAUUUUCAUUUGAAAUUAUUUGGUGAAGUGAAAAAGUUAAGAAAGAAAUAGUUGUCCCUUUGGUCAUUUCACAAAAAUGAAAGCCCCAUAUAACAUGGACUUGAAUGGAAGCCCAAUUGUUGUGUUUGAUUUCAAGCUUUAUCGGACCUUUGGACCUGGAUACUUUACUGCGGCCUCUAAGCGCUACAAAUUUUUUUUUUGGGAUAAAAGGCGCUUCAAUGAAAAAGCACUUUAAAACUUUGGAUUUUGCCAAAACUUCAAAGCGGUUGGUCCAGUUACGGUGUUAUGCUAACGGGUUUAAAGGUUCCGAUCCAAUGAGUUAGGGUGGAAUAUGAAUAUAUAAAUCCUAGUCAUGUAAGGACUAGGAUUUGUUUGUUCAUAUCAAGAAAAAAAAUCUGAAAAUUUGAUGAUCAGAAGAUAAAAACACUUAAACACGUUUAUUACAGAGAAACAAACGACAACAUGAUGCUAGUAGUAAUUUUAUUUUUCUUUUAUUGUGUAACGUGGACCAAAAAAAAGGAAAUGAAUUUAAUAAAACCGUCAUUCCGCAAUAAUAAUGUACCAGCCUGGUUUUUAUAAUCCAUACCAUCCUGAUAUAAUUAAACACCAUUAAUAAUGUACCAGCCUUUAAAUAGUAAUUAAUUUAUUUAUCUAAUUCACCAAAUGUCAUUUCCGGUACAUAUCUCCUGGUAUCAAGAAGAGGCAGAACCCAAAGAAACGUUUCUUGUAUCUUCAUAUUUGUGCGAAUUCAUCCUUUCAUUGAGAAUAACCAUUUCCAGGCGGCAGUUGGCAAUCAAUUCAUGCGCAAGUCGAUGCUAUUCAUAGAUAUUAAAGACAAUGAUGAACCAAAGGUGAUAAAUCAUAAAUGCAUAAUUACCAAACCUCCAUCCUUCUCUCAUUAUGAUUUGAUUUUAAAUGAAUUAUUGCUUGGUAACAUUAUUUCCAACCAUUGCAAGAUUAUUAUUAUUUUUUUUUGGGGAGAAAUUUCAAUUGAAAGUGAAACCUUUAGACAUUUACCUAAUGAAGUUAGUUAAUGGGGAGGGUUGGAAAAAUUCCCAAGCCGUUGCACAGCAAUUACGAUCAUCCUCGGCCUCAGGUAAUUUCUUCUCCUGCAUUUUUGUUAUUUGCUAUCAAGUGACAUUCGUAAGUAUGAUUGUAUUAAGCUGCUGCUGGGAAAUAUAAGGUUUUGAUGGCUGCCCAUGCUAUUGUCAGAAGCUGCGGUUCUUUUCAUCAGCCUGAACCUGGACCUGUCGCCAUGGAUAACUGAGGUUUUUUUUUUUUUAAAUCAACUACGUCAUCUUUUCCACUGUUUUGAAACUCUUAAGAUUAAACUUUAGUAAAGUUGUUUUAGUUAUCCAUGUAAUCAGGCUGAGGAUACUUAGCUGCCUAUUUAGGCAAAUGUCAGACUUUAGUUUGUUCGCUGGGAACUGGUGUGGUGACAGCGUCCUGGCAAAGGAUGAUGAGAUAGUUUUUUGAUUGAGUAAAUUUUGGGGGCUUGAGUAUAUUGGGAUUUGCAAUUACAAUUAUCCUCUGCCUCAGGUGAUUUCUUCUCCUGCCCUGUCGUUGUUUGUUCUCUAAUUCAAAAUUAUAAAAUAUUUCAUCAAAUUUUAUGCCGGGAAUAUGCAAAAGUUUCUAAUAUUUUAUUUCCAUCUGUUUGUCUUGAUAACUUUGCAGCAUAUGUACUAGUUAAAGAACAAAUCGAAACAGAGUUCAGUUAAAAGUUUCUUCUGCCGUCAUAUUUGAAAAAUGAACCCAUUUCCAGGAAGCAAUGGGCAGCAAAUUCAUAUAAAGCGUAGACAAUGAUGAGCAAACAGGUGAUUCACAUUAAUGAAAUUAAUUGUUUGGUUGGAGCGGACAUUGUUAGAAGGCUAUUGAGCUAACCUAUGUCACUACUUGCCUAGAUUACAGGGGGUCAAAACUCAAAAGCGGCAUUGAAUUUUAAAAGGCAUCCAAUAAUUCUUGUGGCCAUAUAUCAAUUCAUGUAUGUUUGAAUGUAAUUAUUGGUGAAGGGGUUUCACUUCCCGUCUCUAAAUAAAAAUACUGAUUCUUUAAGGUACCUGCCACUAGGGAUUGCGAGAUUAAUGAGUCUUUGGACAUUGGAAGAGCUCCUUGUGAGUGGAGGAGGAGGUGUUGAUGGUAGCAAAGCAUGUGGGCAGUGGGCUUGAAUCUCUAAAAAACUUGGAACUCCUCCAAGCGUAAGUAUACGUAUACUGGGAAAUUUGUUAGAUGUGGAUGAGGCUAAGAGAUUAGAGCUUGACAAAAUGAAAUACCUCUUUCAUUGAGACUUAAAUUUGAUGGGGAAGAAGAAAAAGAAGAGGGAAGGAGGAAGAAUGAGGAUAAUCAACUUGUUCUUGAAGCCUUGCAACCACCUCUGAAUUUGAAGGAAUUAGAGAUUUGGUCAUACAGAGGCAACAUUGUUUCCCCCCGGAUGAUGCAAAAAUUGAAGGAAUUUACCAAUCUAAGGAGUUUGACACUCUUUAAAACUGCAAAAAUUGAGAGCAGUUGCCUCCUUUGGGAAAAUUGUGAUCCUUUGAAAAUCUCAGCAUAUUGUACAUGGAGAGUGUGAAAACAGUGGGUAAUGAAUUUCUGGGAAUAGAAAGUCAUCUUCAUGACUCAUCUCCAUCUUUAUCAGUUAUUAUUGCCUUCCCCAAAUUGAAAUCACUUUCAGUUGAGGGAUUGAUGGAAUUGGAGGAGUGGGAUUAUGGGAUUAAAAGAACAGGAAACACCUUCACCAACAUUAUGCCACGUCUUUCUUCCUUGGAAAUUAGUGUGGGGUUAUGGGAUCGCACAACCACGUUGAAGGUAUUGCAGAUUGUGGCAUGUGGUACUCUAAGAAGACGUUGCAGACAGGGGAGAGCAGAAGACUGGCCUAAGUUCUCUCACAUUCUAGACAUCAUGAUUGUGUGAAAAGAGGCCCUUGACAAAAUUCUCUAGGCGGCUACAUGGAGUACAAUCAUAAAAUGCUAAUGUGGCCACCCUGGUUCUUAAUUAAGGUUGUGAAAUAUUAUUGUAAAAGAUGAUUAAUUCAAUUUGAGUCAUUCGUUUGCUUUGAUAAUGAUAGUAAUUUUAUAUUUUGACAAUUUGCAAGGUGAGAAUGGUGCUGAUUGGUGAUACAGGAUACGGUUCAAACACCAUUGAAUAAAGCUACGGACAUGGUGGCUCAACUUAGCUAUUGCUGUCAAAAUUGGUAAGUUGGCUUGUCAAUGUAUUGAUGCUUUUGUUUUCUCUCAACCCUAAUUACCUUACCUUCAUUUAGUUUGGCUUUGGAGUUGAGUAAUAACUUUCAAGGUUCUCAAACAGAGCAGGACAACCGAAAAAAAAAGCUUAAUUUGCUACUGAUCACGUGUUACCAAUUAUUAAGGUAAUUCUCGUUUACUUGCUUCUACACUAUAGAGUACGUGUUCUGGCUGGUUUAUCUAAUUCAUCAAAUGUUAUUUCCUUAUUGUUCCAUUGAUAUAUUUGUUAGAAAGUGAAACCAUUUCCAGGCAGCAGUUGGCAGUGAAUUCAUGCAAAUGUUGAUGCCAUUCAUAGAUAUUGAAGACAAUGAUGAGCCAAAGGUGAUAAAUCAUUAAUGCAUAGUUACCAAAACCUCCAUCCUUCUCUCAUUGUAAUUUGAUUUGAAAUGAAUAAUUUCUAGGUAAUUGAAGCCAAUAUUGUUAGAAACGGUGUUGAGCUACCCAAGCUAAGAAGUUGGCUGCCAAAAAAUGCAGGGGAUCAAAAGAAGCAUUGCAUUUGAAAAGGAAUGAGAUUCUGGUUGCUACAUGUCAAUUCGUAGAAGUUUCAAUAAAUUUAAUGGUUCAAGAUUUUAGUUUCUGUUUAAAUUUGUGCUACUGCAGUGCUGCAGUGCUGCUACUGGGAAAUUUAAAUCCCAUAUUAGACUUUCCUCACAUAAGAAGCUGUGGAUCUUCGGACAUCAGGUUUUUUCACAGUUCUGAAACUCUCAGGAUUAAACUCUAUUAAAGUUGUUGUAGUUGUCUACGUUCUCAGGUCAAGGAUUCUAAGCUGCCGAUUAAGGCAAAAUGUCAGAAUUCCCCUAUUAUUUUUUUUUUCAUGUAAAAUUAUGUUGUUGUCUUCGCCCAUGAAUCUUAGCUAAAUUCUGAACCAAUUGUUUGCUAUUAUAAAUUUCAUUGUUAAAUAUUAAUUGUGAUGUUGGUGUUGAGUUUCUUUUAAAGUCAGAGAAGCCUGACGAUUGAGUUCCAUGGGAUUCUGAGAAGCAGUAAUAUUUUGAACAAGUGAAGGUUCUUCGUUUUUACAGUAUGUGCAGAUGUCUAAGAGGCAGGAUUUUUAUUUCUGUAAUGCUAAAUUUCGCAAAACAAUAAAAAUAAAUAAAUGCAUGACAGUGACUUCAAGAAUUUAGAUUAUUGAAUUUGGUCAUUUUAAAAUUGUUGGAAUGUUGAACUUAAGUAAUUUUUAUAAACCAGAGCUCAGAAAUGUAGAAUAUAAAUAUUGGAGAUUUGGACUUCAAUCAUUAGACUUGAAGCUAAAGAGGUAAGCCAUUAAUUAUAUCAAAGGAUUUGGAAAAUGGAGGGAUUGGAAAAAGGAAACAUUUUCAUAAACUUCAAGAGGAACGUCACAGAAAGGGGUAAAGAGAAGAGUAGCCUAAGAUAUUAAAGACAAUGUUGAGCCAAAGGAAACAUAAAUCCCAACCAUUGCAUGUGAACAUGAUCACAAUAAGGUCAAAAACCAUUUUUUUGAGAAUUUUCAAUUGAAAGUGAAACCUUUUGACAUUUACCUAGUAAAGUUAGUUAAACGAGAGAAAUAAAGGGGAAAAGAAAAGUUGACUCAAGUCAAUACAGAAUAAUUAGUUCAAUCUGGAGUAACUAAAACAGAGCCACUAUAUUUUCAAAAAUAUCUGCAUUCAUCACCUUCUCCUCCAGCUAGUGAGCUACACACGAAUCCUUUCCUUUUAGCAUUUUUGCAGCAUCAAUUUCUCCCCUCGUUUGUCAUCAAUUUCUCCCUUCGUUUCACCAAUACCAUGGCUGAUGCAAUCGUUUCCCCUCUCUUGGAGCAGCUGAUUAUCUUUGCUGCUGAAGAGUUGAAACAACAGGGGAAGCUGGUGAGUGUUGGAUGAGUGGAUCACAGCAUGCGCCAAAUCGCAAAAUAGAUCAAUGCUCUUGGUGCUCCUUAUCUGAAGAAGAAGGUGCAAAUUGGGAGCUGCAUUUCACUGUCAUAACAUUUAUUGUAAUUUCAUUUGGAGAUAUGUAAUAUCUGUUGUCCAGAUACAUAUCAUACACCAGUUGCUAUGUAAUUUCGUUUAGGUUCAUUUUUGUUUCUUAAGAGUUUGUAAAAAGAAUGGAAAGAUUUUAAAAUAUAAAUUUCAUAUCUGUUUAUUACUGUUGUUUGGUCUAAUUUCUUAUGUAGAAUUUUCAGAAUCUGUAGGACAUUAGUUUAUAAUUUUGAGAUUUUGCAGCCAUAAAAAAAAUUUUUUUUUUUUGCCAUUUUAUUUUGCUCCUUUAUCUAUGUGCAUGUUGACUGGCUGCAGUGAGUGAAAAUUUACCUAUAUAUGCUGGCUAUUCUUGGACAAUAUUAGAGAAAAUAAUCAUAUUAUUUCGCGUGAUGUGAACUUCCAUAACUUAUCAAUUGAAUUGCUGUAAAAUAUUAAAUAGUUUUAUUUUUCUUUUAUCGUGUAACUUGGACCAAAAAAGGAAAUGAGUUUAACACGACCCUCAAUAUAACCUCCAUUUCAGCACAAUACAUGUUAAUUGUUCCCCAAGGACUUCUCCUGUUUCCCAUUCCCACCUCCAUGCUCUCGAGAGGAAUUUAGCACCCAUCAAUUUUUAUUUUUGAAAACUCGUAAUGGUCUGAUAAAAUUAAACAACAUCAAUAAUGUUACCAGUCUUUAAAUAGUAAUUAAUUUAUUUAAUUUGCCACCUAAAAGAAUCCUGCUGGAAAUAGAGGUUAAAAAUUUUAUUAGAUCUGCUUACCUUUGUUCAUUCAGCAAAAACACUUACAAUUCACAGCUAGAGAAUCUAUCCAUUGACAAUUGUGGAUUAAAAUUAUAACACCUGAAUUCAAACAUAUCCUUAUGAAGUUAUGAAUUUGUUCAUACUUCAAAUGAUUUUUUUUUCCAAGCUAAUAAAGCAACCACUUUGAUCAAACGACGACGUUGAAGGAAUUACGUAUUUUCAAUGUCCUUUUCCAGACAGAUGUUGGAGAGAGGGAAAGGAGAAGACUGGCCUAAUUAAGAUAUCUCACAAAGAUUAUUGAGUUAAAAUGUUAUUGUAAAAGAUGUUUAAUACAAUAAUAGUAAUUCUUUUGCAUUGUUAUAAUGAGGCUGGUGGGUUUCCUCAGAGGAUGGAUAUGGCUCGCUAGCAUGCAUUUGGGAAGAUGCUAAUUAUCGGCCAUAAAAAGUCAGGGGGUUGUGGCUCUUCCGUCGCCCAGAAAUUCCUAAACUCAUAUAUCAAACUUCAGAUGAACUUGGGCAUUAUGUAAAUAUGUAUUUUUGAGAAUUAAACUAGUGCGUUCGAAAAAUUUUGAGCCAUUGUAAUCAUUUUAUUUUGCUAAGAGAAAAUUUUACUUUGUUUCGCUUUGCCUUUUGUUUUUUCUGUGAUAAUAUGAUUCAUACGAAUGUGAUUACACACUAUCAUGCAUCUAUUUUCAUUUGCUUGUCAUGAAUGGUCAACAUGCUCGAAAUAUUUACUUAGGUUGGAAAUAUUUGAAUCCACUAAAAUACUAUACAAACCCAUUUUAAAAUUAAAAAAAUGAUUAUCAUAAUACUCGUGAAGAUAACACGAUAUCAUACAUAAAAUAAAAUAUUUCGCAAAAAAGAUAAGAUACAAAUCUUGAGUAAAUAGGUACAAAAAAUAUUUUAGUGGGUUAAGUAGCACUAAUGCCCCCUUAUCAAAAAAUAAAUAAAAAUAACUAGUCUGAUUGGGUAUACCGUUUAUAUAUAUGUACAUAUUCUUGAUAAUGUGUAAUGUACAUUAUAGACAAAGAUUUUGAAAGCAAUAUUUUUUAAAAAGUCGAGAGAAUAGGAAAAGUCUAAAUCAAUUUUCUAAUCUCUACCUCCUUUAUGAUUUAAACUUUAGUGUUUAGUGUCGCGAGCCACUCAAAUUUUCUAAUCAAAGAGACUAAAUUGCACGAAAUUGUGCUAGCUUAUUUGAUUCUAGAAAUUUCUACUACACUGUAACACACUCUCACGUAGGGAUGGCAAUGGGGAGGGGAGGGGAGGGGACCAAUCUCCCCAUAUCCAUCCCCGAUAUUUUACAUAUGUCCCCGUCCCCGUCAGAAUUGCUUGAGAGAAUCCCCAUCCCCUCCUCGAAUAAUAACAGGGGAUCCCCGAGGGUCCCCGGUCCCCGAAUAACUAAUAAUCUAAUACAUUUUUUUAUUUUCGAUUUUAAAUUAAUCAUAUUAAAAUAAACUCAUACCGCUAUUGUAAGCUCGUAACCAAUUUUGACAGCACAUUAAGGCCUCCAAUGUGCUUGGAUGAAGUCUGUUAUGGUAUGGGCUCACAACUCUACCACUAGUGUUAAAAGCUGAUUCAGAAGCAACUGUUGUAAUUGGAAUUGCCAAAAUAUCUCUAGCAAUUCGAGCUAAUGUAGGAUACCUAUUAGCAUUUGUCUUCCACCAACUCAAAAUAUUAAAAUCUUCCAUCCGAGGUAUAACUUUCUCAUCCAAAUAUGAAUCUAAUUCAUCUGCAACAACUGCACAAUCUCCAUUGUUUACAUAAUCAUCAAAACCUAUCAUCCAUUUGGUUGCUUUCUUAUAAGAAUCCCCUGUAGAUCUAGUAGAAGAACUACUACCAGUAUAAUCAAAGCAAUAAACAGUUGGUGAAAACUUCAAUUAAUACUCUUCAACUAAUUCCCGGCAAAGGAUGACCACUUUCCCAACAUACAACUAUUUUGAUAUUUAUUAUUUUUAACAAUAUUUAUAAUUUUGUUAUUUAUUUAUUAGUAAUUUUAAAAAUAAAAAUAAAAUUAAAAAUUAAAAUGGGGAAAUGGGUAGGGGAUGGGGAUUCCACCUCAUCCCCGUCCCCUCCCCGAAUAAAAAAUUGGGUAAAAAAUUUUCCCCGUCCCCUCCCCGAAAAAAAAAUUGGGUAUAAAAUUAUCCCCGUACCCUCCCCGAAUGGGGAAAAUCCCCGAGGGUAUCCGUCCCCGUGGGGAUUUUUGCCAUCCCUACUCUCACGCUUGUACAUACCUCGAAAUUCUCUAGAAUUUACUAGAGUAGUGUUGCAUGUAGCUUGUACAUAGGUUUUUCUGGAACACUCCAGGCAUUACUAAGCAUGAGAGCCUUGAGAACUCUCUAGCCAUAAAACAUUCUAGGGUAAGCCUACCCUAAAAAUAGGGCAUGAUGCUUGCCACUUGAGCAUACAACAAGUAAGAACAAAUCAAGCAUACUUGUGAGCUCUCAAACUCUCUUAUACACACUUUUAUGAAUAAUAUAUUCUCUCUUUGGCUAUAUUGCUCUCUCUUCUCUCUAGUUUUUUUCGCAAGCAUCAAACCUUAGUUAGUCGAAAAAUUCAAGGCUUACUUUAUAGCUAUCUCGUAAAAGUUGUUUAAGUACCAUAGAGAUUUGCUGUGCAAAAUACUCAUCACAUGACAUUAGCUAAAUAAAAUUGUUUGAAAGCCACUUACCCAAACUAUUAAACGAAUAUUGACUUUUGUCUUAAUUUUCUAUCUCCUACGAUAAAUUUUAUAGUUAAAAAUUGAAAAAAAUUAAUAACUAUUAGAUAGAGCAUUCUUUAUUGUUAAAAGAAAUCUAUAUAGAUAGAUAGAUGGUAAUAUAAAAACUUACUUAUUGUAGUAUAAUGUUUUUAGUUUUUUGAAACACAGAUUCUCACUUUUUAAAGAUAAAAUUCAAAGAAAACAAGUUAAAUGUUGUAGAAAAUCUUCCAGCCAUACAAGAAAUUGUGAUGGCUAAAUGCAAACCUAACUAAAGUAUUAGUUGUUUUAUUACAAUCUCCAAAAAGAUGAGCAAUUCCAAAAUCUUUUUUUGUGACAAUAAACACUACACGUCAGUAAUUAUCCAGGUCAAAAGCAAGCUACUCUAUUAAAAAAAAAAAAAACUUGCAGUGAAUUCGAAGAUAAACCAAUUUUACUAGCAAGUUGGAUACAAAAGAGUAGGGCUUCGGCCUCAAUUACUCAGUGUACCAACAACUCAAUCUCGGUGAGUUAAAAUCAACUUCCAUCAGUCUUUUAUUUGUUGAUAGAUCGAUUAAGGUACCAAAAAGAAUAAUUAAAGAUGUAUUAGUUCAAGUUAAUAAAUUCAUAUAUCUUGUGGAUUUUAUUAUUUUGGAAACUGAACCAAUUGCUAAUGAAUGCAAACAAAUUCCUGUUACAUUGGGUCGUCCAUUUUUAACUACUGCUAAUACAUUGAUUAAUUGCUGGAAUGGAGUAAUGAAUUUAUCUUUCGGCAACAUGACAUUGGAACUUGAUGUGUUCAACAUAUGUAAACAACCUCACCACCAGGAAGAUGAUGAUAAUGAGAAUUAGGAGAUUGAUUUCAUCGAGCCAAUCAUUGAGGAACACAUUCAGAAUAAGAAUUUUACAAAUUCUGUGGAAAUUUAUUCUUCUUGUUCUUUUGAAUCGAGUAAAGAAUUAAAUUAUGAUACUGCUAACAUAUAACCUACAAUUGAUUCUAUGCAGGUACAUGCUGACAAUGGCCAAUCAAACUUUAAAGAUACAGAACAACCUGAAGAACCAAACGAAGAGCAAGUACCAGAGCUCAAAUUAAAGCCCUUACUGGAAGAAUUGAAGUAUGUCUAUCUUGGAGAACAACAGAUUUAUCCUGUGGUAAUUUUUUUCCCAACUCACGCUUGAUCAAGAAGGUAAGUUGUUGUCUGUACUAAAAAGGCAUAAAACUGCAUUUGGCUGGACUUUAAAAGACAUAAAAAACAAUAAUUCUUUAAUCUGCACACACCGAAUACACUUAGAGGAAAAUACCAAAACAACCCAUCAACAUCGACAUUAUAUGUGUAAACAUUAAAUACCAAAAUCAACCCCAAAAACUAUAAAUAAAAUAUCAUGAUUAAAAUGAAGUUUUUUUUUAGAUAUUCGUUGUAGUAUCUCUUUAGAUCGCAAACAAGAGAUAAAAUAAAUAAAUAUUUGCUAUGUAAAUAAAAAUAAAUAAUUUUUUUUAACUGAAAAAUAUUCUCAAAAACUAAAUAGUUCAAACUUUUUUUAACAUCAUGUGUUUCUAGGGUUGGGCAUUCAGUUCGGUUUUUACCGAACCGAACAACUAAAUUAAAUCGAAAUUACCUGUUCGGUUCAAUUGAAUAGACAAAAACCGAAGAGUUUAUAUUUUCAUGAACUGAAUGAUUUGUGUUUCAGUUGAGUUCGGUUCGAUUCUGGACCUGAACCGAACCGAACCGAUCCGUGAAUCGUAAACUGCCCACCCUUACGUAGUAGUUUCCGUUAACCGACGUUGUAUUGCUCGUAUAAAAUUGUUCAAAUGUUCAAAUCACAGUCUCCCGCUCUCAGCUCAGUCAGAGUUUCCAGGUCCAGAGACUUCCCGCUGACUGAGAACUUUUUCGUAGCAGGUCUACAAAUAAUGGAGUAGAGCUGAUUUUAUGAUUAAUUUAUUUCCUUUUUCAAUUUCUCUUGAUUGCGAUUUAAUCUGGAAAGUUAAACGUGAAUUGUUUAGUGCGGAUUAAAUGUUCGACGAAUUUCCCACAAGAGUAUUAAGUUCAAGAGAAAAAAAGAAAACAAUUGAGCGUGAGCGUGAGCGAGAAUGGUGUUUGGGCAAGUGGUGAUUGGUCCGCCCGGCUCGGGAAAGACCACUUACUGCAAUGGCAUGUCUCAGUUUCUCAGCCUUGUUGGCAGGUAACUUCGUUUCUUGAUUUCAAGCAGCUUUAUCUUCGAUGACCAAAAAUAUUGAUUUGGGCUUUGCCAUUAAAUGAAUGUAAGAGCAGUAGGGAAUAACUGAGUUAUAGGAUUAGCUUUAAGUGAACAUUGAUGGUAAUGUGAAGGUUGUAUGUGUUCAGUGGCAAGCUGUAUGCCAAUUUGGUCUAUAUGGUUGCUUAGGUAGUAACUUAUUAAUUUUUAGGCAGGAAGGUUGCAGUCAUCAAUUUAGUUCCUGCUAAUGAUAGUUUGCCGCAUCCUUUGUCAUUGAACUUUCUUACAAAUGCUGUGGUUUGUUGUAGUAUAAUUAGUUCAAUUGGAAAUUUCCUUGAUGUUAAUAUAGAAAUGAGUGUGCUGUGAAUAUUGAGGACCUCAUUAGACUAAGUGAUGUGAUGAUGGAGUAUUCACUUGGUCCCAAUGGAGGUUAGUCAGCCUAUUGUUGUUUACUCUUUCUUGCUUUAUCACGCAAUGAUAUUCCUUUGCUUUACAACAAAUUUCAUGAAAUUAACUUCAAUCAAGUGGCAAUGUUCAUACGCUGUUGAGAUUUUAUGGACAAUGAUUUGGUAGAAUUUAUAUGCCGUCUUCUUUCUUUUUGCAGUGAUAUGCUUGUAUUCAAUGAGCUUGUACUUAUUCUAUGGUUUCUAAAGUAGGUGUUUUUAUGAUAAACUAGGUCUUGUGUAUUGUAUGGACUAUCUAGAGAAGAAUAUUGACUGGCUGCAGUCGAAAUUGGAACUACUUUUGAAAGGUAAGUAGAGGCCAUUUUCCUUCAUUCUAAUGCCAAUAAUGCUGUCAUGAGACUCAUAAAAAUUGUUAAAACGUUAAUGUUUUUGGUAUUUUGCAGAUCGUUAUCUUCUGUUUGAUUUUCCUGGCCAAGUUGAAUUAUUUUUUCUUCAUUCCAAUGCCAAGACUGUUAUAAUGAGACUCAUAAAUAAGUUAAAUCUCAGGGUAUUGUUACAUCUUACAUCUAUGAAGGGACUCAAAGAGUUGAGAUGAAUUCAUCUUUGUUAUUUUGAUGCCAGAAUUGUGCAAUUCUCAGUUUGUUCCUUUCACAUGCAGUUGACUGCAGUGCAUCUAGUUGAUGUGCAUCUUUGCAGUGACCCCAGGAAGUAUGUUAGUGCUUUGCUUCUCUCAUUGUCUACGAUGCUACAUCUGGAACUUCCCCAUGUCAAUGUCUUGUCUAAUCGAUCUGAUUGAGAAUCAUGGAAAGCUAGGUGUGGUUUUAAGUGUAGCUCUCCUGCUUGUUUGUUUAGUUUGAAAUAUCAGAUAUUGUCACAAGAUCCUAUUUGCUACAUUUCCUCACCAAUCAAUUAUUUUGGGUCUGUUGCAGCUUUUAAUCUCGAGUACUAUACAGAUGUGCAAGAUUUGUCAUAUUUACAGCAUGCUCUCGGUCAGGACCCUCGUUCUGCUAAGUACAGGUUUGAAUUCUAGCUGAAUCAAUGAUGCAAAUUAUGUCCAUUGUUAUUUCUGCUGUUGUUUCUAUCAUUUUCAAUUGUUACUUCCCCUUUCCAUCUACUACCACACUACAAUACCCACACAAAUGUUGUGAAAUUUGUCAAUGGAAAAAAAACAGUUCCUCUUUUAUUUUGAUCAGACUCAAUGAAUAAGUGGUUAAAAUGUGCCUGUCCUAGAAAUAUAGAUGUGUGGUUUCGUAAAAUUUUCUUGAUCUUAAGAAAGAGUUAUCUCGAAAAGAAGAUAACAUGGAGAAUUCAACAACUAUACAGUCAUAUUGAUGUCUGUCAACUUGGGUCAUAUGGUGUCGUUUGGAUGGAGAUGUUAGGUCCCAGAUGGUAAACUUGUUAUCGAAUUCCAGUCUACUUCAUUCAUGCUUUGAUGACAUAUACGGUGCAGCUUCUUAUCUAAGACCUGCAUAUGUUCAAUCAUCAUUCUGUUCUGUAUUUGGCUGCCAUUCUUUUCAAUGAAUUCAAACCACUUCUGAAUACUUGCAAAUUCAUCCAGUGUUGUCAUUGAGAUGCCAAUAUGAAAGGAAGCCAUAAUUGCCCUUGAUAGUAUGCUUAUUGAUUGCCUCUUGCCUCACUCAGCCUCAUGAAUCUGCUUGUAUGGUGUUCUUGUAAUUUCAUUUGGAGAUUAGUAAUAUCUGUUGUUCAAAUGUAUUUUAUAUACCAGCAGUUAAUAAUUCUGCUUGCAGAAAGCUUACAAAGGAGCUGUGUGAUGUAAUUUUUCAACCUUAGAUAUCCAGGUCAUCAGUUUCUCUUGAAUUCUUUCUUGAAUUUCUUUGAAUUAUUUGUGAAUAAGAUCUUAGUUGGCUGCUUCUCUUCAGGAUAAGGAAAGUGUGGCAAAACUCGUGAAGCUGAUAUAUAAAAGCAAUGGGUACAUCUUUGCUGGCAUGGAUGCCAGUGCAGUUGAAUUCAGCAAGAUUGCCGUUCGCGAUGUUGAUUGGGAUUAUUUCGGAUAUCCUUCUUUUCACCUAUUUUCAAUGUUGUUAUUCUCAUAUUCAUAAAAUUUUUUGGUUAUUUAAUUAUGGUUCAUCAUAUGCAUCUGCAUCUUCUAACUUGUUCGUUUGAGAAACUAAUUUUGCCGUUAGGUAGGCUUCGAGCUUGAUGAGUUGAUUCAUGCUUUUUUCAUAAAUGUACCAAAAUCAUGGAAACUUCUUUUUCCCAGAUAUUGUAUCCACACUUUUUCCAUGUAAUUGGGUCAGACAAGUUUUGCUUAACAAAGAUAUCUACAGUAGCCGAAGUGCAGGAGAAGUACAUUAAGGAUGAUGAUGAUGUUAACUAAAAUGAGACGUGAAGAUAUGUGGUGUGCGAACCGUAAGCCUGCCUCUUAAUUUUGUGCAUGUUUACUUGCUUGUGAUUCACGUUUGUUAAUCUAUUUUGCUCUCUUGCAGGAGUUAUAAAGUUUUCAAUCAAUCAAACAUUUAACUUAAGUCCUUACCUCUUGCUGCAAAGACAAUGGGAAGUCUCAUGAGCUCUAAAAAAACUGAAGAAGAGUGGAAAAUAAUUUUAAAUAGUGAUUUAUGGAAGGUAAAAGAGAUCGAGAAAGGUGUUCUAACCCCUUUGUGGUUGAGUUAUAAUGAUUUGCCGUCCAGAGGAAAAAGAUGUUUCUCGUAUUGUGCUGUCUUUCCAAAAGACUACAAUAUAAAAAAAGACAAAUUAAUUACUUUGUGGAUGGCUCAAGGUUAUCUUAGUGCAGAAGCAGCAGAACAAGAUGAGGAGUUGGAGACUAUAGGUGAAGAGUAUUUUGGCAUCUUAGCUUCUCGCUCUUUCUUUCAAGAGUUUCAGAAACGUUAUGAUAAUCGUAUUAUAGCGUGCAAGAUGCAUGAUAUGGUACAUGAUUUUGCCCAAUUUGUUAGUCAAAAUGAAUGUUUUUCGUUGGAAGUUAAUGGUAGUGAGGAACUAACCGUCACAAACUCUACAAACUCUCUUGAUGAGAAGGUCCGUCAUUUAAUGUUAAUCUUUAGUAAAGGGACUUCAUUACCUGUUUCCACUCGUAGAGUUAAAAGAAUGCGUACCCUCUUAAUUAACGAUAGUAGAUCUGAUCAUUCAUUAUUAAAUGGUGAGAUCCUAGAAGAAUUAUUUAGGGAAUUGACAAGUUUAAGGGCAUUAGAUUUUGGCAAAUCGUAUAACUCAAGUUGGUCUUCGACUGUGGAGAUUCCGAGAACCAUAGAAAAGCUGGUACAUUUAAGAUACCUUAAUUUGUUUUAUCAGGGAAUAAAGAAACUACCGGAGACAUUAUGCGAGUUGUAUAAUCUAGAAAAGUUAGAUAUUAGUUUAUGUUUUAAUCUUAAAGAAUUACCUGAAGGGAUUGGGAAGUUAAUAAACAUGAAGCAUUUACGAAAUAGAGGUACUAGUUCUUUAAGGUACAUGCCAGUAGGGAUUGGGAGAUUAACGGGUCUCAGGACCUUGGAUGAGUUCCACGUGAGUGGAGGAAAGCGUGUAGGCUUGAAUCUCUUAAAAAAUUGGAACACCUUCAAGUAUGUGGUAUACGUAGACUGGGUGAUGUAUCAGAUGUGGGCGAGGCUAAGCGAUUAGAACUUGACAAAAAGAAAUACCUCUUCAGUUUGACCCUUGAGUUUGAUAAGAAGGAGGAAGAAGAAGGAGAAAGGAGGAAGAACGAGGACGAUCAAGUUCUUCUUGAAGCCCUACAACCACCUCUCAAUUUAAAGGAAUUAGAGAUAGAGUACUACCGAGGCAACACUGUUUUCCCCAGCUGGAUGACGUCAUUAACCAACUUAAAGAGUUUAGAUCUCUCUUCCUGCGAAAAUUGGGAGCAGCUGCCUCCUUUGGGAAAAUUGCCAUCCCUUGAAGCACUCAGCCUAUGGGACAUGAAGUGUGUGGAAAGAGUGGGUGAUGAAUUUUUGGGGAUAGAAAGUGAUCAUCAUGGCUCAUCUUCAUCGGUUAUUAUUGCCUUCCCCAAAUUGAAAUCACUUUCAAUUGAGGUUCUGCGCGAAUUGGAGGAGUGGGAUUAUGGGAUUACAAGAACGGGAAACACCGUCAUCAACAUCAUGCCACGUCUUUCUUCCUUGACAAUUGCACUUUGCCCCAAAUUAAAGGCACUGCCCGACCACUUUCAUCAAACGACAACAUUGAAGGAAUUGCACAUUUGGGAUUGCAGGCUUCUGGAAGAACGUUAUUGCAAGGGGGAAGGAGAAGACUGGCCUAAGAUAUCACACAUUCCCAACCUCCAUAUUGGGCUUUGACAAGUAAUUUCUUCUCUUACUCUGAUUUGCUUUGUUGUUGUUUUUAAUCUAAUUAAGAAGCGUAAAUAGCAUUUUGAAUCAAACUCUAUAUCAGAAAUCUGCAAUACUUACUUUCUAAUAUUCUGAUUUUCAUAUCCUAUGAAUAUACGAUUUUUAAUUUGUGAGAUGGGUAACGUUACUGUAAAAGAUUAUUAAUGCAAUAUGAGUAAUUCUUUUGCAGGACAAGUGACCUACAUUUAGUUUGGCUUUGGAGUUGAAUAAUAACCUUUCGAGGUCCCGACAACCAAAAAACGAAGCUUAAUUUGCCACAGAUUGCACGUAUUGCCAUUAUUGACAAUUUUCUGCACAAGCUUAGGUUGAUGUCAAAAGAGGUAAAUUAUUGGCAUGCCUGACUAUUUUGACCAUUACACGAUUCAUAAGUUUACAUUAAUUUUGAUUUUGAGUUGAGUGAUUAGUUUUCUAGGUUUGCUUACUUUAACUGGGUGACCAAUUUCUUGUAACUAAAUGUAUGAUGUGAAGCAGAACUCAAACAAAAGUAUGCUACUUCUUGCGGAAAUCUUGCCUUUGUUCAGAUUAUGAAACCAUUUCCAUGCAGCAAAUUCAUCCAAAAGUUUGAAUAAGUUUCACGGUUGGACACUGUUGGUUUCUUUUUCUUCUGGGGUGCAUUUAGGUGCUAUCAAGUGACAGCUGUAAGUAUGAUUGCACUAAGCUGCCGCUGGGAAAUUUGAGGUUUUGAUGGCUGCCCAUGUUAUUUUCAAGAAACUAUUGAUGUAAGAAGCUGUGGUUCUUUUCAUCAGCUUGAACCUGAAACUGUCGCUAUGGAUAACUCAGGUUUUUGUUAUCAACUAUAUCAUCUUUUUCACUAUUUUGAAACUCUUAAGAUUAAACUUUAGUAAAGUUGUUUCAGCUUUUCAAAUGAAAAACUCAUUGAUUUGAGACUUCCUUCAUUAUUGUUUCUAAUUACAAUGCUAACGAUCCAGAUAAGAUAAUAUUUAAUCGGCGAAGGUGUCCCUUGGAAGUACAUCCUUCUUUUUCUUUUAUUAUACAAAUUCUUGCAAUGAGCUUAGUGAAGCUGUUGUGCUAAUCAUGCCACUGCAUAAUUUGGCCCCUAAUGUGGGUACUCUGUUACAUUGUUCUGCAAAUUCUCCAGAAGUUAAAAUCAAUAAAUUUUCUAUUAGCUCUAGUGCUUUGACCUAAAUGCUAUUCUAUAUUCUGAUUACAAUGUUUUACCUUUAAAUUAACUACCCCUAGAUGUUGGAUUUUCUAGAACUUCAAAAUGAUUAAUGGAGAAAGAUCCCAUUAUCGUUAUUGCUAUAAAAAAUUGAUUUAUGCAUCCAAAGAUACAUUAUAUAUUUCUGUGUCUCUAUUUAUAGAUGACAUUUAAGCAUCCAUAAACCGUCAGACAGAGGAAGGGGGUUCAGUGCAAAGAUUCUGUUGACCUAGGGUUGACUGCAUAAUGUCACUUGUUCGCAAUCUAUUAUUCUUUUCAAGGUCUGCUUCCUUAACGGAGCGACCAAUGUUUUUCAACUAAAUUUAUCAUAUGAUGCAGGAAGCAGGGCAGGAUAUGAAAUGUGAAGCUCAUUGGUGGAAGUAUUGCCAGUAACAGAACCCAAAGAAAAUGAAACUAUUUCAAGGCAGCAGUUGGCAGUUGCAAGUGAAUGGAGGCCCUUGACAAAAUUCUCAAGCGGUUGCAAUGCAAUUACGAUCAUCCUCAGCCUCAGGUAAUUUCUUCUCCUGCUUUGUAUUUAUUUGUUAUCUAAUUAGGAACCGUAAAGUAUCUUGAAUCAUUUUCUGUAUCUGGAAUAUAUGCAAGAGUUUCUAAAAUUUUGAUAUGAGUGUAAUGAUGGUAAUUUCUGUUUUCUGUCUGUCAUCAAAUGUUAGAAAACUUUCAUUGAGACCCUUGAACCGAGUCAUUUUUGACAAGUGAAGUGCUGAAGAGUGAAGAGUAAGAAUGGUGCUAGAUUGGGGAAUAAAGCAAAAGGAGGUAAAUUAUUGGCAGCUUCUUCAACCUUAUUUUCUUUGGACCAGUGCCUAAUUCACAAGUCUCCAUAAUUCGGCUUUUGACCAGUUGAUAGAUAAAAUUUUAAUUUCAUUGGUGCUAAUGUACCCGUGAGGCAGGCAGAGAAGGACUGUGGAAAAGAGAAGGUUUUUAGUGAAAGCUUAAACUCAGGUAAUUCUAAAAAUUAUAUGUUUUGGCUGAUUUAUCUAAAUCAGGAAAUUUUAUUUCCAUCUGUUACAAUAAAACAGAAACAGAACACAAAGAAAAAUAUUCUACUUCUUGUGGCAAUCUUGCCUUCAUUCAGACUAUGAAACCAUUUCCUUUCACCAAUUUCUUCCAAAAGUUUGAACACAUUUCAUGGUUGGACAUAGUUAGCUUCUUUUUCUUUUGGUGCAUUUAGGUGCUAUCAAGUGACAGCCGUAAGUAUGAUUGCAUUAUUGGGAAAUUUUAGGUUUUGAUGGCUCCCCAUGUUAUUGCCAAGAAAUUUUAAGUCCUCGUGUCAGAAGCUGCGUUUCUUUUCAUCAGCCUGAACCCGAACCUGUCACUAUGGAUAACUGAGGUUUUUGUCAUCAACUAUAUCAUCUUUUUCACUGUUUUGAAACUCUUAAGAUUAAACUUCAGUAAAGUUGUUUCAGUUAUCCAUGUAAUCAGGCUAAGGAUAUUUAGCAGCUUAUUUAGGCAACUGCCAGAAUUCAGUUUGUUCGCUCGAAACUUGUAUGGUGACAAGGAUACUGGCAAGGAUAGUGAGAUAGUUUUUUGUGUGAGUGAAUUUUGAAAGCUUGGGUGUUCUGGGAUUUGCAAUUGCAAUCAUCCUCUGCUUUAGGUGAUUUCUUCUCCUGUUCUGUCUUUAUUUUCUCUCUAAUUGAAAGCAUUUCAAUCAAAUUCUGUACCAGGAAUACGAAAAAUUUACCAAUAUUUUAUUUCCAUCUGUUUGCAUUGAUAACUUGGCCGCAUAUGUACUAGUUAAAGAACAAACAGAAGCAGAGUUCAGGAAAAAGUUUCUUCGGCCACCAUAUUUGAAAAUGAAACCAUUUCCAGGAAGCAGUUGGCAGCAAAUUCAUACAAAGUAUAGACAAUGAUGAACAAAAAGGUGAUUCGCAAUUUCAUUUUUUUAAAAUGAAAUUAUUUGUUAAGUUGGAGCUGAUAUUGUUAGAAGGCCAUUGAGCUAACCUCUGACACUGCUUGCCUAGAUUGCAGGAGGUCAAGACUCAAAAGAUGCACUGAAUUUUAAAAGGCAUGCAAUAAUUCUUAUGGCCAUUUGUCAAUGGUGGAAUGCUUUUAGCUUCUUUUCCUUUUGUGCAUUUUGGGGUUCUAUCAAGCGACAGCCGUAUGUAUGGAUGGAUAUAGCUGCUGCGUUGAUUUCUAAUGCAUUGUAUGAUGUUAUAGCAACUAUCCAUCUGGUCAAUGUUUCAAAAGAAUAAGACAGGGAAAAAGAGAAAGCAAGUGGCCAAUCAAGUUGCAUCAACCAAAUUGUUGUUAAACAAGUAAAACAAAGAAAGAGAGUUAAGGAAGCUGACCUUGUAGUAGGGGAGCUGAAGAAAGGCUGCCAGUGAAUGUAAGAGAAAAUAAAAUGCAAGAAAUGGUGAAGUGCAGCUUUUCAUGUCAACUUGAAAUUGAUUUUUCUGUUUGUUUUUUUUUUUUUGUAAUCUUUUGGAUUUUUCAAACAAAGAAAAUGAGGAGCAACCAGGGAGAUAAAAAGGGCGCCAAGGCAACUGUGUGUUGGGUUUAGAGCCAAAAAUAAAUAAAUAAAUAAAUAAGACAUCGUGUUCUUGUGGAGACCAGACCUAUUACGUAACGUCCCCUUCAAUACCACUUGUUCCGUAUCUGGUUUUCUCUUCGUCGUUUACAUAUUUAUCCUGUGAUUUUACAAUAACUAAAUAAUCCCCGCAUAGUUUGCAAUUUUAUUCAUUUGGGCCCUACAGAUUUCAGUAAUAGGAAUUAUUAAGGGACAAGAGCGCAAAACAGAAACUCUGUCCACUACUGAUGAUAUAAUAACGAACCUUUGUUUUUUUUUUUUAAAAAAAAAAAGAGUAACAAAAUAUCAUUAGACAAAUGAAAAUAUUAUCUAACAUCACCUAUUCACCUUACUGAUGAUAUGAAAAUAUGUAUGUAUGUAUGUAUGUAUGUACAUAUAUACAUACACCUAUGUAACAUUUACUUAUACAUUCUUUUGAGUUUAAAUCUUAAUACAACUACAUACAACCACAUCAAUGUAUAUAUUUUUUACAUAAGACAUGCCGUCCUAUUAUUCAUAAGUAAACAAUGUGCCGUAAAUAGUAUUCUGUGUUUUCUCAAAGUUGACUUUUCGUCUUUUAUUUUCAGACGCAGACGCUAUGUCAUUUUGUAAUCGUCCGAACAUAUACAGAGCAGAAUUGGUGUUAUCUGAUUUUGUGAUGCAAUAAGAUUUGCACUUCCUGUGCAUUCAAUGGAAUCAUGCCACGCUAGUAGACAAUAUGCUAGUUUGAACAAACUUGUUUGAAUGGCAAAAACGACAUGACCUGCUGUAGUAUUAAUUCUUUCCCGAACCAACGGGUGAUUUGCUACGUUGGAUCAUGAAAAUUAACCAAAAUAAAAAUUCUUAAGGAAUUAGUUAGUUAAUUGAUUGAUCGAAUUUAAUCUAAAUUUGAAAAUGAUAAGAUAAAUUUAAAUUUAUUAUUAUUAUUAUUAUUAUUAUUUUAAAGUGGGUGGGUUUAUACAAUUUGAGCGGUGGAAAUAUCACUGCUGAAUUAUUAAAUAUACAGUGUAAAAUUUUGACCUUUAAAAUAUUCCCUUUUUUUUUUUAUUUAGCACUAUAAGUUUAAAAAUUUAACAUUUUACCUCAAUAAUUAAAUACUUUUAACUUUAAUCUUCAAAUAUUUACCCUACAACAUUUGGACCUAAAUUUUUAAUCCGACUCGGCCCCUGACCCAAGUGGGAAGAAGAUCAGGCUUAUAAGUUAUAACUAUCACCAACAUAACAUCUUCUGGAAAAUAAUAAGAUUACUCACCUGCAAUUAUGUGAUCAAACUAAUGGUAAGCAAAAUAGAACAGCGUUAUUUCAGUCCCCUUUCAGUUUCUUUAUCAUUUUUCUUUUCCUAUUUAUAAGCUUAAUUCGGUUCAAAAUCGGCUAAUUCACUUUGAUUUCACUUUUCUUUCUUUCGGUUCAAAAAAAUUGAACCCAUUGGCUGUCAAUUCAAUUUUGUUGAAAACCAACUUUGCCUGAAUUUAAGUAAUAAUAGAGGAAAAAAAAAGAGUACUUAGCAGAAGAGAUUUCUCAUUUUUUUCUCAUUCAAACUUCUAAAAUAAAAGAAAAAAAAACAAGAGUAAUUGUUAAUUAUCAAAAUUUUGUUUAUACUAUUCCACCAAGAAAAUUAUACAAAAAAAAAAAUUUUAAAAAUUGGAGAAGAAAUAUGAGGUGAAAUACGUGGAUGGCUUAGACUAAUAAUGUGAACAAAUUCCUCUUGGAAGCAUGUCAUUGUUCAUCCGGACAACACGCGGCGAUGAGAUUCGAGAAUAAAAGGAUAGGAAUCAACUGUAACCUCAUAAACAAAUGGCCUUGGAGUUGUAACCAAAGCUUUUAAUUAUUGAUCAUUAAGAUCGAUAUAAAGUAUCACGAAAUGAUGUGUACGACGACAAUAUCAAUAGCGUAGUGUGAAGACCUGGCUGUAAACACAAGGCUCGGCAGAUUAAUUAAACAAGAGUAUCCGAAUUUUCUAUGAUAAUCUCUAGGAAACGAUCAGCUAUAAUGUACGAAAUUAAAAUAUUGCAUAUAUUUUUGAAUUUUUGAACUCAUGCAUUAAUUUAAAAAAUUAUAUCGUAUUAUAAUUUAUUCACAAAAGAAAGAAAAAUUCACUAAUCAAGUGAAAUCGUAUUCUUAUUGAAAUGAAUUCCAGUAAUUGGAUAAAUAUAAGUAUUUCUUCCGUUGUAAUUUUUGUUUAACAGAAAAUCUAUUUGAGAUUUUGUGAGAAGAAACUCAACAAUAAAGUUUGAUAGACUUUGUGGAUAUUAAGAGUUUGACAAGUAAUUGAAAUCUGAAGUUUACUGAAAUUUACGAGCAAACAAACUGAAAUCCGAAGUUUACUGAAGUUUACUAUCAAGAGUUUCAAAACAGUGAAAAAGAUGAUAUAGUUGAUGACAAAAACCUGAGUUAUCCAUAGCGACAAGUAACAUACUGAAGUAAGCCGUUGGGAGCUGGCCUGUUCAUGGGCUAUUUUUCUCUGAUGAUCUGCAUUUUUCUUCCUUUUAAAGUGAACCUUGACUCGUAUCAAACCUGUCAAAAGAACAGUUCAUCAACUGAGCUGAGAUUUGCUUUCCUUUUUCAAAACCCACCUGAGAUAUUGUAAUUCCCAAAUUUCUCUCUCUCAGCUACACGAGCAAGCAGCCGCUUUUUCACUUCAUCGAAGAAGGUAAGCGAUUUAUCUAUUUCGUCCGAUUGAUUUCUUGUUUCGUUUUCAGUGUUCGGGUAAAUUAUUGGCAUGCCUGACUUUUUGACCAUUACAUGAUUCAUAAAUUUCUAUUAAUUUUGAUUUUGAGUUGACUGGUUACUUUUAUAGGUUUGUUUACUUUGACUAGGUGACCAAUUUCUUGUAACUAAAUUUAUGACGUGAUGCAGGAAGCUCGGCAGGAUAUGAAAUGAGAAUCUUAUUAGUGGAAGGAUUGCCAGUAACAGAACCCAAAGAAAAUGAAACCAUUUCAAGGCAGCAGUUGGCAGUUGGGAGUGGAUGGAGGCCCCUGACAAAACUUCAGUAAACUUCAGAUUUCAGUUUGUUUGCUCGAAACUUGCAUGGUGACAAGGAUACUGGCAAGGAUAAUGAGAUAGUUUUUGUGUGAAUGAAAUUACGAUCAUCCUCAGCCUUAGUUGUUAUUUGUUACCUAAUUAAGAAGCAUAAAGUAUCCUGAAUCAUUUUCGUUGUCUGGAACAUAUGAGUGUAAUGAUUGUAAUUUCUGUUUUCUGUCUGUCAUCGAAUGUAAGACAACUUUAUUAAGAUUCUUGAACCGAGUCAUUUUUGACAAUUGAAGGACAAGUGCUGAAGAGUGGGAAUGCAAAAAGUUUUGUUGUUUCUAGCCUUGUUUUCUUUGAACCAGCGCCUGAUGAUAUAACAGAAACAAGGCUAGAAACAACAAAAACUCUGUCCACUACUGAUGAUAUAACAACGAACCUUUGUUUUUUUCUUUUUUCUUUUUUUUUUUAAAAAAAGUAACAAAAUAUCAUUAGAGAAAUGAAAAUAUUAUCUAACAUCACCCUACUGAUGAUAUGAAAAUAUGUAUGUAUGUAUGUAUGUAUAUACGUAUGUAUGUACAUAUAUACAUACACCUAUGUAACAUUUAAUUAUACAUUCUUUUGAGUUUAAAUCUUAAUACACAUUUUCAUGAAAUUUUUAUUUUAUUAAGUAUACAACUACAUACAACUACAUUAAUGUAUAUAUUUUUUACAUAAGACAUGCCGUCCUAUUAUUCAUAAGUCAACAAUGUGUUGUAAAUAGUGUUCGUGUCUCAAAGUUGACUUUUCGUCUUUUAUUUUCAGACGCAGACGAUAUGUCAUUUUAUACACAGCAGAAUUGGUGUUAUCUGAUUUUGUGAUGCAAUAAGAUUUGCACUUCCUGUGCACUCAAUGGAAUCAUUUCUUUGUAACUAAUUGGGUGCUGGAAUGGUGGUCAAAUCUCGAACGAAGACAGAUCUAUCAAACUCCAGAAUUGGUGUUAUCUGAUUAAUUGAUUGAUCGAAUUUUAUCUAAAUUUGAAAAUGAUAAGAUAAUUUUGAAUUUAUUAUUAUAAUUAUUAUUUUAAAGUGGGGUGGGUUUAUACAAUUUGAGCGGUGGAAAUAUCACUACUGAAUUAUUAAAUAUACAGUGUAAAAUUUUGACCUUUAAAAUAUUCCCUUUUUUUUUUAUUUAGCAUCUAUAAAUUUAAAAAUUUAACAUUGUACCUCAAUAAUUAAAUACAUUUAACUUUAAUCUUCAAAUAGUUACCCUACAACAUUUGGACCUAAAUUUUUAAUCCGAUUCGGCCCCUGAUCCAAGUGGGAAGAAGAUCAGGCUUAUAACUAUCACCAACGUAACAUCUUCUGGAAAAUAAUAAGAUUAUUCACCUGCAAUUAUGUGAUCAAACUAACGGUAACCAAAAUAGAACAGCGUUAUUUGAGUCCCCUUUCAGUUUCUUUAUCAUUUUUCUUUUCCUAUUUAUAAGCUUAAUUCGGUUCAAAAUUGGCUAAUUCACUUUAAUAAGUUUAUUGGUUUGAACGCUGUUAGCUUCUUUUCCUUUCGUGCAUUUUGGUAUGCAACAGUUCUUGCCUAUGACACUGCUUGCCUAGAUUGCAGAAGGUCAAGGCUCAAAAGAAGCACUGAAUUUUAAAAGGCAUGCAACAGUUCUUGUGCCAUAUGUCAAUUCAUGCAAGUUUGAAUAAGUUUUUUGGUAUGCUAUCAAGUGACAGCCGUAUGUAUGGUUUGCAUAUAGCUGCUGCUGGGAAAUGUGAGGAUUUCAUGGCUGGCCGUGUUAUUGUCUUAAAUUAGAUGUGAUAAGCUGUUGCUUGGUGAUUCUGUUGCCAAGAAUUUGCUCACAUCAGAAGCUGUGGAACCUGAACCCUUCUCUAGAUAUCAUCUUUUUCAUUGUUUUAAAACUCUCAGGAUUAAACUUGAGUAAUUUUGUUCGGUUGUCUAUAUAAUCAUGUAUUGAGUAAACUCUCAGGAUACUGAGCAGGCAAAUGCCAUAACUCGGUUUGUUCUUCAAAAACUUGUUUAAGAUUCUUGACAAAGCUGCAUGAAGUGAAUCUUGGGAGCUUUGAGGGUGAGAGAAAUUAGAGGGUGUAUAGGGAUUUGGGCUUAUUAGGAAGUUAUAUAUGUAUUUCGUCACUUAUCAUUAUCAUUUUUUUUUUCACAGAAAACCUUCUGAUGGUGCUAAAUUUUCAAACACCGGUCCGAUUCAAAACUUCAUAUUCCAAUUAUAUUCAUAAGACAAAUGGAACACUUUGAACGGCUUGUGUCCGAGCAUUGUAGUUUGAUUUAUUUUGAUGACAGUACCUUUUGACAUUGAGAUUCUUUCAUGAUUUAAACAUUCUUUUAAAAACUAAAUUAUUAAAAAAAAAGUAACUAACAUAUAUUAUUUUAUUAGUGCUUUUUAAAUCAAAUAUACAUAGGAGAACUGUAAUUCUUAGCAAUCAAUUUUCCACUAAAUACACCUGCAACAAACUAUUAAUAGCAAAGUGAUAGAAAAUACCUGAUUUUUCAUACUUUCUAAUUUCUUUUGGUCCUAAAAUAUGGGCAUUUGUGUAAUAAUUAGCCCAUGUGGAUCUCUAUGCCAUGAGUUUGAUAAGUAGCUAUCAAGGAUCACUUAUUAAGCUAAAAAUAUUUGGAGGACAAAAUUGUAAAACUAAAAGGGUGGAGCAAAUAUGGCUAUCUAGGAUUAAAUAGUAAGUCAACUAUAUUUAAAGGAUAAAAUAUUAAAACUUGAAAUGUGAUAUUAAAAAUAUCUCAACUAUUAUGUUAUUAAACCAUAUGUUGUAAUAGUUUAUUUUUUAAGCUUCAAAAUGUUCAGGAUUUUAGAUUGAAACAUUUUCAUUUGAAAUUAUUUGGUGCAGUCACAAGUUAAGAAAGAAAAAGUUGUCCCAUUGGUCAUUUCACAAAAAUGAAAGCCCUGUAUAACAUGGGCUUGAAUGGAAGCCCAAUUGUUUGUGUUUGAUUAAUUGAUUUCAAGCUUUAUCGAACCUUUGUACCUGGAUACUUUACUGCGGCCUCUAAGCGCUAUAAAUUUUUUUGGGGAUAAACGGCGCUUCAAUGAGGUCAUCUCCGAUGCUUAACACCAUUUUGGUGUAAUACCAACAUUAAAAAUAUACAUUUUUCACACUAAAUUACUAUUUCAUCUCCAACCCAUUUACACCAAAAAAAAUAUUUUUCUUUUUAUUCUUUUAAUUCUCAAGAAUUAAUUCAAUUAACACAAUAAAUACUACUAUUAACAUAGAUAAUUAAGUAAUAAGUAAUUUUAUCGAUUAACAAAAAAAUAUAGAAAAUUAUUAAAUUUGCAUUUAAUUAACUAAAUUAGUACAUUAUGAAAAUUAAACAUUACAUUAAUAUAGAAAAAUACAAUAACAAUAAUAAUAAUUUUAUAUCUAAUAUUUUGAUGAUAUUGGAGGAUCUAAUAAUGAUCUUCCAGAUUAUUAAAUAAUUGUUCUAAUUUAUACUAGUAGUAGUAGCUUUUUUAAUUUGUGUUAAUUUAAUUUUGUAAUAUGUAAUAUAGUAAUUAAUGUUACUAGCAUUUUAUUAUUAUUAUUAAUUUUUGUGUUGAAUAUUUUUUAUUUAAAAUAUUAGUAUAAUAUUCAAAAAUUAAAAAAUGAAAUAAAAAUAAUAACAAAAAUAAUAAUAAUAAUAACUUAAAAUAUUAUAUAAAAUAGGACAUAUAUGUAAAUAAGAAAAAGUAAUAAAGAUAUUUAAGAGCUUUUUUUCCUAGCACCAAAUGAAUAGUGUUACACCAUAUUUGGUGCAAUACUAUUCACAACACCAUUUUGUUGUUGGUUUUGGUGUUACAUUGGAGAAGCAUUUUACACCAAAAAUAGUGUAAAAGGUGGUUUGGUGUUAGUUUUGGUGUCACAUUGGAGAUGGCCUGGAAAAGCACUUGAAAACUUUGGAUUUUUGGUUCGUCCAGUUACGGUGUUAUGCUAACGGGGUUAAAGGUUCCGAUCCAAUGAGUUAGGAUCCGAAGGUUACUGAAGUUUACUAUCAAGAGUUUCAAAACAGUGAAAAAGAUGAUAUAGUUGAUGACAAAAACCUGAGUUAUCCAUAGCGACAAGUAACAUACUGUUUAUUACAGAGAAACAAACGACAACAUGAUACUAGUAGUAGUUAUUCUUUUCAUCCGAUAUAUUACAUGGUAAUAUCACUACUCGUUCCACUAGUUUCAUGUACACUGUCGACCAGCAACAUGAUAAUUUCGUGCCAGUUCAUUUUGGUUUGUUGGAAAAAGCAGUGUAUUUCUUAGAACUUGAAAAUAAUAAAAAUAUUUUAAAAUAUAAAUUGCAUAUUUGUUUAUUACCAUUCUUUGGUCUAUUUCUUCUGUAGACUUUUCAGAAUCUGUAGGACGUUAGUUUAUAACUUUGGGAUUUUGUAGCCCUAAUUUUUUUUUUUGGCAUUUUAUUUUGCUGCUUUAUCUAUGUGCAUGUUAACUAAAUUAAGCUAAUCUAGAAUUAAUAGAGAGGGAUAUUUAUCUAUUUUGUUUAACCUUUACCACUCUAGGCAUUGUACUACAUGUGAGCUUGUGAUGCUUGCAUUUUAUUGAUGUUGAUGAUUCGUUGAAUGUUUUAUUUUUUGAUUUUUUAAGUUUUCCAGAGUCAUGUUUGUGUCUACGAAGAAAUUGUAAAGGCUGUGCACGAAGCACUUGUCAUUCUUUAGACUUUAUUGAUUAUAUUUUUGUCAGAUUUGCGUGUAUAUUCACAUAUGUUUUAUUUUUUCAUUUUGUAGGACAUUUUUACAUGCCAUAUUAUCACGACUCUUCUGUGUCUGAAUAAGAAGAAAGCAUAAUGCGACCCUCCAACAGCUUAAUCUAUGGAAUUAUCGUGUUUUGUAAGUUCUGGUCCAAUGGCGUUUUGGCACAUCAUAUGAUAGACCACUAUAUUGCGUUGCUUUACAAAAGAUUAAUAUUUUUAAAAUUAUUAACUCAUGAUAUGAUAGUCCAGGUUUUCGAGGACCACUAUAUUGUAUGGAUUUAAAAAAAAUUAAUAUUUUUUAAUAUUAAUAUUCUAAAUUAUAUUCAGUUAAAAUAUUAAAUAUUAAAUACAUUCUUAACAUUAAUAUUCUUAGAUGAAAUUCUUUUGCUGACUUAAGAAUAAAGUAUUAAAUAAUUUUAUUUUUCUUUUAUUUUGUAACGUGGACCCAAAAAAAAAAGGAAAUGAAUUUAAUAAAACCUUCAUUCCGCCAACAUGCAUGUUAAUUGUUUCCAAAUUCCAACCUCCGUACUCUCUUGAGGAGUUUCCCAUUCAUCAAUUAUUAUUUUUUAUAAUCCAUACCAUCCUGAUAUAAUUAAACACCAUUAAUAAUGUACCAGCCUUUAAAUAGUAAUUAAUUUAUUUAUCUAAUUCACCAAAUGUUUUUUUCCGGUACAUAUCUCCAUUGGUAUCAAGAAGAAGCAGAACCCAAAGAAAUGUUUCUUGCAUCUUCAUAUUUGUGCGAAUUCAUCCUUUCAUUGAGAAUAACCAUUUCCAGGCAGCAGUUGGCAAUCAAUUCAUGCGCAUGUCGAUGCUACUCAUAGAUAUUAAAGACAAUGAUGAACCAAAGGUAAUAAAUCAUAAAUGCAUAAUUACCAAACCUCCAUCCUUCUCUCAUUAUGACUUGAUUUUAAAUGAAUUAUUGCUUGGUAACAUUAUUUCCAACCAUUGCAAGAUUUUUUUUUGGAGAAAUUUCAAUUGAAAGUAAAACCUUUAGACAUUUACCUAAUGAAGUUAGUUAAUCGGGAGGGUGGAAAAAAAAAAGUUGACGCAAGUCAAUACACAAUAAUUAAUUAAAUCCGGAGUCACUAAAACAGAGCCACGACUUUUUCAAAAAUAUCUGCAUUCAUCACUUUCUCCAGCAACUAGUCAGCUACACACGAAUCAAUUUCUCUCCUCGUUUGUCAUCCAAAAUUAUUCACCAAUACCAUGGCUGAUGCAAUCGUUUCCCCGCUCUUGGAGCAGCUGAUUUCCUUCGCUGCUGAAGAGAUAAAACAACAGGUGAUCGAAGUUACACCCCUCAUAUUACAAAUACUUCCAAUGAUUUUAAUUGGUUUUGUUUUUAUCAAAAACAUUAUAUAUUUUUGCUUUUUUUUAUUUAUCUGAUAAUUUUAUAUUUUGAAAUUUGAAUUGAAUUUAAUUAAAAGGUGAUGUAGUAACCACUUAUUUUUAUUUUAUUUCAUUUAUAUUCUCAAUAACUACUCAUAUUUUGGUAACUUACUAUAACUUCCAUAUCUAAGAAAUGAUCCAAACCCACAAUUUUAACUAUGUAUAAAUAUUCAACGUUGAGCUAAGGUUUUGCAGAACAUUCAAGUUUAUCAAAUAGUCAUUAAUUUAAUGUUUUAGUAAAACCUCAACUCAUCACUGAAUCCCAUAGCUAUUACUUAGACACUAUGAAAAAUUUCAUAGUUUUCUUACAUUCUUUCAGUUUGGUAAGUGAUUUCAUAUAAUUUCUUUUCAAGUUAAAUUUUAAUUUGGUUUCUGAUAUAGUCUCUUUGCCGAAUUGUAUCUUUUAUGAUUCUUGGAUUUUGGGCUCCAACUUUUUAGGAUUUGAUAGUCACAUUUUAUGCCAUGCUCAGAUUGAUUUUCAUGAUUUUUAGUACCCGUUAAGUGACGUACAAUUUGACAAAAGUUUGAAAGGAAAUAUGUUUCAGAAUUCUGUUUUAAUUGACCUUUUAGUGGAAUUAGGAUGCUUAUAACUUAAUGUGGAUGGUUCGUAAAAUCAUGAAAUUUGGAUAGGAUUCACUAGCAAUAUGUACAAGACUCCCCAUAAAGUUUCAUAAUUUUUCAUUCGGUCUGGGGUGGUACAGGUGAAACUUGUGGUUGGUGUUGAAAAAGAAGUGAAAAGCCUUACCAGCCAUCUUCAAGCCAUUCAAGUUGUGCUCGAUGAUGCAGAGGAAAAGCAAGUGAAGGAAAAAGCUGUUAGUCUUUGGCUGGGUAGGCUCAAGUAUGCAUCCUACGACAUUGAAGAUGUGUUGGAUGAGUGGAUAACAACAAGACGCAAAUUGCAAAUUGAGGGUGGCGUUGAUGAAAAUGCUCUUGUUGUUCCUCAUAAGAAAAAGAAGGUAUGUCUCUGCUUUCCCGGCUCUUGUUUUGGAUUCAAACAAGAAGAAUUUGGUUUCAAACAGGUCUUUCUCCGUCAUGACAUUGCCGACAAGAUCAAAGAAAUCAAUGAAGAGCUACAUGAUAUUGCCGCUCAAAAAGACAUGUUUGAUCUUGUUAAGAGUGGCAAUAAAAGUAGUGAAAGACCAAGGCGUGUACAGAGUACCUCCUUGAUUGAUGAGGAAGAGAUUUGUGGCAGAGUUGGUGAGAGGAAUGAACUCUUAAGCAAGCUGUUGUGUGAGAGUAGCGAGCAACAAAAAGGCCUUCAUAUCAUCUCAAUCGUUGGUAUGGGAGGCAUAGGGAAAACAACUCUUGCACAACUAGCUUGUAAUCAUGACGAGGUGAAGAGAAAGUUCGACAAAAUUCUGUGGGUGUGUGUAUCAGAAACUUUUGAGGAGUUUAGGGUUGCCAAAGCGAUCGUUGAAGUUUUGGAUGGUCGUGAAUCUCAUUUAGCUGAAUUCCAUUCUCUUCUUCAACAUAUUUAUGAAUCCAUUGCAGGGAAGAGCUUUCUUCUUGUCUUAGAUGACGUGUGGGAUGGAAAUUACUUGAAAUGGGAACCAUUCUACCAUUGUCUAAAGAAUGGUCUCCAUGGAAGUAAAAUUUUAGUUACCACACGUAAAGGGUCAGUCGCAUCCAUGAUGGGAUCCAUAGAUAUUAUCUCCGUUAAGGAGUUAGCUGAAGAGGAAUGUUGGUUGUUGUUUAACAAGAUAGCAUUUUUUGAUCGGUCCAUCGAGGAACGUGAAAAAUUAGAACAAAUUGGGCAAAGAAUUGCAGGCAAGUGCAAAGGUUUACCUCUUGCAGCAAAGACAAUAGGGAGUCUCAUGCGUUCUAAACAAACUGAAGAAGAGUGGAAAAGAAUUUUAAAUAGUGAUUUAUGGAAAGUAGAAGAGAUUGAGAAAGAUGUUUUGUCCUCUUUAUUGUUGAGUUAUAAUGAUUUGCCAUCUAGAGUAAAAAGAUGUUUUUCAUAUUGUGCUGUCUUUCCAAAAGACUACAAUAUAGAAAAAGACAAACUAAUCACGUUAUGGAUGGCUCAAGGUUAUCUUAGUGCAGAAGAAGAUGAAGAGAUGGAGACAGUAGGUGAAGAGUAUUUUGGCAUCUUAGCUUCUCGCUCAUUUUUUCAAGAGUUUAAGAAAAGUUAUGAUAAUCGGAUUAUAGAGUGUAAGAUGCAUGAUAUGGUACAUGAUUUUGCCCGAUUUGUAAGUCAAAAUGAAUGUUUUUCGAUGGCAAUUAAUGGUAGUGAAGAACCAAACGCCACAAACUCUCUUGAUGAGAAGGUCCGUCAUUUAAUGUUAAUCUUUAGUAUAGAGGCUUCAUUACCUGUUUCCACUUGUAGAGUUAAAAGAAUUCGUAGCCUCUUAAUUAACGAUAGUAGAUCUGAUCAUUCAUUAUUAAAUGGUGAGAUCCUAGAAGAAUUAUUUAGGGAAUUGACAAGUUUAAGGGCAUUAGAUUUUUGCAAAUCGUAUAACGCAAGCUGGUCUUCGACUCUGGAGAUUCCGAGAAACAUAGAAAAGCUGGUACAUUUAAGAUACCUUAAUUUGUCUUAUCAGGGAAUAAAGAAACUACCGGAGACAUUAUGCGAGUUGUAUAAUCUAGAAAAGUUAGAUAUUAGUUAUUGUUAUAAGCUAGAAGAAGUACCUGAAGGGAUUGGGAAGUUAAUAAACAUGAAGCAUUUACGAAAUAGAGGUACUAGUUCUUUAAGGUACAUGCCGGUAGGGAUUGGGAGAUUAACGGGUCUUAGGACCUUGGGUGAGUUCCACGUGAGUGCAGGAGGAGGUGUUGAUGGUAGGAAAGCAUGUAGGCUUGAAUCUCUUUAAAACUUGGAACACCUUCAAGUAUGUGGUAUAUGUAGACUGGGUGAUGUAUCAGAUGUGGGCGAGGCUAAGCGAUUAGAACUUGACAAAAAGAAAUACCUCUUCAGUUUGACCCUUGAGUUUGAUAAGACGGAAAGAGGAGGAGAAAGGAGGAAGAACGAGGACGAUCAACUUCUUCUUGAAGCCUUGCGACCACCCCUGGAUUUAAAGGAAUUAGAGAUACGGUACUACCGAGGCAACACUGUUUUCCCCAGCUGGAUGGCGUCAUUAACCAACUUAAAGAGUUUACAUCUCCAUAGGUGCGAAAAUUGCGAGCAGCUGCCUCCUUUGGGAAAAUUGCCGUCCCUUGAAAAUCUCUACAUAUGGCGCAUGGAGAGUGUGAAGAGAGUGGGUGAUGAAUUUUUGGGGAUAGAAAGUGAUCAUCAUGACUCAUCGUCAUCUUCAUCAGUUACUAUUGCCUUCCCCAAAUUGAAAUCACUCACAAUUUAUUCGAUGCUGGAAUUGGAGGAGUGGGAUUAUGAGAUUACAAGAACAGGAAACACCGUCAUCAACAUCAUGCCACGUCUUUCUUCCUUGACAAUUGUUGAUUGCACCAAAUUAAAGGCACUGCCCGACCACAUUCAUCAAACGACAACGUUGAAGGAAUUGAGCAUUUUUAUGUGUUGGCUUCUGAACAAACGUUACCGCAAGGGGAAAGGAGAAGACUGGCCUAAAAUAUCACACAUUCCCAACCUCCAUAUUGGGCUUUGACAAGUAAUUUCUUCUCUCACUCUGAUUUGCUUUGUUGUUGUUUUUGUUGAAAAGUUAAAAAGUUUGGUUGGAAAAGAAAAGUGAGCCACAUGCAUUGCUUUUGUUUUUCAAAGUCGGCACCAAAUUGCAAACUGUAUUUGGCAUUUGACAAUCCUGCACCAAAUGAAGAAAAAUGCAAAAGUUAGCAAAAUUUGUCAAAUUGACAGAGAUGGAGAUUGAUAAAUUGCAGAGGGAUUAGGUGGAAUAGUGCAUGCUUGAAGCCUAUAAAUUGAAGCCAUUUCUUCAUUCUAAAUAAUCCCAAAAUUGUUAAACUUAUAAGUUUCUAAGCUUUUGAGAGAAGUGAGAGAAGUGUGUCUGUGGAAUUUAUUUUUCCUGCAGAGUGUGAGAGUACUUGGUAUAUUUGGGUUUCUGGGAAGUGAGAUUCGUUACUCAAAUAUUGUAUUCUAUUAAUUGUUAAAUAAACAAUUAUUCUUUCUUACCUCCGUGGAUGUAGGUUUAAUUACCGAACCACGUAAAAUCUUGUGUCCUUUAUUUUUCAGUAAUUAUUUGGUGCGCUUGAUUCCGCAUUCCGCGCACAACAGUUUUUAAUCUAAUUAAGAAGCGAAAAUAGCAUUUUGAAUCAAACUCUAUAUCAGAAAUCUGCAAUACUUACUUUCUAAUAUUCUGAUUUUCAUAUCCUAUGAAUAUACGAUUUUUAAUUUGUGAGAUGGGUAACGUUACUGUAAAAGAUUAUUAAUGCAAUAUGAGUAAUUCUUUUGCAGGACAAGUGACCUACAUUUAGUUUGGCUUUGGAGUUGAAUAAUAACCUUUCGAGGUCCCGACAACCAAAAAACAAAGCUUAAUUUGCCACAGAUUGAACGUAUUGCCAUUAUUGACAAUUUUCUGCACAAGUGUGACUGAACUUAGGUUGAUGUCAAAAGAGGUAAAUUAUUGGCAUGCCUCACUAUUUUGACCAUUACAUGAUUCAUAAGUUUACAUUAAUUUUGAUUUUGAGUUGAGUGAUUAGUUUUCUAGGUUUGCUUACUUUAACUGGGUGACCAAUUUCUUGUAACUAAAUGUAUGAUGUGAUGCAGGAAGCAGGGCAGGAUAUGAAAAGAGAAGCUUAUUAGAGGAAGGAUUGCCAGUAACAGAAUCCAAAGAAAAAGAAACCAUUUCGAGGCAGCUGUUGGCAGUUGGCAGUGAAUGGAGCCCCUUGAAAAAAUUCCCAAGCCGUUGCACUGCAAUUACGAUCAUCCUCGGCCUCAGGUAAUUUCUUCUCCUGCAUUUUUGUUAUUUGCUAUCAAGUGACUAUUUUAAGUAUGAUUGCAUUAAGCUGCUGCUGGGAAAUUUGAGGUUUUGAUGACUGCCCAUGCUAUUGUCAGAAGCUGCGGUUCUUUUCAUCAGCCUGAACCUGGACCUGCCGCUAUGGAUAACUCAGGUUUUUUUUUUUUUUUAAUCAACUGCCAUCUUUUCCACUGUUUAGAAACUCUUAAGAUUAAACUUUAGUAAAGUUGUUUUAGUUAUCCAUGUAAUCAGGCUGAGGAUACUUAGCUGCCUAUUUAAGCAAAUGUCAGAAUUUAGUUUGUUCGCUGGGAACUGGUGUGGACUGGCAAAGGAUGAUGAGAUAGUUUUUUGAGUGAGUAAAUUUUGGGAGCUUGAGUGUAUUGGGAUUUGCAAUUACAAUCAUCGUCUGCCUCAGGUGAUUUCUUCUCCUGCUCUAUCAUUGUUUGUUCUCUAAUUCAAAAGCAUAAAAUAUUUCAAUCAAUUUUUAUGCCAGGAAUAUGCAAAAGUUUCUAAUAUUUUAUUUCCAUCUGUUACAAGAUCAAACUGAAGUAGAACUCAAACAAAAGUAUGCUACUUCUUGCGGAAAUCUUGCCUUUGUUCAGAUUAUGAAACCAUUUCCAUGCAGCAAAUUCAUCCAAAAGUUUGAAUAAGUUUCAUGGUUGGACACUGUUGGCUUCUUUUUCUUCUGGGGUGCAUUUAGGUGCUAUCAAGUGACAGCUGUAAGUAUGAUUGCACUAAGCUGCCGCUGGGAAAUUUGAGGUUUUGAUGGCUGCCCAUGUUAUUUUCAAGAAACUAUUGAUGUAAGAAGCUGUGGUUCUUUUCAUCAGCUUGAACCUGAAACUGUCGCUAUGGAUAACUCAGGUUUUUGUUAUCAACUAUAUCAUCUUUUUCACUAUUUUGAAACUCUUAAGAUUAAACUUUAGUAAAGUUGUUUCAGCUAUUCAAAUGAAAAACUCAUUGAUUUGAGACUUCCUUCAUUAUUGUUUCUAAUUACAAUGCUAACGAUCUAGAUAAAAUAAUAUUUAAUCGGCGCAGGUGUCCCUUGGAAGUACAUCCAACUUUUUCUUUUAUUAUAUAAAUUCUUGCAAUGAGCUUAGUGAAGCUGUUGUGCUAAUCAUGCCACUGCAUAAUUUGGCCCCUAAUGUGGGUACUCUGUUACAUUGUUCUGCAAAUUCUCCAGAAGUUAAAAUCAAUAAAUUUUCUAUUAGCUCUAGUGCUUUGACCUAAAUGCUAUUCUAUAUUUUGAUUACAAUGUUUUAACCUUUAAAUUAACUACCCCUAGAUGUUGGAUUUUCUAGAACUUCAAAAUGAUUAAUGGAGAAAGAUCCCAUUAUCGUUAUUGCUAUAAGAAAUUGAUUUAUGCAUCCAAAGAUACAUUAUAUAUUUCUGUGUCUCUAUUUGUAGAUGACAUUUAAGCAUCCAUAAACCGUCAGACAGAGGAAGGGUGAUGGGUGUCGAAGCCAACAAAAAUAAAUUCCUACUCUAAAUAAAUUGUGUAUAGUGAUUGAGCAGGGUCGUGUCCACAGAGAUCGGUAAUUAAUUAAAUCCUUUUGAAACGUAAAACAUAAAAUGGGGGAAUUGUUGACAAUAAUAAAAAUCAAAUUAAAAUAACAAGAAUGCAAAUUAAAGUUGUAAUUCAAAUUAGAGAAAGCUCUGGUUGAAGGAAUUAACUCAGCUUGAUUCGACUACUGAUCAUUGAUUCAAAUAUAGAUUAUUAUUACUCAUGAAUAGACCGGUUAUAGCUACUGAGACCCUCUAAUAGCCAAUCUCUCCUUAACUAGUCGAUAACCAAGGUACGACCAUUGGUUAUUUCCCUAAUCAAUAGACAACCCUAGAUACGAUCAUAGAAUUUAAUCAAUUGACAGCCUGAAAAACCAGAGAGACCCAAAUCCUAAUCAACACAUAUGAUGAUUCAUUUAAAUUAGAUUGUUUAUUCUCACAACACAACUCUCUGCUAUGUUAUUUGUCACAAACAUUAAAUUCUUCAUACGAUGAAUCCUUUAAUUGACAAUAGAUUAAGUUGAUAAUUAAAUAGUGGCCAAUUACCUAAUUAACAAACAUAAUCAUGAAAAUAAUUCAGAGAAUAAACAAAUACCCAAAAAGUAAUAAAACAAUUAAAGCACAAGAAAGAUCUCACAGUAGUGAUGAAUCAAAGCUUCAUUAACCUUCAACCAGAAAAAUAGGUUUAGCUCUUCAUAGAGAGAAGAGAAAAAUUAGAUCUAGGGUUUCUUUCUUUUUCUCCAAUCCAAAAAUCCCCCUUUUUCACAAUAGAUUCCUCCCUUAAAUACUUUCUCUCUCUUCUCUUUUAGAAUUCUAUUUAAAAUAAAAUCCUAAUAUCUGAAAUAUUAAAUUCGUAAUUACAAAAAUAACCAAAAAUACAAAACACGUUAAACUAAAAACUGCAGGUCCGCAGUUGACAGCACGCGCCCACGCCUUAUCAACAAAGUUCUUCUGACGCUCAUAAUUUCUCCAAGAGAACAAUCAUCCUUAAACAUCAUCUUAUAGCUCAAUUUUAUCAUCAAUCAAUAGAAUUGCACCUACAAAAGUAAAACACAAGUAAAUCACUAUUAUUAAGUGCAAAACAUUGAUAUUAAGGGAAGUAAAUAAUGCAAAACUAGUGCAUAAAUUGCACUCUAACAAAGGGGGUUCAGUGCAAAGAUUCUGUUGACCUAGGGUUGACUGCAUAAUGUCACUUGUUCGCAAUCUAUUAUUUAUUUUAUAUUUUGAAGAAUUUAAUGGGUAAUCCUAAUUGUUUGUUUUGGCAGGUAUGUGUUGUUAUCUCCUUCUAUCUAACAGUCGUACCUAAAUAGCAUAGUUUCAUCUGUGUUACCAUGUGAUGUACAUAAUUUCACAUUUGCCUCAGAUUAAGCUUAAUUUCCCACAAAAUAGAGCUGUCGCGACUGGACUUAGGUUGAUGUCCAAAGAGGUAAAUUAUUGGCAUGCCUAGAUAAUUUGGCCAUUUCCUAAUUCAUAAGUCUACAUUAUUUUUGAUUUUGAGUUGACUGAUUUCUUUUCAAGGUCUGCUUCCUUAACGGAGUGACCAAUGUUUUUCAACUAAAUUUAUCAUAUGAUGCAGGAAGCAGGGCAGGAUAUGAAAUGAGAUCUCAUUGGUGGAAGUAUUGCCAGUAGCAGAACCCAAUGAAAAUGAAACUAUUUCAAGGCAGCAGUUGGCAGUUGCAAGUAAAUGGAGGCCCUUGACAAAAUUCUCAAGCGGUUGCAAUGCAAUUACGAUCAUCCUCAGCCUCAGGUAAUUUCUUCUCCUGCUUUGUAUUUAUUUGUUAUCUAAUUAGGAAGCGUAAAGUAUCUUGAAUCAUUUUCUGUAUCUGGAAUAUAUGCAAGAGUUUCUAAAAUUUUGAUAUGAGUGUAAUGAUGGUAAUUUCUGUUUUCUGUCUGUCAUCAAAUGUUAGAAAACUUUCAUUGAGACCCUUGAACCGAGUCAUUUUUGACAAGUGAAGGACAAUUGCUGAAGAGUGGGAAUGGUGCUAGAUUGGGGAAUAAAGACAAAGGAGGUAAAUUAUUUGCAGUUUAUUCAGCAUUAUUUGCUUUGGACCACCGCCUGAUUCACAAGUCUCCAUAAUUUGGCUUUUGAGCAGUUGUUAAUAAAUUUUUAAUUCCAUUGGUGCUAAAUGUGCACGUGAAGCAGGCAGAGCAGGACUGUGGAAAUGAGAAGGUUUUUAGUGAAAGCUUAAACUCAGGUAAUUCUAAAAAGUACAUGUUUUUGCUGAUUUAUCUAAAUCAGGAAGUUUUAUUUCCAUCUGUUACAAGAUAAAACAGAAACAGAACACAAAGAAAAAUAUUCUACUUCUUCUGGCAAUCUUGCCUUCAUUCAGACAAUGAAACCAUUUCCUUUCACCAAUUUCUUCCAAAAGUUUGAAUAAGUUUCAUGGUUGGACAUAGUUAGCUUCUUUUUCUUUUGGUGCAUUUAGGUCCUAUCAAGUGACAGCCAUAAGUAUGAUUGCAUUAUUGGGAAAUUUUAGGUUUGGAUGGCUCCCCAUGUUAUUGCCAAGAAAGUCCUCAUGUCAGAAGCUGCGGUUCUUUUCAUCAGCCUGAACCCGAACCUGUCGUUAUGGAUAACUCAGGUUUUUGUCAUCAACUAUAUCAUCUUUUUUACUGUUUUGAAACUCUUAAGAUUAAACUUCAGUAAAGUUGUUUCAGUUAUCCAUGUAAGCAGGCUAAGGAUAUUUAGCAGCUUAUUUAGGCAACUGCCAGAAUUGAGUUUGUUUGCUCGAAACUUGUAUGGUGACAAGGAUACUGGCAAGGAUAGUGAGAUAGUUUUUUGUGUGAGUGAAAUUUGAAAGCUUGGGUGUUCUGGGAUUUGCAAUUGCAAUCAUCCUCUGAGUCAGGUGAUUUCUUCUCCUGCUCUGUCUUGAUUUUCUCUCUAAUUGAAAGCAUAAAGUAUUUCAAUCAAAUUCUGUACCAGGAAUACGUAAAAGUUACUAAUAUUUUAUUUCCAUCUGUUCGCAUUGAUAACUCGGCGGCAUAUGUGUUGUGCGCGGAAUGCGGAAUCAAGCGCGCCAAAUAAUUAUAGAAAAAUAAAGGACACAAGAAUUACGUGGUUCGGUAAUUAAACCUACAUCCACGGAGGCAAGAAAGAAUAAUUGUUUAUUUAACAACUAAUAGAGUACAAUAUUUGAGUAACGAAUCUCACUUCCCAGAAACCCAAAUAUACCAAGUACUCUCACACUCUGCAGGAAAUAUAAAUUCCCCAGACACACUUCUCUCACUUCUCUCAAAAGCUUAGAAACUUAUAAGCUUAACAAUUUUGGGAUUAUUUCAAAUGAACAAUUUCCCUUCUAUAUAUAGGAACCGUAGCUCACCUACCACUUCCAAUUUGGCUACAACUUGCCGAAUUGAUAAAUUGAAUUUAGAAUGGAAAAUCAAUUUGGUGAGCAACAAAAUCAACAAGUUUGAAAAAUCAAUUGGCUUCUAGAAAAACAUCACAUUUUUCCUCCAUACAAUUUCAACAAAAUCGUCCCACCAACCAUGUCUUUUGAAAUUUGCAUGCCAUUCUUUGACUUGUUGUGCGCGGAAUGCGGAAUCAAGCUCACCAAAAAUUACUGCAAAAAUAAAGGACACAAGAAUUUACGUGGUUCGGUAAUUAAACCUACAUCCACGGAGGCAAGAAAGAAUAAUUGUUUAUUUAACAAUUAAUAGAAUACAAUAUUUGAGUAACGAAUCUCACUUCCCAGAAACCCAAAUAUACCCAGUACUCUCACACUCUGCAGGAAAGAUAAAUUCCCCAGACACACUUCUCUCACUUCUCUCAAAAGCUUAGAAACUUAUAAGCUUAACAAUUUUGCGAUUAUUUCAAAUGAACAAUUUCCCUUCUAUAUAUAGGAACCGUAGCUCACCUACCACUUCCAAUUUGGCUACAACUUGCCGAAUUGAUAAAUUGAAUUUAGAAUGGAAAAUCAAUUUGGUGAGCAACAAAAUCAACAAGUUUGAAAAAUCAAUUGGCUUCUAGAAAAACAUCACAUUUUUCCUCCAUACAAUUUCAACAAAAUCGUCCCACCAACCAUGUCUUUUGAAAUUUGCAUGCCAUUCUUUGACUUUUCAACAAUUCUCCACCUCGGCGAAAAUUUUCCAAAUCUGAGCCGACUACCAACUAACCAUCCCCAAAGUGAUCCUUCAAUAAGGAUCCAGAAUGGCUGUGUCGAUUCGACUGCCUACGUACCCAAACUGUCUUGAUUUUCUCUCUAAUUGAAAGCAUAAAGUAUUUCAAUCAAAUUCUGUACCAGGAAUACGUAAAAGUUACUAAUAUUUUAUUUCCAUCUGUUCGCAUUGAUAACUCGGCGGCAUAUGUGUUGUGCGCGGAAUGCGGAAUCAAGCGCGCCAAAUAAUUAUAGAAAAAUAAAGGACACAAGAAUUACGUGGUUCGGGAAGCAGUUGGCAGCAAAUUCAUAUGGAGUGUAGACAAUGAUGAGCAAAAAGGUGAUUCUCAAUUUCUUUUUUUUUUAAAGUGAAAUUAUUUGUUAGAUUGAAGCUGAUAUUGUAAGAAGGCCAUUGAGCUAACCUAUGUCGCCACUUGCCUAGAUUGCAGGGGGUCAAGACUCAAAAGAAGCACUGAAAUUUAAAAAGCAUGCAAUAGUUCUUUUGCCAUGUAUCAAUUAAUGCAAGUUUGAAUAAAAUUAACAUAUAUCAAGACACAACUAGAAACAUCAUACUUUCGUGUAAGUUCAUUUCAGAAUAUUUCUUAGAGUUUGUAUAAAAUGAAAAGAUUUUAAAAUAUAAAUUUAAUAUUUGUUUAUUACCGUUGUUUGGUCUAAUUUCCUCGGGAGAAUUUUCAGAAUUUAUAGGACAUUAGUUUAUAAUUUUGAAAUUUUGUAACCUAAAUGUUUUUUUUUUUCGGUUACCAUUUUGUUUUCCUGCUUUAUCUACGUGUAUGUUGACUAAAACUAAUCUAUUUUGUUAAACCUUUACCACUUUAGACAUUGCACUAAAUAUGAGUUCGUGAUGCUUGCAUUUUAUUGAUGCUGAUGAUUCGUUGAAUGUUUUAUGUUUUUGAUUUUUAAGUAUUCCGGAUCGAAGUUUGUGUCUACGCGGAAAUUGUAAAGGCAGCAUAUAAAGUACUCGUCGUUCUUUAGAUUUUAUUGAGUACACUUUUUUCACAUUUAGCGUAUGCUAUACACUACUGAUUUGCGCAUUGACAUAUAACUUAUUUUAUCAUUUUGAAUGAAUUGCACGGCGAGGCUUAUCAACUUUGGAUGAAUCCUCCAAUUGUCACAGUCCAAGACUGGCUGCAGUGAGUGAAAAUUUACCCAUAUAUAUGCUGGCUAUUUUUAUUGGCGACGAAUUCGUUGUAGUUGGUCCAUCUUGCUAUUCUCGGACAAUAUUAGAGAAAAUAAUCAUAUUAUUUCGCGUGAUGUGACCUUCCAUAACUUAUCAAUUGAAUUACUGUAAAAUUAUUGUGUAAGUUUAGGCCCAAUGGCACUUUAGUUCAUCACAUGAUAGCCUGGAUUUAAAUGGAAAACUAUAUUGCAUUGCUUCAAAAAAAUAAAUUAAUGUUUUUAAUAUGAAUAUUUUUAACUAUAUUCAGUUAAAAUAAUAUAUUCUUAAUAUUAAUAUUCAUAGAUGAAAUUCUUUUGCGGAUUUAAGAAUAAAAUAUCAAAUAGUUUUAUUUUUCUUUUGUUGUGUAACUUGGACCGAAAAAGAAAAUGAGCUUAACAUGACCCUCCUUCCGGCACUAUGCAUGUUUUUCUUGUAUUGAUGACAGUGCUCUUGGUGCUUCUCAUCUGCUUCUUGCUUUGGUUUCAAACAAGUCUUUCUCCGUCAAGACAUUUAUUGUAAUUUCAUUUGGAGACAUCUGUCGUUCAAAUAUAUUUCAUAUUCAAGCUGUUGAUAAUUCUGCUUGAGAAAGCCUACAAAGCAGCUGUGUGAUGUAAUGGAAGACUAUAUAUGCAAGCGGUCAUCAGUUUCUCUUGAAUUCUUUCUUGAGUUUCUUUGAAUUAUUUGUGAAUGAGUUCUUAAUCGGCUGCUGCUCUUCAGGAAAAGGAAAGUUUUGCAAACUGGUGAAGCUGAUCGAUAAAAGCAAUGUACCAUCUUUGCUGGCAUGGAUCGAUGCCAGUGAGUAGCUCAUUGGUGGAAGUAUUGCCAGUAACAGAACCCAAAGCAAAUGAAACUAUUUCAAGGCAGCAGUUGGCGCUUGCAAGUGAAUGGAGGCCAUUGACAAAAUUCUCAAGUGGUUGCGAUGCAAUUACGAUCAUCCUCAGCCUCAUGUAAAUUCUUCUCCUGCUUUGUUUUUAUUUGUUAUCUAAUUAAGAAGCACAAAGUAUCUUCAAUCAUUUUCUGUAUCUGGAAUAUAUGCAACAGUUUCUAAAAUUUUGAAACGAGUGUAAGGAUGGUAAUUUCUGUUUUCUGCCUGUCAUCCAAUGUUAGACAACUUUCAUUGAGACUCUUGAACAGAGUCAUCUUUGCUGGCAUGGAUCGAUGCCAGUGAGUUUUUUUAUUUGUCAACCUUUUUAAUAAUGCAUAUGUGUUUCUUCAACUUGAAGCGGCAUAUAAGACGAAAGAAGUGAUCUUUAUCCAAUUGCUCCAAAUUAUUUGCAAAUUACUGAACACGAAUGCUGAUGAAUAAACUGAUGGCUCUAUGUAUGUAUGCACAUGCAUGGAGAAAUUUUAAGUCAGACAUUGACUCGUGGUACCAAAUCAUUAAAUAAUCUUGAAAUCAAAGUAAUAAUUAAAUACAAAUAAAUUGCUCGAAUUGUACAUAUAUCUGAAUCAUGUAGUGAAGAAAAUACAACAACAACAGCCAAUGGCUCAAAUUCCCUAUCAACUUCUAGUCUCAACACUUUUGAGUGUCAGAAGCAUUACUCUGCUACUAGUUAACAAACAUAUAAUUAGUAAUUUGCCAUUCACUUCCCUUUUAGGCCUAACACAUUUUCUAUAAAAGAGCCACAGAGUGAACUCAGCAGGAAACACUCAAUUUCAACCUACGUAGGACCAGGAAUUUCAACCAAAAAAAAAGUGUGCAAUUGCUUAUCCUAUCCUAUUGCUACUAGAAAGAAAGUGAACAAUUAAUUUCAGUGAAUAAAUUAAAAAAAAAAUUACUUCUGCAGAUACUCAAGCUAAGAACACAUUAACCCAUUAAAGACUCCAAAUUGCAUCAAACAAAUUGUUGUUAAACAAGUAAAACAAAGAAAGAGAGUUAAGGAAGCUGACCAAGUAGUAGGGGAGCUGAAGAAAGACUGCCAGUGAAUGUAAGAGAAAAUAAAAUGCAAGAAAUGGUGAAGUGCAGCUUUUCAUGUCAACUUGAAAUUGAGUUUUCUGUUUUUUUUUUUUUUUUUAAUCUUUUGGAUUUUUCAAACAAAGAAAAUGAGGAGCAACCAGGGAGAUAAAAAGGGCGCCAAGGCAACUGUGUGUUGGGUUUAGAGCCAAAAAAAAAAAGAAUAAGACAUCGUGUUCUUGUGGAGACCAGACCUAUUACGUAACGUCCCCUUCAAUACCACUAGUUCCGUAUCUGGUUUUUUCUUCGUCUUUUACAUAGUUUGCAAUUUUAUUCAUUUGAGCCCUACAGAUGAUAUAAGGGACAAGAGCGCAAAACAGAAACUCUGUCCACUACUGAUGAUAUAACAACGAACCGGGGUUUUUAAUUAAAUACCCUUUAAUAGUUUCAAAAUUAUUUAAAUACCUCCUCCCUUUUUAGUUUUCAUGGAUACCCUAACAAAAUUAUUUAAAAAUGGUUCAAUUUUAUUCUACUCUCAGGAAUUAAGUGUUGGAUAGACUAGAAAAUUCUGAGUACAAAGCAUCGCUUGUUUUCGUUGGUUUUUUUUUUGCAUUCCAGUAGAAAGGUUGUGUACAAUUGAAUCUGAUAACUAUGGCAGGAGGUAAGUUUUCUAACUUGCGCAUGAUGAAUAUAGUCUUUUAUUUCUUCCAUUGUAAUUUUUGUUUAAUAGAAAAUCUAUUUGAGAUUUUGUGAGAAGAAACUCAACAAUAAAGUUUGAUAGACUUUGUGGAUAUUAAGAGUUUGACAAGUAAUUGAAAUCUGAAGUUUACUGAAGUUUACGAGCAAACAAACUGAAAUCCGAAGUUUACUGAAGUUUACUAUCAAGAGUUUCAAAACAGUGAAAAAGAUGAUAUGGUUGAUGACAAAAACCUGAGUUAUCCAUAGCGACAAGUAACAUACUGAAGUAAGCCGUGGGGAGCUGGCCUGUUCAUGGGCUAUUUUUCUCUGAUGAUCUGCAUUUUUCUUCCUUUUAAGUGAACCUUGACUCGUAUCAAACCUGUCAAAAGAACAGUUCAUCAACUGAGCUGAGAUUUGCUUUCCUUUUUCAAAACCCACCUGAGAUAUUGUAAUUCCCAAAUUUCUCUCUCUCAGCUACACGAGCAAGCAGCCGCUUUUUCACUUCAUCGACGAAGGUAAGCGAUAAUAUCUAUUUCGUCCGAUUGAUUUCUUGUUUCCUUUUCAGUGUUCGGGUAAAUUAUUGGCAUGCCUGACUUUUUGACCAUUACAUGAUUCAUAAAUUUAUAUUAAUUUUGAUUUUGAGUUGACCGGUUACUUUUAUUGGUUUGCUUACUUUGACUAGGUGACCGAUUUCUUGUAACUAAAUUUAUGACGUGAUGCAGGAAGCUGGGCAGGAUAUGAAAUGAGAAUCUUAUUAGUGGAAGGAUUGCCAGUAACAGAACCCAAAGAAAAUGAAACCAUUUCAAGGCAGCAGUUGGCAGUUGGGAGUGAAUGGAGGCCCCUGACAAAACUUCAGUAAACUUCAGAUUUCAGUUUGUUUGCUCGAAACUUGCAUGGUGACAAGGAUACUGGCAAGGAUAAUGAGAUAGUUUUUGUGUGAAUGAAAUUACGAUCAUCCUCAGACUCAGGUAAUUUCUUCUCCUGCUUAGUUGUUAUUUGUUACCUAAUUAAGAAGCAUAAAGUAUCUUGAAUCAUUUUCGUUGUCUGGAAUAUAUGCAACAGUUUUUAAAAUUUUGAUAUCAGUGUAAUGAUUGUAAUUUCUGUUUUCUGUCUGUCAUCGAAUGUAAGACAACUUUAUUAAGAUUCUUGAACCGAGUCAUUUUUGACAAUUGAAGAACAAGUGCUGAAGAGUGGGAAUGCAAAAAGUUUUGUUGUUUUUAGCCUUGUUUUCUUUGAACCAGCGCCUGAUUCACAAGAGUUCAUUAAUUUGGCUUUUGAUCAGCUGAUUGAUAAAUGUUCAAUUUCUUUGGUGAUAAAUGUAUAUGUGAAGCAGGCAGCAGGGCAUGACUGUGGAAAAGAGAAGAUUUUAGUGAAAGCUGAGACUCAGAUAAUUCUACGCGUUUUGGCUGAUUUAUAUAAUUCGUGAAAUUUUAUUUCCAUCUGUUACAAGAUCAAACUGCAAUUAGCAAUUUAACAUUCCCUUAAAACCACUAGCUACAUUUCAUCUUUGCACAAUUACACUUAAAAUUCCACUAAAAGAAACUCUUGAGUUGCUCGCAAGCUAUAUGUCAUUAUCCAUUGAAUUCUUACCACAUACAUCUCACCUUUCAAUCAAUCACAUAAUAAUCAAUAUACAUAUUGUAAGAAUUCAACAAAUGGAGAACAUAAUAUACUAUAAAAGCAUCCAAAAUUUUUCCAUCUCAAAUUAUUACUAAACUUCUUGAACAAGUUGAAGAUUGGGGGGAAAAAGUGCAAGAAGGAAAAGCAUUAUUCUACUAGUUUCUAGGUUUCUCAUUUGAACAGAAAGAUUAAAUAAGAUAUUUGUGUAUGGCUGUAGUACUACACGGUAUCUGCUAGAAAGCAAAAUACCUUCUGCUGAUUGCACAUUGGAAUGGGAAUAAGUUGGUAAAUAUAUAAGUUACAUAAAUUAUUUUGGAUAAUUCUGCUGGUGAAUUAAUUAUCUUAAAAUCACCCUUUUAUUUUUUAAAAAAUCUUAAGUUAUUUUUCAUAUAUCUUAGGAAGACAAACAAACUUUCAUCAACUCUCCUUUUUUAGCUUUUCCCUUCAAUAAUGUUAGAAAUUCUAACAUUUGAGUCCUGCUUGAGCUUAAUACUAUUUAUCACUCAUUUAUUAGAUGAUGAAUUUUUUAAAUUAUAAAGUUAUUUGACUACCAUUCAAUGAAUGAAUGUCACAUCAUUUAAAACUCAAAGAAAAGUAUUCUACUUCUUGCGGCAAUCAUGCCUUCAUUCAGACUAUGAACCAUUUCCUUUCACCAAAUUCUUCAUAAACAUUGAAUAAGUUUCAUGGUUGGACAUAGUUAGCUUCUGUUUCUUUUGGUGCAUUUAGGUGCUAUCAAGUGACGGCCGUAAGUAUGAUUGCAUUAUUGGGAAUUUUACGAUUUGAUGGUUCCCCACGUUAUUGCCAAGAAAGUUCUCAUGUCGGAAGCAGCGGUUCUUUUCAUCAGCCUGAACCCGAACCUGUCGCUAUGGAUAACUCAGGUUUUUGUCAUCAACUAUAUCAUCUUUUUCACUGUUUUGAAACUCUUAAUAUUAAACUUACAGUAAACUUCAGAUUUCAGUUUGUUUGCUCGAAACUUGUAUGGUGACAAGGAUACUGGCAAGGAUAAUAAGGUAGUUUUUUGUGUGAGUGGAUUUUGAGAGCUUGUGUGUAUAGGGAUUUGCAAUUACAAUCAUCCUCUGCCUCAGGUGAUUUCUUCUCCUGCUCUGUCUUUAUUUGCUCUCUAAUUGAAAAGCAUAAAGUAUUUCAAUCAAAUUCUGUACCAGGAAUAUGUAAAAGUUCCUAAUAUUUUAUUUUCAUUUGUUUGCAUUGAUAACUUGACGGCAUAUGUACUAGUUAAAGAACAAACAGAAUCAGAGCUCAAGAAAAAGUUUUUUCUGCCAUCAUAUUUGAAAAUGAAGUCAUUUGCAGGAAGCGGUUGGCAGCAAAUUCAUACAAAGUGUAGACAAUGAUGAGCAAAAAAGGUGAUUCACAGUUUGAUUUUUUUUUAAUAAUGAAAAUAAUUUGGUAGGUUGAAGCUGAUAUUGUAAGAGGGCCAUUGAGCUAACCUAUGUCGCUACUUGCCAAGAUUGCAGGGCGUUAAGACUCAAAAGAAGCACUGAAUUUUAAAAGGCAUGCAAUAGUUCUUGUGCCAUAUGUCAAUUCAUGCAAGUUGGAAUAAGUUUAUUGGUUUGAACGCUGUUAGCUCCUUUUCCUUUCGUGCAUUUUGGUAUGCUAUCAAGUGACAGCCGUAUGUAUGGUUUGCAUAUAGCUGCUGCUGGGAAAUGUGAGGAUUUCAUGGCUGGCCGUGUUAUUGUUUUAAAUUAGAUGUGAUAAGCUGUUGCUUGGAGAUUCUGUUGCCAAGACUUUGCUCACAUCAGAAGCUGUGGAACCUCAACCCUUCUCUAGAUAUCAUCUUUUUCAUUGUUUUAAAACUCUCAGGAUUAAACUUGAGUAAAUUUGUUCGGUUGUCUAUAUAAUCAUGUAUUGAGUAAACUCUCAGGAUACCGAGCAGGCAAAUGCCAUAACUCGGUUUGUUCUUCAAAAACUUGUUUAAGAUUCUUGACAAAGCUGCAUGAAGUGAAUCUUGGGAGCUUUGAGGGUGAGAGAAAUUAGAGGGUGUAUAGGGAUUUGGGUUUAUUAGUAAGUUAUAUAUGUAUUUCGUCACUUAUCAUUAUCAUUUUUAUUUUCACAGAAAACCUUCUGAUGGUGCUAAAUUUUCAAACACCGGUCCGAUUCAAAACUUCAUAUUCCAAUUAUAUUCAUAAGACAAAUGGAACACUUUGAACGGCUAGUGUCCGAGCAUUGUAGUUUGAUUUAUUUUGAUGAAAGUACCUUUUGACAUUGAGAUUCUUUCAUGAUUUAAACAUUCUUUUUUAAACCAAAUUAUUAAAAAAAGUAACUAACAUAUAUUAUUUUAUUAGUGCUUUUUAAAUCAAAUAUACAUAGGAGAACUGUAAUUCUUAGCAAUCAAUUUUUCACUAAAUACACCUGCAAUAAACUAUUAAUAACAAAGUGAUAGAAAAUACCUGAUUUUUCAUACUUUCUAAUUUCUUGUGGUCCUAAAAUAUGGGCAUUUGUGUAAUAAUUAGCCCAUGUGGAUCUCUAUGCCAUGAGUUUGAUAAAUAGCUAUCAAGGAUCACUUAUUAAGCUGAAAAUAUUUGGAGGACAAAAUUGUAAAACUAAAAGGGUAGAGCAAAUAUGGCUAUCUAGGAUUAAAUAGUAAGUCAACUAUAUUUAAAGGAUAAAAUGUUAAAACUUGAACUGUGAUAUUAAAAAUAUCUCAACUAUUACAUUAUUAAACCAUAUGUUCUAAUAGUUUUUUUUUAAGCUUCAAAAUGUUCAGGAUUUUAGAUUGAAACAUUUUCAUUUGAAAUUAUUUGGUGCAGUCACAAGUUAAGAAAGAAAAAGUUGUCCCAUUGGUCAUUUCACAAAAAUGAAAGCCCUGUAUAACAUGGACUUGAAUGGAAGCCCAAUUGUUUGUGUUUGAUUAAUUGAUUUCAAGCUUUAUCGGAUCUUUGGACCUGGAUACUUUACCGCGGCCUCUAAGCGCUAUAAUUUUUUUUUUUUUGGGAUAAACGGCGCUUCAAUGAGGGCAUUUCCAAUACUUAACACUAUUUUGGUGUAACACCAACACUAAAAAUGUACAUUUUUCACACUAAAUUACUAUUUAAUCUCCAACCCAUUUGAUCUACCAUGAUUGUGACUCCCACUGGGGCCACGUUCUGUUGAUCACCCUCUCGUCACCGAUAGCGCCUCCGCUUGUGGCGAACUUGCUUGUCUAUUUUCCCUAUUUUUCCGCUUACUCUCCUCAUUUAAUACGGAGGCUGCAACAUCAUCGAAAACUAGACUGUCCACUGAAUUGUAGUUUGUCAGGUUGACGAUGAGUUGUUCAUACGAAUCUUAUAGACUUUGAAGUAGAAGCUCUGCAUGUACAUUAUCCUCUAUAUUAUGACCCAACGUUGUGAGUUGUGAAAAUAGAGUCUUCAAGGUGUUGAUGUGGUCGGUCACCAUUGUAGAUUCCACCAUUCGAAGAGUAUAAAGUCUCCUCUUCAAAAAGAUUUUGUUGUGUAGUGACUUGGCCUCGUACAAUUUUGUAAGAGUAUCUCAUAUUUCCUUUGCUGUAUUUUUCUCUGCCACACUGGAUAAUACUCCAUCCGCAAGUGCCAAGUGUAGAUCAGAAAUAGCGUUGCCAUCUAUCUCAUUCCACUUGUCAUCAGUUAUCUCCAUGGGCCUUUCUCCAAUUGCUGCCAAACAAUUAUUUUUCCUCAAUACAACUUUCAUCUUCAUUUUCCACAAUGAAAAAUUAUUUCCGUUAAACUUCUCAAUUUCAUAUUUUGCUGCCAUUUUUUUGAUAAAUACCGCACACAAGUUAGUGUAUCACCUUGAAUAGUUGUCGGUAUGUGUGAGAAUGCACACCAGGAAAGUUCCCAGGAAAGACUGGAGGGGUCACACUGGUCCACUUAAAACUCAGACUCCUUAAGCACUUAUCGCGUUUGUAACAGAACUUUCCUAGACAUGUACAAAACCACACAGUUGCUUUUACUUACACCACUAUUUCCUACUUUGCAGUGCAAAAGUUCUUGGAUCGCUCCCAUCGUUUCUCGUGAACAGUACCAUAUACGUGAACAGUGCCACAUACAUGAAUAGUACCGUAUACGUGAACAGUACCGUAUACGUGAAUACUACCCUUUACGUGAACAGUACUUGACUCCAAAAAAUUCAACCAAUAGCUUUGAUACCACUGUUAGGAAAUUGGUAGGUGAAGCAGACACGCAGCUAAAAUAAAAUUGGAAGAAAAUAAAGAACAAGUACAAAGUGGACACCAAGAAAUUACGUGGUUCGGCUUUUAGCCUACGUUCACGGGCGAAGAUAGAAGGAAAAUAUUAUACUAGUGAUAUGAAGAUUACAAGUAUUGUAAUAUUUUGGCUCACUAUCCAAAACCCCAAUACACUCAAUCUCUCACUCAAUAAACUCUCAGGAGCUUUAUUAUUUUAAGCUCUUAAAAUCUCUCAAGCUUUCUCCUUAUUAUUCUCUCACAAAUUGUAUGCUAAAAUUAGGGUGGGAAGCCCUCUUUAUAUAUCCAAGAUUUUGGCUCUUUUUUUUUUAUAUAACAAGUCAACACGGCACCAUUAAGAAUGGCGAGCCAUGUUGAAUGGCAUGGCACCGCCCAUCUAGAUGGCCGGUGCCAACCAUGACUUUAACAUUCUAUCACUUGGAGAUUUGAUUGAGAAUCAAUCAAUCUCCACAUCAUCCUUUCUACUUCGCCAUAAUCAUGUUGCCUACGUUUUUACUAGGCCACAAGAGGAUCUACUCCAGUUAAACUUAUCAAUAUUGAUUGGCUUAGUCAAAACAUCUGCUAGGUUCUCCUUCGUAUGGAUUUUUGCAAAUUGACACUUCCAUCUUCCACUACUUCUCGAACGAAGUGAUACUGAACUCCUAUGUGCUUUGUCUUGGAAUGAAAGGCUGGAUUCCUUGCAAUGUGCAAGGCACUCUGACUGUCACAAAACACAGGAAUUUUCUGUUGUUUGUGCCCGAGCUCCUCCAAUAAUCUUUGUAUCCAAAUAGCUUCCUUGCAAGCUUGUAUAGCUGCCAUGUAUUCUGCUUCUGUUGUAGAUAAAGCCAGAACGGUCUGCAGUUUCCAAACCCAACUUACAACUCCUCAUGCAAAUGUAAACACAUAACUAGUAGUGGAUUUCCUUUUAUCAAGGUCUCCUGCAAAAUCUGAAUCCACAUAGCCCCUGACAGUAAACUCUGAUCCUCAAUAACAUAAUACAACAUCUGAGGUUCCUCUUAUGUAUCUCAGAAUCCUCUUCACAGCUAUCCAAUGCUGUCCACCAGGAUUCACCAUGUAUCGACUGAUUGCUCCCACUGCUUGUGCAAUGUCUGAUCUUGUACAUAUCAUAGCGAACAUCAAACUUCCCACUGCUGAUGCAUACGGUACUUGAGACAUCUCCUUCCUCUCUGCUUCAUUGCUAGGACACAUACUUGAGGAUAAUUUGAAAUUAACAGGAAGUGGGGUAGAAAUUGACUUACAAUCUUGCAUGUUGAAGCGCCACAAGAUUUUCUUCAAGUAGUUAUUCUCAGAAAGCCAAAUCUUUCUGUUAUUUCUGUCUCAGUGAAUUUGCAUCCCUAGAAUCUUGUUUGCUGGUCCCAAGUCCUUCAUUUCAAACUCCCUAGCCAACAGUGCCUUCACUUCUUGGAUUCGAUCUUUGUCGGGGCCUGCUACCAACAUGUCAUCCACAUAUAACAACAAAAUAAUGAAAUCAUUAUCUUCAAACCUUUUGUAAUAUGCACAAUGGUCUGAACUGAGUCUGUUAUAUCCAAGACUCAUGAUGAAGGAAUCAAAUCUCUUAUACCAACACCUCGGCGCCUGUUUGACACCGUAUAGAGAUUUGUUCAACCUACAAACCAAGUUUUCCUUUUCUGUUUCUGCAAAACCUUCUGGUUUGAGCAUAUAAAUUUUCUCUUCAAGUUCUCCAUGAAGAAAUACAGUUUUCACAUCUAACUGCUCUAGAUGUAGGUCAAAUAUAGCACACAUUGCCAAGACUACUCUGACUGUUGUGAGUCGAACCACCGGAGAAAAUAUCUCGUUGAAGUCAAUACCUUCUUUCUGAGCAUAUCCUUUCACCACCAAUCUUGCACGAUACCGCUCCACUUGAUCAUUGCCAUCACGUUUGAUCUUGUAGACCCAUUUGUUUCCAAUGACUUUUCUUCCAUGUGGUAGUGGUACAAGUUCCCAUGUCUUAUUUUUAUGUAGAGCUUCAAUUUCUUCCUGCAUUGCUGUCAUCCACAAAGCAACAUUUGAACUUUCUAAAGCUUCAUGGAAAGUUGAUGGCUCUCCAUCCUCUGUUAGAAGACAGUAUGCAACAUGGAUCUCUGUGACAUACUCCGAGUGCCACGCUGGCGAUCGUCUCUCACCAAUUGACCAAAGAACUUCUGGAGUCUCAGACUCGACUGGUUCUUGUUCCUCGUGCUCUGGUGCUGCUUUAGAAGAAUCUGAAUCUUCUAGAUUAUUUCCACAUAUACCGGCACAGUUUCUGACUUUUCUUUUACAGUGUCAUCAUCUCCAUCUUUCCUUUACAGUUGAUCUUCUACAAAAAUAACAUCUCUGUUGAUGACGAUCUUGUGGGCAGUGGGGUCCCACAAACGAUACCCCUUUACUCCAUUAGCAUAUCCCAAGAAGAUACAUCUUCUAGAUUUUGGAUCCAGCUUUGUUCUUUCUUACGGAUUGUACAUCACAUACACAGGACAUCCAAAUGCAUGUAAGUAGGAAUAAUCAGCUGGCUUUCCAGUCCACAUCUCCACGUUGUCUUCAGCCCAAUAGCUGUAGAUGACGACUGAUUUACUAUAUAACAAGCAGUUUUGGCUGCUUCUUCCCAAAAUGAAUUGGGUAGACCAGCAGUCCUCAACAUAGCUCUUAUUCUUUUGUAAGAGUUUUGUUCAUCUACUCCGCCACUCCAUUUUGUUGAGGAGUGUAUGCUACCGUGAACUGUCUAUGAAUACCUUCUUACUUACAGAAAGCAAGAAACUCACCGUCUGUAUACUCUCCACCAUUAUCUGUCCUCAAGCACUUGACCCUUUUACCAGAUUCAAGUUCCACCCGCGCUUUGUAUUCUUUAAAUACUGGAAAUAUAAUUGACUUUUUCAUAAUUGGAUACACCCAACAUCUCCUGGAAUAAUCAUCAAUGAAAGUCACCAUAUACUUUGCACCUCCCAUGGAUAUAUCCAGUGAUUCCCAAACAUCAGAAUGAAUCAAGUCUAAAAUGCAUUUACUUCUAGCAAUAGAUUUACUGAAUUUUAAUCUAUGCUGCUUACUUGUAACACAAUGCUCGCAAAAUGGUAAACUUACCGAUUUAAGCCCCGGAAGUAAUUUUCACUCAGAGAGAAUCUUCAAACAUUCUGACAUGUGACCAAAUUUGAGAUGCCACAUCAUCGUUGACUCUUCUCCAUUUGAUACGAGACACGCAUUAGCCUCCUAUAGUGUUUCUCCUUUAAGCAUGAAUAGAUUAGCACCGAUCUUUUCUGCCUUCAUCAAUACAAGCGCUCUUUUAACAAUUUUCGUAAUUUCAUUCUCCAUAUGAGUUUUAUACCCAUGACUAUCCAUUUGUCCCAAAGACAAUAGAUUUUUAUUCAGGUCAUUGACAUGUCGUACCUCCCCAAUUGUGCGAAUUGUACCAUCAAAAUUUUUAUUUUGAUAGUGUCAAUACCAGCGAUCUCCAAGGUAUGAUCAUUACCCAUAUAUAUAGAUCCUCCUGAGAUAUGUUCAUAUGUGUGGAACCAUUCUCUCCGAGAGGUCAUGUGCCAGGUAGCUCCUGAGUCUAUAAUCCAGACAUCAGAUAGUCGUUUUCUACCUUCUAAAACAGUUGUUGCCUCGCUUUAGAGAAUUUCACCAUUAUCUGAAGUACUUGCUACACACCCUUGAGCAUUUGAUGACUCAGGUUAUUUGCCCUCUCUUCUCUUCUGGUUACUCCAACACUUUUUCUUGACGUGCCCUUUCUUGCCACAGUUGUAGCAUUUAACAUUCUUCUUACUUCUGGAUUUUGAUCUACCAUGAUUAUGACUUCUACUGGGGUCACGUUCUGUUGAUCUCCCUCUCGUCACCAAUAGCGUCUCCGCUUGCUGCGAACUUGCUUGUCUGCUUUCAUUAUUUUUCCGCUUACUCUCCUCAUUUAAUACGGAGGUUGCAACAUCGUCGAAAACUAGACCGUCCGCUGGAUUGUUGUUUGUUAGGUUGAUGAUGAGUUGAUCAUACGAAUCUGGUAGACUUUGAAGUAGAAGCUCUGCAUGUACAUUAUCCUCUAUAUUAUGAUCCAACGUUGUGAGUUGCGAAAAUAGAGUCUUCAAGGUGUUGAUGUGGUCGGUCACCAUUGUAGAUUCCACCAUUCGAAGAGUAUAAAGUCUCUUCUUCAAGAAGAUUUUGUUGUGUAGUGACUUGGCCUCGUACAAUUUUGUAAGAGUAUCUCAUAUUUCCUUCGCUGUAUUUUUUUCUGCCAUACUGGAUAAUACUCCAUCCGCAAGUGCCAAGUGUAGAUAAAAAAUAGCGUUGCCAUCUAUCUCAUUCCAUUUGUCAUCAGUUAUCUCCAUGGGCUUUUCUCCAAUUGCUGCAAAACAAUUAUUUUUCCUCAAUACAGCUUUCAUCUUCAUUUUCCACAACAAAAAAUUAUUUCCGUUAAACUUUUCAAUUCCAUACUUUGCCGUCAUUUUGUUCAUAAAUACCGCACACAAGUUAGUGUACCACCUUGAAUAGUUGUCAGUAUGUGUGAGAAUGCACACUAGGAAAGUUCUCAGGAAAGACUGGAGGGGUCACACUGGUCCCACUUAAAACCCAAACUCCUUAAGCUCUUAUCGCCUUUGUGACAGAACUUUCCUAGACAUGUACAGAAUCACACAGUUGCUUUACUCACACCACUAUUCCCUGCUUUGCACCGCAAAAUUCUUGGAUCGCUUCCACCGUUUCUCGUGAACAGUAUCGUAUACGUGAACAAUGUCGUACAUGUGAAUAGUAUCAUACAUGUGAAUAGUAUCGUAUACGUGAACAGUACCGUAUACAUGAAUACUACCCUUUACGUUAAGAAAUUGGUGGGUGAAGCAGACACGCAGCUAAAAUAAAAUUGGAAGAAAAUAAAGAACAAGCACAAAGUGGACACCAAGAAAUUACGUGGUUCGACUUUUAACCUACGUCCACGGGCGAAGACGGAAGAAAAAUAUGAUACUAGUGAUAUGAAUAUUACAAGUAUUGUAAUAUUUUAAUUUACUACCCAGAACCCCAAUACACUCAAUCUCUCACUCACUAGACUCUCAGGAGCUUUAUUAUUUUAAGCUCUUAAAAUCUCUCAAGCUCUCCUUAUUAUUCUCUCACAAAUUGGAUGCUAAAAUGAGGUGGGAAGCCCUCUUUAUAUAGCCAAAAUUUUGGCUCCUUUUUUUUUUUUAUAACAAGUCAACACGGCACCACCAAGAAUGGUGGGCCGUGUUGAAUGGCAUGGCACCGCCCAUCUAGAUGGCCGGUGCCAACCAUGACUUUAACAUUAUAGUCCAAGUUUUCGAGGACCACUAUAUUGUAUUGAUUUAAAAAAAACUAAUAUUUUUAAUAUUAAUAUUCUAAAUUAUAUUCAGUUAAAAUAUUAAAUAUUAAAAACAUUCUUAAUAUUAAUAUUCUUAGAUGAAAUUAUUUUGCUGACUUAAGAAUAAAAUAUUAAAUAAUUUUAUUUUUCUUUUAUUGUGUAACGUGGACCAAAAAAAAGGAAAUGAAUUUAAUAAAACCUUCAUUCAAAACCUUCAUUCCGCCACCAUGCAUGCAUGUUAAUUGUUUCCAAAUUCCAACCUCCGUACUCUCUUGAGGAGUUUCCCAUUCAUCAAUUAUUAUUUUUUAUAAUCCAUACCAUCCUGAUAUAAUUAAACACCAUUAAUAAUGUACCAGCCUUUAAAUAGUAAUUAAUUUAUUUAGUUGGCCACCUAAAAGAAUCCUGCAGGAAAUAGAGGUUAAAAAUUUUAUUAAAUUUGCUUACCGCUGUAUCAUUAUAUAUAUAAAGAGUGAAAUCUAAAUGAAAUUUUUUAUCAUCCAUUCAGCAAACACUUAUAAUUCACAAAUAGUGAAUCUAUGCAUUGACAAUGUGGAUUAAGAAUUAUAACACAUGAAUUCAAACAUACCCUUGUGAAGUUAAGAAUAAGUUCAUACUUCAAAUGAUUUUUUAGCUAAUAAAGCAAUCAGUUUCAUUAAACGACAGCGUUGAAGGAAUUGUGCAAUUUUUUACGUUCUUUUCUAGACAGACGUUACAGAAAUGGGGUAAGUAGAGGGCUGGCCUCAGAUAUCUCACAAUUGUUAGUGAGAUAAAAUGUUAUUGUAAAAGGCGUUUAAUAGAAUAAUAUUAAUUCUUUUGCAUUGUUAUAAAAAUAUUUUUUUCUUUUGACAGUUCUGCAGGACAAGUGAUCAGAGCUCAAUGAAUAUAGCCGUGGAGGCACAGCAGAGCAGGAUUAUGAAAAAGAGAAGCUUAUUACAGGUCAUUCAAGUUUACUUGCUUUUAUAUAAUAAGUGUUUUGGCCGAUUUAUCUAAUUCACCAAAUGUUUUUUCCGGUACAUAUCUCCAUUGGUAUCAAGAAGAGGCAGAACCCAAAGAAACGUUUCUUGCAUCUUCAUAUUUGUGCGCAUUCAUCCUUUCAUUGAGAAUAACCAUUUCCAGGCAGCAGUUGCCAAUCAAUUCGCACGUCGAUGCUAUUCAUAGAUAUUAAAGACAAUGAUGAACCAAAGGUGAUAAAUCAUAAAUGCAUAAUUACCAAACCUCCAUCCUUCUCUCAUUAUGAUUUGAUUUUAAAUGAAUUAUUGCUUGGUAACAUUAUUUCCAACCAUUGCAAGACCUUUUUUUUUUUUUGGGAGAAAUUUCAAUUGAAAGUGAAACCUUUAGACAUUUACCUAAUGAAGUUAGUUAAUCGGGAGGGUGGAAAAAAAAAAGUUGACGCAAGUCAAUACACAAUAAUGAUUAAUUAAAUCCGGAGUGACUAAAACAGAGCCACUACUUUUUCAAAAAUAUCUGCAUUCAUCACUUUCUCCAGCAGCUAGUCAGCUACACACGAAUCAAUUUCUCUCCUCGUUUGUCAUCCAAAAUUAUUCACCAAUACCAUGGCUGAUGCAAUCGUUUCCACUAUCUUGGAGCAGCUGAUUUCCUUCGCUGCUGAAGAGAUAAAACAACAGGUGAUCGAAGUUACACCCCUCAUAUUACAAAUACUUCCAAUGAUUUUAAUUGGUUUUGUUUUUAUCAAAAACAUUAUAUAUUUUUGCUUUUUUUUAUUUAUCUGAUAAUUUUAUAUUUUGAAAUUUGAAUUGAAUUUAAUUAAAAGGUGAUGUAGUAACCACUCAUUUUUAUUUUAUUUCAUUUAUAUUCUCGAUAACUAACCAUAUUUUGGUAACUUAAUAUAACUCUCGUACAUAAGAAAUGAUCCAAACCCACAAUUUUAACUCUGUAUAAAUAUUCAACGUUGAGUCAUUAAUUCUCAACUCAGCACUGAAUCCCAUAGCUAUUACUUAGACUCUAUGAAAAAUUUCAUAGUUUUCUUACAUUCUUUGAGUUUGGUAAGUGAUUUCGUAUAAUUUCUUUUCAAGUUAAAUUUUAAUUUGGUUUAUGAUAUAGUCUCUGUGCCGAAUUGUAUCUUUUAUGAUUCUUGGAUUUUGGGCUCCAACUUUUUAGGAUUUGAUAGUCACAUUUUAUGCCAUGCUCAGAUUGAUUUUCAUGAUUUUAACUACCCGUUAAGUGGCUUACAAUUUGACAAAAGUUUGAAAGGAAAUAUGUUUCAGGAUUCUGUUUUAAUUGACCUUUAAGUAGAAAUAGGAUGCUUAUAACUUAAUGUGGAUGGUUUGUAAAAUCAUGAAAUUCGGAUAGGAUUCACUAGAAAUAUGUACAAGACUCUCCAUAAAGUUUCAUAAUUUUUCAUUCGGUAUGGGGUGGUACAGGUGAAACUUGUGGUUGGUGUUGAAAAAGAAGUGAAAAGCAAGUUGUGCUCGAUGAUGCAGAGGAAAAGCAAGUGAAGGACAAAGCUGUUAGUCUUUGGCUGGGUAGACUCAAGUACGCAUCCUACGACAUUGAAGAUGUGUUGGAUGAGUGGAUCACAGCAAGACGCAAAUUGCAAAUUGAGGGUGGCGUUGAUGAAAAUGCUCUUGUUGUUCCUCAUAAGAAAAAGAAGGUAUGUCUCUACUUUCCCGGCUCUUGUUUUGGAUUCAAACAAGAAGAAUUUGGUUUCAAACAAGUCUUUCUCCGUCAUGACAUUGCCGACAAGAUCAAAGAAAUCAAUGAAGAGCUACAUGAUAUUGCCGCUCAAAAAGACAUGUUUGAUCUUGUUAAGAGUGGCAAUAAAAGUAGUGAAAGACCAAGGCGUGUACAGAGUACCUCCUUGAUUGAUGAAGAAGAGAUUUGUGGCAGAGUUGGUGAGAGGAAUGAACUCUUAAGCAAGCUGUUGUGUGAGAGUAGCGAGCAACAAAAAGGCCUUCAUAUCAUCUCAAUCGUUGGUAUGGGAGGCAUAGGGAAAACAACUCUUGCACAACUAGCUUGUAAUCAUGACGAGGUGAAGAGAAAGUUCGACAAAAUUCUGUGGGUGUGUGUAUCAGAAACUUUUGAGGAGUUUAGGGUUGCCAAAGCGAUCGUUGAAGUUUUGGAUGGUCGUGAAUCUCAUUUAGCUGAAUUCCAUUCUCUUCUUAUAAGUAUUGAUAAAUCUAUUGCGGGAAAGAGAUUUCUUCUUGUCUUAGAUGACGUAUGGGACGGAGAUUACAUUAAGUGGGAACCGUUCUACCGUUCCCUAAAGAAUGGUCUCCAAGGAAGUAAAAUUUUGGUUACUACACGUAAGGAGUCAAUUGCGUUUAUGAUGGGAUCCAUUGAUAUUAUCUCUAUCAAGGGAUUGGCCGAAGAAGAAUGUUGGUCGUUGUUUAAGCGGUUAGCAUUUUUCGGUCGAUCCAUUGAGGAAUGUGGAAGAUUGGAACAAAUUGGACAAAGAAUUGCAGGAAAGUGUAAAGGCUUACCUCUUGCAGCAAAGGUAAUAGGGAGUCUCAUGCGUUCUAAAAAAACUGAAGAAGAGUGGCAAAGAAUCUUAAAUAGUGAGCUAUGGAAAAUAGAAGAGAUCGAGAAAGGUGUUCUAACUCCUUUGUGGUUGAGUUAUAACGAUUUGUCAUCUCGAGUAAAAAGAUGUUUUUUAUAUUGUGCUGUCUUUCCAAAAGACUACAAUAUAAAAAAAGACAAACUAAUUACAUUAUGGAUGGCUCAAGGUUAUCUUAAUGCAGAACAAAAUGAAGAGAUGAAGACAAUAGGUGAAGAGUAUUUUGGCAUCUUAGCUUCUCGCUCUUUCUUUCAGGAGUUUACGAAAAGUUAUGAUAAUCGUAUUAUAUGGUGCAAGAUGCAUGAUAUGGUGCAUGAUUUUGCCCGAUUUGUAAGUCAAAAUGAAUGUUUUUCGAUGGAAAUUAACGGCAGUGAGGAACCAAACGCCACAAACUCUCCUCAUGGGAAGCUUCGUCAUUUAAUGUUAAUCAUUGGUGAAGGGGCUUCAUUUCCUGUCUCCACUUGUAGAGUCAAAAGAAUGCGAAGCCUCUUAAUUGAUAGUAGCAGAUUUGAUUAUCAGUCGUUAAAUGGUGAGAUCCUAGAAGAAUUAUUGAGGGAAUUGACAAGUUUAAGGGCAUUCGAUUUUUGCAGAUCGGACCACACACGAUUGGGUUUCACUCUAGAGAUUCCAAGAAAUAUAAAAAAGCUGAUACAUUUAAGAUACCUUAAUUUGUCUGGUCAGAAAAUAGAGAAGCUACCGGAGGCAUUGUGCGAGCUAUAUAAUCUAGAGAAGUUAGAUAUUUGUGGUUGUUGGUGUCUUAAAGAAUUACCUGAAGGGAUUGGGAAGUUAAUAAACAUGAAGCAUUUACUAAAUAGAAAUACCGAUUCUGUAAGGUACAUGCCAGUAGGGAUUGCGAGAUUAAAGAGUCUUCAGACAUUGGAAGAGGUCAGUGUGAGUGGAAGAGGAUGUCUUGAUGGUAGGAAAGCAUGUAGGCUCGAAUCUCUUAAAAACUUGGAACACCUUCAAAUAUGCGGUAUACGUGGACUGGGUGAUGUAUCAGACGUGGGCGAGGCUAAGCGAUUAGAACUUGACAAAAAUAAAUACCUCUUCAGUUUGACCCUUUGGUUUGAUAAGAAGGAGGAAGAAGGAGAAAGGAGGAAGAACGAGGACGAUCAACUUCUUCUUGAAGCCCUGCAACCACCUCUGGAUUUAAAGAAAUUAACGAUAUGGUCAUACAGAGGCAACACUGUUUUCCCCAGCUGGAUGAUGUCAUUAACCAAUUUAAGGAGUUUAGGUCUCUGUUACUGCAAAAAUUGUGAGCAGCUGCCUCCUUUGGGAAAAUUGCCAUCCCUUGAAACGCUCCACAUAUUGGGCAUGAAUAGUGUGAAAAGAGCGGGUAAUGAAUUUUGGGGUAUAGAAAGUAAUCACCAUGACUCAUCUUCAUCUUCAUUUUCAUCAGUUAUUAUUGCCUACCCCAAAUUAAUAUCACUUUCAAUUCAUUGUCUGACGGAAUUGGAGGAGUGGGAUUAUGGGAUUACUAGAACGGGAAACACGUUCAUCAACAUCAUGCCACGUCUUUCUUCCUUGCGAAUUACUAUGUGCCCCAAACUAAAGGCACUGCCCGACCACAUUCAUCAAACGACAACACUGAAGGACUUGACCGUUGGGUGGAACUCUGAUCUUCUGCAAGAACGUUACAGCGAGGGUAUAGGAGAAGACUGGCCUAAGAUAUCUCACAUUCCCAACGUCAGGAUUUGGCAAGACGUAAUUUCUUCUCCUACUCUGAUUUGCUUUGUUGUUGUUUUUAAUCUAAUUAAGACGCAUAAAUAGCAUUUUGAUUUUGAGUUGACAAUUUUCUGGACCAGUGAUCAAGGGUGAGAAUGGCGCUAGGAUAUUGAAUAAGGCACUGAACUUAGGCUGAUGUCAAAAGAGGUAAAUUAUUGACAUGUGUAGCUAAUUUGACCGUUUCCUGAUUCAUAAGUCUACAUUAAUUUUGAUUUUGAGUUGAGUGAUUACAUUUUAAGGUUUGCUUACUUAACAGGGCCAGGACAUGAAAUGAGAAGCUUAUUAGUGGCAGUUGGCAGUGAAUGGAGGACCUUGACUAAAUUCUCAAGCGGUUGCACUGCAGUUACGCUCAUCCUAAGCCUCCUGUAAUUUCUUCUCCUGCAUUUUUGUAAUUUGCUAUCUAAUUAAGGAGCGUAAACUAUUUUGAAUCGACUUCUAUAUCAGGAAUAUAUGCAACAUUUUCUAAAAGUUUGAUAUGAGUGUAAUGAUGGUAAUUUCUCUUUUUUGUCUGUCAUCGAAAUGUAAGAUAACAUUCAUUAAGACUCUUGAGAGUCGUUUUUGGCAAUUGCAGGACAAGUGAUGAAGAGUGAGAAUGGUGCUAGAUUGGGGAUUAAAGCAAAAGGAGGUAAAUUAUUGGCAGAGAAUUGUGAGAGCUUGAGUGUACUGGGAUUUGCAAUUACAAUCAUCCUCUGCUUCAGGUGAUUUCUUCUCCUGCUCUGUCGUUGUUUGUAUCUCAAUCAAAUUCUAUAACUGGAAUAUGCAAAAGUUUCGAAUUUUUUAUUUCUAUCUGCUUGCAUUGAUAACAUCACGGCAUAUGCACUAGUUAAAGAACAAACAGAAACAGAGCUCCGGAAAAAGUUUCUUCUGCCAUCACAUUUGAAAAUUCAUGUAAAAUGUAGACAGUAAUCAGCAAAAAGGUGAUUCACAAUUUCAUUUUUUUUAUGAAAUUGAUUGUUAGGUUGGAGUUGCUAAAAGGCCAUUGGGCUAACCUAUGUCGUUACUUACCUAGAUCAAGACUCAAAACAAGCAUUGAAUUUUAAAAGGCAUGCAAUAAUUUUUGUGGCCAUAUGUCAAGUCAGGUAAGUUUGAAUAUAAUUAUUGUUGAAGGGGUUUUAUUUUCGGUGUCCAAAUAGAGAUACUGAUUCUUUAAGGUAAUGCCAGUAGGAAUUGCAAGAUUAACAAGUCUUCGGACAUUGCGAGAGUUCCAUUGAGUGGUGGAUGAGGUGUUGAUGGUAGCAAAGCAUGUGGUAUGCGUAGACUGGAAAACAUGUAAGAUGUGGGCGAGGCUAAGAGAUUAGAGAUUGACCAAAUGAAAUACCUCUUUAGUUUGAGGCUUAAAUUUGAUGGUGAAGAAGAAGGAAGGAGGAAGAAUGAGGAUGAUCAACAUCAGCUUGUUCUUGAAACCUUGCAACCACCUCUGACUUUGAAGGAAUUAGAGAUAUGGUCAUACAGAGGCAACACUGUUUCUGCAAGUAGUCCUCUCUUUUCUUUUUAUUAUAUUUUAUUUAGUUAUUAUUUAUUAUUUAUUUUUUGGUUUACUCUGCUUCUUCUUUUUACGUUUCUCAAAUUUUGAAUUUCAUUACUUUUGAACAUACGACAGUCUGUUAUGUGGCGACCCUGGUUUUUAAUUAAGGUUGUAAAAUAUUAUUGUAAAAGAUGAUUUAUUCAAUUUGAGUAAUUCGUUUGCUUUGAUAAUGAUAGCAAUUUUUUAUUUUGACAAUUUGCAAGGUGAGAAUGGUGCUGAUUGGUGAUUCAGGAUAUGGUUCAAACACCAUUGAAUAAAGCUAUGGACAUGGUGGCUCAACUUAGCUAGAUUGGUAUCAAAAUUGGUAAGUUGGCUUGUCAAUGUACCGAUGCUUUUGUUUUCUCUCAACCCUAAUUACCUUAACUUCAUUUAGUUUGGCUUUGGAGUUGAGUAAUAACUUAUUGUUCAAAUGUUAUUUCCUUAUUGUUCUAAUUCAUCAAAUGUUAUUUCCUUAUUGUUCCAUUGAUAUAUUUGUUGCAUAUCAAGCAGAAACAGAACCCAAAGAAAAUGAAACCAUUUCCAGGCAGCAGUUGGCAGUGAAUUCAUGCAAAUGUUGAUGCCAUUCAUAGAUGUUGAAGACAAUGUUGAGCCAAAGGCGAUAAAUCAUUAAUGCAUAAUUCCCAAAACCUCCAUCCUUCUCUCAUUGUAAUUUGAUUUGAAAUGAAUAAUUGCUAGGUAAUUGAAGCCAAUGUUGUUAAAGACCGUGUUGAGCUACCCAAGCUAAGAAGUUACUUGCCAAAAAAUGCAGGGGAUCAAAAGAAGCAUUGCAUUUGAAAAGGCAUGAGAUUCUGGUGGCUACAUGUCAACUCAUAUAUGUUUGAAUAAGUUUGAUCGUUCAAGAUUGUUAGCUUCUGUUUAAAUUUGUGCUACUGCGGUGCUACAAUGCUGCUACUGGGAAAUUUGAAUCCCAUAUUAGACUUUCCUCACAUCAGAAGCUGUGGAUCUUCGGACAUCAGGUUUUUUCACAGUUCUGAAACACUCAGGAUUAAACUCUAUUAAAGUGUUGUAGUUAUCUUGUUGUCAGAAUUCCCAUAUUAUUAUCUUUUUCAUGUAAAAUUAUCUUGUUGUCUUCGCCCAUGAAUCUAAGCUAAAAUUUGAACCAAUUGUUUGCCAUUAUAAAUUUCAUUGUUAAAUGUUAAUUAUGAUGUUGGCGUUGAGUUUCUUUUAAAGUCAUAGAAGCCUGACGAUUGAGUUCCAUGGGAUUCUGAGAAGCAGUAAUAUUUGAACAAGUGAAGGUUCUUCUCUUUUAAUUAUGUUCUGCACUUUUACAGUUUGGCUUUGGAGUUGAGUAAUAACCUUUCGAGGUCGCGGCUAUAAAAAGGCGAUGCUCAAUUUGCCACAGAUUACAUGUAUUGCCAUCAUUGACAAUUUUCUGGAUAAGUGAUGAAGGGUGAGAGUGGUGCUAGACUUCAGCCCUCCAGAAUAUUGAAUAAAGCUGUCAAAAGAGGUAAAUUAUUGGCAUGCCUGUUAGUGAAUUGGAUAAAGCUGGAGCAGAGCAUGAUGUUGCUGUAUAGCUGGAGCAGAGCAUGUUGUUGCUGUGUAGCUGGUUGUAGCAGAUCAACUCACUGAGCUGACCUGUCAAAGCUGGAGCAGAGCAGAGCAGAGCGGAUAAAGCUGGAGCAGAGCAGAGCGGAUAAAGCUGGAGCAGAGCAGAGCAUGAUGUUGCUGUAUAGCUGGAGCAGAGCAUGCUGUUGCUGUGUAGCUGGAGCAGAGCAUGCUGUUGCUGUGUAGCUGGUUGUAGCAGAUCAACUCACUGAGCUGACCUGUCAAAGUUAGUUAGCUGGUUGAGCUGAUGUGUAAAGUUAGUUAUGCAGCAAAUGGUUAUGUGAUGUAACAAACUCGUGUGUGUAGUGAAGAUUGUAGCUUAGUAUAAAUGUCAAUCAGUAUUCAUUAAGUUGAAAUAUCUGAGGAUAAUAAAAAGGUUCUUUAGAGUUCUCUUUCAUUUUCUUUUACUUUCUUGCUUGCCAAACAAUAUAGAACUAAGUUUCUUUCAUGGUAUCAGAGCCAUAAAUGGCAAAUACAGUUCAAAACAACAACUCUUUUAGUUUUGUUACGCCUGUAAAGCUAGAUCAAAACAACUAUAUUUUGUGGCGCACACAAAUUCUAGCUUCGAUCAAAGGAAAUGGUUUGGAAGGUUUUAUCAAUGGUGAUCGAGAAUGUCCUGAGCAGUUUCUUUCUUCUGGCAACAACAAUGGAGCUGAAAUCUUAACUGAAUCUGGAUCCAGAUCUGUUACUGAAUCUGGAUCCAGAUCUGUUACUGAAUCUGGAUCCAGAUCUGUUAAUCCAGAGUUCGUAGCUUGGAUGAAGGCUGAUCAACUUCUGCUGAGUUGGAUGAUGUCAUCGAUACAACAAAAUCUGCUUGCUACUAUGAUUGACUCAACAACCUCAAAACAGCUUUGGGAGACUCUUGCUAGUAUGUUUAUCUCUCAAUCACAGGCUAGAAUUCAAACACUUAGAAUGCAGAUUCAAACUAUUAAGAAAGGUGCAAUGCAUAUGUCUGAUUACUUUGUAAAAGUAAAACGUAUAGCUGAUACUUUAGCUCUAGCUGGAAAACCUGUUGAGUUAAAUGAUCUUGUGAUGCAUGUAUUAACUGGUCUUGAUUCAUCAGAUUAUGAAUCUUUAGUCACUGCUGUGUUAGCUCGAGGUGAAAAGAUAACAUUAGAUGAACUAUAUUCUUUGCUGUUAAAUCAUGAAAAUAGAGUUGAGCAAAAGAAAGGAAAAAUUGCUGGUGAUGUGAUGCAUAACAUGACAGCAAAUAUUGUUCAGAAGAACUCAUAUGCUAGAAAGAAUAAUGGAAAUUUUCAGAAACAGUAUGGAAAUAACUCUGGAGGUGGUAAUAAUUCUGGAUAUGGAUAUGGUCAGUUUAAUAAUAAUAGUAAUUUCUCUGAAGUUGUUUGCCAAAUUUGCUUCAUACCUGGUCAUGCAGCCUAUAAAUGCAGAAAUAGGUACAACUCAUCUUUUGUUCCACAUAGGAACCAUGGUAGAGGUAAUAUGAAUGGUGGCGGAGGUUUUAAUCAAGGGCAAUAUGGUCGAGGAAGAGCCUUUAAUGGUAAUAGUGGAAGAGGUUUUGGAGGUUUUGGUUCAAAUGCUGGUUUUGGACAAAAUGUUGGUUUUGGUAAUGCCCCCAGGGGUUUUGGCUAUCAAGGAAAUAUAGUAUAUCCAGAGAGCAACCCAUCUGCUUAUUUCUCAUUCAACCCUGGAUCAUCUAAUUUUGUUUCUGGUCUAGGACAUAAUAAUCUGGAACAGUCAAGUGCUUCCUCCUCCUCUGCUAUGUCUUCUUCACUUCCACCUGAACACAUUGAAGAUCCUUCCUGGUAUAUUGAUAGUGGAGCAACAAAUCAUAUUACCAACGAUCUAGGUAAGCUUCUGGAUUCAAAAGUUUACACUGGUACUGAAAGGUUAUUUGUUGGAGAUGGAAAUGCAUUAGCUAUUACACAUGUAGGGUCAGUUGUGCUAAAUACUUCAGCUUCUCAAUCCUUAUUUCUUAACCAUGUUCUUCAUGUCCCUUUUAUUACUAAGAAUUUGCUUAGCAUCUCAAAAUUGUUGGCUGACAAUCCAGUUACUGUUGAAUUUCUUGGUGAUUUGUGUUUUAUAAAGGCCAAGAACACAGGGAAAAUUUUACUUGAAGGUGUUGCUAAAGGUGGGCUUGUAUAGAGUCUCUUCUCAUGCUGCUGUUCAUUCAGUCUUUCUCAGUUCAGUUGGUCAAAACAAAAUUCAGUCUCUUUUUGCUUGUUCUCCUGUUUUUAAUUCUGCUCAGCUCUCUACUGUUAGCUCUUAUGAGUUGAAUAAAACGUCAUGUCUGUCAGUUGUUGCAAAGGGUUCUAUUGAUGUAAAUCUUCUUCAUAGAAGAUUAGGACACCCAGCAUCUUAUACUCUCAAAACCAUUCUCAAAGCUUGUAACAACUCUACUGCUUUUAAUAAAGUUGACAGUUUGAAAUUUUGUUCAGCAUGCCAAUAUGGUAAAAAUCACAUGCUGCAUUUUGAUUCAGUAGAAACAAAAACUUCAGCACCUUUACAACUGAUAUAUGCAGAUCUUUGGGACCCUUCUCAUGUUUGUUCUACCCAAGGAUAUAAUUACUACUUGUCAAUCCUAGAUGAUUACAGUAGGUUUACCUGGAUUUUUCCCUUAUCAGCAAAAUCUGAUGCUCUUGAAGUUUUUACCAAUUUCAAAAUAUUCAUUGAGAAGCAUCUUCAACUUUCCAUCAAAACUGUACAAACUGACUGGGGAGGGGAGUUCAGAACAUUUUCAUCGUUACUCACUACUUCUGGCAUCCAUUUUCGACAUCCUUGCCCCCACAUUCAUCAUCAAAAUGGAAAAAUUGAGAGGAAACAUAGACACAUAGUUGAUGUAGGACUGACUUUAUUAGCUCAAGCACAUUUACCACUCAAAUUUUGGUGGAAUACAUUCCAUACAGCUGUCUACUUGAUAAACAGACUUCCAACUCCAGUUCUAAACAGCAUUUCUCCUUUUCAAAAGUUGUUUAAUUCCCAACCAGAUUAUUCAACACUUAAAAUUUUCGGCUGUGCUUGUUAUCCAACACUCAGACCAUACAAUAGACAUAAGUUUGAUUUCAGAACAGCUAGAUGUAUAUUCAUUGGCUACAGUUCACGACACAAGGGAUAUCAGUGUCUUCACUCUUCUGGGAGGGUCUAUAUUUCAAAUCAUGUAACCUUUGAUGAAAGUUCUUUUCCUUAUGAGUCAGGAACAGAUUUUUCUUCAGUUUCUUCAAACUGUCAGUCAUCAACUCAUUCUGAGUCUUCUUUUAAUUCUUCUACUCCUUUUGUUACUCAGUUACAAGCACCUUUAGCAGCAUCAUCAGAAUAUCAUCUUAAUGAUUCUCAGUCACAUGCUUCUAUUUCCUUCCCAAAUUCUACUCCAGUUUACUUUUCUGAUAAUUUCAAUUCCACUUCUUCUUCUCCUUCUUCACCAUCCCAUCAUUCACCUCCACAUACCUUGUCACAACCUGCAUCAUCUGGUCAUCCAAUGAUAACCAGGUCAAAAGCAGGUAUCUUCAAGCCCAAGAUCUACUUGUCAGCUUUACUAGCUCAGAAAUCAGAACCAACCUCUGUUUCCAAAGCACUUUCUGAUCCUAUGUGGUAUAAAGCUAUGCAAGAAGAGUAUCUAGCUCUUAAAACCAAUCACACCUGGGAUUUAGUCUUACCUGCUACUCCAGUGAAGAUAGUUGGCAACAAGUGGGUAUUUCGAGUAAAGUAUAACUCAGAUGGUUCAGUUUCAAGGUAUAAAGCCAGGCUUGUGGCUAAAGGGUUUCAUCAGACACAUGGGAUUGACUACACAGAAACCUUCAGUCCAGUGGUUAAGUCCUCCACUGUUAGAGUUAUUCUUAGCUUAGCAGUAUUGAGUCACUGGGUUGUAAGGCAGGUGGAUGUUAACAAUGCCUUUCUAAAUGGCAUUUUAAUUGAAGAUGUGUACAUGGCUCAACCUCAAGGUUUUGUUGAUUCAACUAAACCUAAUCAUAUCUGCAAGCUAAAUAAGGCUUUGUAUGGCUUAAAACAGGCUCCUAGAGCCUGGUUUGAUAGGUUUAAGGAUGCAAUGAUCUCCAAGUGGCAUUUUUAGCAUUCCAGGUCUGAUAACUCUCUCUUUUAUGCCUGGAACAGUGGUCAUCUAACUGUUGUUUUGGUCUAUGUUGAUGAUAUUAUCAUCACUGGUUCCAGUCCAUCCAUAAUUCAACAAGUUAUCCAGAAUAUGCAUCAAGCUUUUGCUUUAAAAGACCUGGGGGAACUUCACUAUUUUCUGGGGAUUGAAGUCAGCAAAUCUUCACAAGGGGUUUCCUUGACACAAGCAAAGUACAUUGCUGAUAUUCUGGAUAAACAUGGCAUGACAGACUGCAGUCCUGUGCCAACUCCAAUGUCUACAGGCUUUUAUCUCACCAAAGACUCAGGAGAGCCACUUGAUAAUGUUUCUCAAUAUCGAAGUGUUAUAGGAGCUCUUCAAUAUGUUACUCUUACCAGACCUGACAUUGCCUUCUCUGUAAACAAGUUAAGUCAGUUCCUUUCCAGUCCUAGAACUCAACAUUGGGAAGCAUGUAAAAGGUUAUUGAGGUACUUAAAAGGCAUUAUCCAUCUGGGGCUGCAUUUCUACAAUCAAGGAGCUCUGCAAUUACAUUGUUUUUCAGAUUCUGAUUGGGCUUGUGAUCAUGAUGAUAGGAAGUCAGUGGCUGGCUUUGCUGUUUAUCUAGGUCCUAAUCUUGUUUCCUGGUCGUCAAAGAAACAAGCUGUUGUUUCCAGAUCCAGCACAGAAGCUGAGUAUAGAUCUCUUGCUCAUGCUGCUUCAGAAGUUACCUGGAUUAAAUCCUUACUUGGUGAACUUAGUAUCACAUUAAGCUCCACUCCUAUGAUGUGGUGUGAUAAUCAAGGAGCAAUUGCUUUAGCUUAUAAUCCAGUUUAUCAUGCUAAGACUAAGCAUGUUGAAUUGGAUAUACAUUUUAUCCGAGAUAAGGUCACUGCUAAAGAGGUUGCAGUAUGCUAUGUGCCUAGUCCAGAUCAAACAGCAGAUGUGUUGACUAAGGCUCUUACUUUCAAACAAUUCAGUUACUUCAGAAGCAAGCUGAAUGUUCAUCCUAAACAUUUCAGCUUGAGGGGGGAUGUUAGUGAAUUGGAUAAAGCUGGAGCAGAGCAUGAUGUUGCUGUAUAGCUGGAGCAGAGCAUGUUGUUGCUGUGUAGCUGGUUGUAGCCAAAGCUGGAGCAGAGCAGAGCAGAGCGGAUAAAGCUGGAGCAGAGCAGAGCGGAUAAAGCUGGAGCAGAGCAGAGCAUGAUGUUGCUGUAUAGCUGGAGCAGAGCAUGCUGUUGCUGUGUAGCUGGUUGUAGCAGAUCAACUCACUGAGCUGACCUGUCAAAGUUAGUUAGCUGGUUGAGCUGAUGUGUAAAGUUAGUUAUGCAGCAAAUGGUUAUGUGAUGUAACAAACUCGUGUGUGUAGUGAAGAUUGUAGCUUAGUAUAAAUGUCAAUCAGUAUUCAUUAAGUUGAAAUAUCUGAGGAUAAUAAAAAGGUUCUUUAGAGUUCUCUUUCAUUUUCUUUUACUUUCUUGCUUGCCAAACAAUAUAGAACUAAGUUUCUUUCAAUGCCUAGCUAAUUUGACCACUACCUGAUUCAUAAGCCUACAUCAAUUUUGAUUUUGAGUUAAGUGAUUAAUUUUCAAGGUUUGCUUACUUAACCGGCGACUAAUUUCUUGUAACUAAAUGUAUCAUAUGAUGCAGGAAGCAGGGCAAGAUAUGAAAUGAGAAGCUUAUUAGUGGAAGGAUUGCCAGAAACAGAACCCAAAGAAAAUGAAAACAUUUCAAGGCAGCAGUUGGCAGCUGGCAAUGAAUGGAGGCCCUUGAAAAAAUUCCCAAGCCGUUGCACUGCAAUUACGAUCAUCCUCGGCCUCAGGUAAUUUCUUCUCCUGCAUUUUUGUUAUUUGCUAUCAAGUGACAUUCGUAAGUAUGAUUGCAUUAAGCUGCUGCUGGGAAAUUUGAGGUUUUGAUGGCUGCCCAUGCUAUUGUCAGAAGCUGCAGUUCUUUUCAUCAGCCUGAACCUGGACCUGUCGCCAUGGAUAACUCAGGUUUUUUUUUUUUUUAAUCAACUACGGCAUCUUUUCCACUGUUUUGAAACUCUUAAGAUUAAACUUUAGUAAUGUUGUUUUAGUUAUCCAUGUAAUCAGGCUGAGGAUACUUAGCAGCCUAUUUAGGCAAAUGUCAGAAUUUAGUUUGUUCGCUGGGAAUUGGUGUGGACUGGCAAAGGAUGAUGAGAUAGUUUUUUGAGUGAGUAAAUUUUGGGAGCUUGAGUGUAUUGGGAUUUGCAAUUACAAUCAUCGUCUGCCUCAGGUGAUUUCUUCUCCUGCUCUGUCAUUGUUUGUUCUCUAAUUCAAAAGCAUAAAAUAUUUCAAUCAAAUUGUAUGCCAGGAAUAUGCAAAAGUUUCUAAUAUUUUAUUUCCAUCUGUUUGCCUUGAUAACUUUGCUGCAUAUGUACUAGUUAAAGAACAAAUCGAAACAGAGCUCAGUUAAAAGUUUCUUCUGCCGUCAUAUUUGAAAAAUGAAACCAUUUCCAGGAAGCAAUGGGCAGCAAAUUCAUAUAAAGCAUAGACAAUGAUGAGCAAAAAGGUGAUUCACAAUUUCACUUUUUUUAAUGAAAUUAAUUGUUUGGUUGGAGCGGAUAUUGUUAGAAGGCCAUUGAGCUAACCUAUGUCACUACUUGCCUAGAUUACAGGGGGUCAAAUAAGGCAUCCAAUAAUUCUUGUGGCCAUAUAUCAAUUCAUGUAAGUUCGAAUGUAAUUAUUGGUGAAGGGGUUUCACUUCCCGUCUCUAAAUAAAAAUACUGAUUCUUUAAGGUACAUGCCACUAGGGAUUGCGAGAUUAACGAGUCUUUGGACAUUGGAAGAGCUCCUUGUAGUGGAGGAGGAGGUGUUGAUGGUAGCAAAGCAUGUGGGCAGUGGGCUUGAAUCUCUUAAAAACUUGGAACUCCUCCAAGCGUAAGUAUACGUAUACUGGGAAAUGUGUUAGAUGUGGAUGAGGCUAAGAGAUUAGAGCUUGACAAAAUGAAAUAACUCUUUCAUUGAGACUUAAAUUUGAUGGGGAAGAAGAAAAAGAAGAGGGAAGGAGGAAGAAUGAGGAUAAUCAACUUGUUCUUGAAGCCUUGCAACCACCUCUGAAUUUGAAGGAAUUAGAGAUUUGGUCAUACGGAGGCAACAUUGUUUCCCCCCGGAUGAUGCAAAAAUUGAAGGAAUUUACCAAUCUAAGGAGUUUGACACUCUUUAAAACUGCAAAAAUUGAGAAAAGUUGCCUCCUUUGGGAAAAUUGUGAUCCUUUGAAAAUCUCAGCAUAUUGUACAUGGAGAGUGUGAAAACAGUGGGUAAUGAAUUUCUGGGAAUAGAAAGUGAUCUUCAUGACUCAUCUUCAUCUUCAUCAGUGAUUAUUGCCUUCCCCAAAUUGAAAUCACUUUCAGUUGAGGGAUUGAUGGAAUUGGAGGAGUGGGAUUAUGGGAUUAAAAGAACAGGAAACACCUCCACCAACAUUAUGCCACGUCUUUCUUCCUUGGAAAUUAGUGUGGGGUUAUGGGAUCGCACAACGACGUUGAAGGUAUUGCAGAUUGUGGCAUGUGGUACUCUAAGAAGACGUUACAGACAGGGGAGAGCAGAAGACUGGCCUAAGAUCUCUCACAUUCCAGACAUCAUGAUUGUGUGAAAAGAUGCCCGUGACAAAAUUCUCUAGGCGGCUACAUGGAGUACAAUCAUAAAAUGCUAAUGUGGCCACCCUGGUUCUUAAUUAAGGUUGUGAAAUAUUAUUGUAAAAGAUGAUUAAUUCAAUUUGAGUUAUUCGUUUGCUUUGAUAAUGAUAGUAAUUUUAUAUUUUGACAAUUUGCAGGGUGAGAAUGGUGCUGAUUGGUGAUACAGGAUAUGGUUCAAACACCAUUGAAUAAAGCUACGGACAUGGUGGCUCAACUUAGCUAGAUUGCUGUCAAAAUUGGUAAGUUGGCUUGUCAAUGUAUUGAUGCUUUUGUUUUCUCUCAACCCUAAUUACCUUAACUUCAUUUAGUUUGGCUUUGGAGUUGAGUAAAUUCUGGCCUCUUCCGAAAAAAAAAGCUUAAUUUGCUACUGAUCACGUGUUACCAAUUAUUUAAGGUAAUUCUCGCUUACUUGCUUCUGCACUAUAGAGUACGUGUUCUGGCUGGUUUAUCUAAUUCAUCAAAUGUUAUUUCCUUAUUGUUCCAUUGAUAUAUUUGUUAGAAAGUGAAACCAUUUCCAGGCAGCAGUUGGCAGUGAAUUCAUGCAAAUGUUGGUGCCAUUCAUAGAUAUUGAAGACAAUGAUGAGCCAAAGGUGAUAAAUCAUUAAUGCAUAGUUACCAAAACCUCCAUCCUUCUCUCAUUGUAAUUUGAUUUUAAAUGAAUAAUUGCUAGGUAAUUGAAGCCAAUAUUGUUAGAAACGGUGUUGAGCUACCCAAGCUAAGAAGUUAGCUGCCAAAAAAUGCAGGGGAUUAAAAGAAGCAUUGCAUUUGAAAAGGAAUGAGAUUCUGGUUGCUACAUGUCAAUUCGUAGAAGUUUCAAUAAAUUUAAUGGUUCAAGAUUGUUAGUUUCUGUUUAAAUUUGUGCUACUGCAGUGCUACAACGCUGCUACUGGGAAAUUUGAAUCCCAUAUUAGACUUUCCUCACAUCAGAAGCUGUGGAUCUUGAGACAUCAGGUUUUUUCACAGUUCUGAAACUCUCAGGAUUAAACUCUAUUAAAGUUGUUGUAGUUGUCUACGUUCUCAGGUCAAGGAUUCUAAGCUGCCGAUUAAGCAUUGCGCAUUUUCAUUUGUCCGAUUCAAGAGGAACGUCACAGAAAGGGGUAAAGAAAAGAGUAGCCUAAGAUAUUAAAGACAAUGUUGAGCCAAAGGAAACAUAAAUCCCAACCAUUGCAUGUGAACAUGAUCACAAUAAGGUCAAGAACCUACCAAACCAUUUUUUUGAGAAUUUUCAAUUGAAAGUGAAACCUUUUGAUAUUUACCUAAUAAAGUUAGUUAAACGAGAGAAAUAAAGGGGGAAAGAAAAGUUGACUCUAAGUCAAUACAGAAUAAUUAGUUCAAUACAGAAUAAUUGCUGUAAAAUAUUAAAUAGUUUUAUUUUUCUUUUAUCGUUUAACUUGGACCAAAAAAGGAAAUGAGUUUAACACGACCCUCAUUCUGCUUCUUGCUUUGGUUUCAAACAAGUCUUUCUCCUUUAUGACAUUUAUUGUAAUUUCAUUUGGAGACAUAUGUCUGUCGUUCAAAUAUAUUUCAUACGCAAGCUGUUAAUAAUUCUGCUUGCAGAAAGCCUACAAAGCAGCUGUGUGAUGUAAUAGAAGACCAUAGAUAGUCUCGUCAAUUUUUCAACAUUAGAUAUUCAGGUCAUCAGCUUCUCAUGAAUUCUUUCCUGAGUUUCUUUGAAUUAUUUGUGAUGUAAUAACUUGUGCAUUUGAGAAACUGUUCUCUUGAAUUCUUUCUUGAGUUUCUUUGAAUUAUUUGUGAAUAAGUUGUUAAUCGGCUGCUUCUCUUCAGGAUAAGGAAAGUGUUGCAAACUGGUGAAGCAGCUGAUAGAUAAAAGCAAUGGGUACAUCUUUGCUGGCAUGGAUCGAUGCCAGUGCGGCUGAAUUCAGCAAGACUGCCGUUCGUGAUGUUGUUGAUUGGGAUUACAUUAAGGAUGAUGACAACAUUGAUUAAAAUGGGACGUGAAGAUAUAUGGUGUGCAAAUUAACCCAACCCAACCAAACCCGUACAUUUUAUCAACCCAACCCAACCUGUAAAAAAUCACACGGGUUAGGUUAGUUUCACGGAUUGGGAGGUUGGUGCCCACCCCUAAAUAUAACCUCCAUUUCAGCACAAUGCAUGUUAAUUGUUCCCCAAGGACUUCUCCUGAUUCCCAUUCCCAACCUCCAUGCUCUUGAGAGGAAUUUAGCACCCAUCAAUUUUUAUUUUUGAAAACUCGUAAUGGUCUGAUAAAAUUAAACAACAUCAAUAAUGUUACCAGUCUUUAAAUAGUAAUUAAUUUAUUUAAUUUGCCACCUAAAAGAAUCCUGCUGGAAAUAGAGGUUAAAAAUUUUAUUAGAUCUGCUUACCUUUGUUCAUUCAGCAAAAACACUUACAAUUCACAGCUAGAGAAUCUAUCCAUUGACAAUUGUGGAUUAAAAUUAUAACACCUGAAUUCCAACAUAUCCUUAUGAAGUUAUGAAUUUGUUCAUACUUCAAAUGAUUUUUUUUUCCCAAGCUAAUAAAGCUACCACUUUGAUCAAACGACGACGUUGAAGGAAUUGCGUAUUUUCAAUGUCCUUUUCCAGACAGACGUUCGAGAGAGAGAAAGGAGAAGACUGGCCUAAUUAAGAUAUCUCACAAAGAUUAUUAUUGAGUUAAAAUGUUAUUGUAAAAGAUGUAUAAUACAAUAAUAGUAAUUCUUUUGCAUUGUUAUAAUGAGGCUGGUGGGUUUCCUCAGAGGAUGGAUCUUGCUCGCUAGUAUGCAUUUGGGAAGCUGCUAAUUAUUGGCCAUAAAAAGUCAGGGGGUUGUGGCUCUUCCGUCGCCCAGAAAUUCCUCAACUCAUAUCUCAAACUUCAGAUGAACUUGGGCAUUAUGUAAAUAUGUAUUUUGAGAAUUAAACUAGUGCCUUAGAAAAAAUUUGAGCCAUUGUAAUCAUUUUAUUUUGCUAAGGGAAAAUUUUACUUUGUGUUUCGCUUUGACUUUUUUUUUUUUGCCUUGUGAUAAUAAGAUUCAUACGAAAGUGAUUACACGCCUAUCAUGCAUCUAUUUUCAUUUGCUUGUCAUGAGAGAUCAACAUGCUCGAAAUAAUUACUUAGGUUGGAAAUAUUUGAAUCCACUAAAAUACUAUACAAACCCAUUUUAAAAUUAAAAAAAUGAUUAUCAUAAUACUUGUGAAGAUAACACGAUAUCAUACAUAAAAUAAAAUAUUUCGCAAAAAAGAUACGAUACAAAUCUUGAGUAAACAGGUACAAAAAAUAUUUUUUUUUGGUUAAACCACGAGGUACAAAAAAUAUUUUAGUGGGUUAAGUAGCACUAAUGCCCCCUUAUCAAAAAAUAUAGAAAAAUAACUAGUUUGAUUGGGUAUACCGUUUAUAUAUAUGUACAUAUUCUUGAUAAUGUGUAAUGUAUAUUAUAGACAAAGAUUUUGAAAGCAAUAUUUUUUGGUAUUAUUAUAUAAUAUUUUUUAAAAAGUUGAGAGAAUAGGCAAAGUCCAAAUCAACUUUCUAAUCCCUACCUCCUUUAUGAUUUAAACUUUAGCGUUUAGUGUCGCGAGCCACUCAAAUUUUCUAAUCAAAGAGACUAAAUUGCACGAAAUUGUGCUAGCUUAUUUGAUUCUAGAAAUUUCCAGUACACUGUAACACACUCUCAGGCUUGUACAUACCUCGAAAUUCUCUAGAAUUAAUUUACUAGAGUAGUGUUGCAUGUAGCUUGUACAUAGGUUUUUCUGGAACACUUCAGGUAUUACUAAGCAUGAGAGCUUUGAGAACUCUCUAGCCAUAAAACAUUCUAGGGUAUGUCUACCCUAAAAAUUGGGCAUGAUGCUUGCCACUUGAGCAUACAACAAGUAAGAACAAAUCAAGCAUACUUGUAAGCUCUCAAACUCUCUUAUACACACUUUUAUGAAUAAUAUACUUUCUCUUUGGCUAUAUUGCUCUCUCUUCUCUCUAGUUUUUUCGCAAGCAUCAUACCUUAGUUAGUCGAAAAGUUCAAGGCUUACUUUAUAGCUAUCUCACAAAAGUUGUUUAAGUACCACAUGGAUUUGCUGUGUAAAAUACUCAUCACAUGACAUUAGCUAAAUAGAUUUGUUUGAAAGCCACUUACCCAAACUAUUAAACGAAUAUUAACUUUUGUCUUAAUUUUCUAUCACCUAUGAUAAAAUUUAUAAUUAAAAAUUGAAAAAAUUAAUAACUAUUAGAUAGAGCAUUCUUUACUGUUAAAAGAAAUCUAUAUAGAUAGAUAGAUGGUAAUAUAAAAACUUACUUAUUGUAGUAUAAUGUUUUUAGUUUUUUGAAACAUAGAUUCUUACUUUUUUAAGAUAAAAUUCAAAGAAAACAAGUUAAAUGUUGUGGAAAAUCUUCCAGCCAUACAAGAAAUUGUGAUAGCUAAAUGCAAACCUAACUAAAGUAUUAGUUGUUUUAUUACAAUCUCCAAAAAGAUGAGCAAUUCCAAAAUAUUUUUUUGUAACAAUAAACACUAUAGGUCAGCAAUUAUCCAAGUCAAAAGCAAGCUACUCUAUUAAAAAAAAAAAAAACUUGUAGUGAAUCUGAAGAUAAACCAAUUUUACUAGCAAGUUGGAUACCAAAGAGUAGGGCUUCAGCCUCAAUUACUCAAUGUACCAACAACACAGUCUCGGUGAGUUAAAAUCAACUUCUACCACUCUUUUACUUGCUGAUAGAUCGAUUAAGGUACCAAAAGGAAUAAUCGAAGAUGUAUUAGUUCGAGUUGAUAAAUUCAUAUAUCCUGUGGAUUUUAUUGUUUUGGAAACUGAACCAAUUGCUAAUGAAUGCAAACAAAUUCCUGUUACAUUGGGUCGUCCAUUUUUAGCUACUGCUAAUGCAUUGAUUAAUUGCUGGAAUGGAGUAAUGAGUUUAUCUUUCGGCAACAUGACAUUGGAACUCAAUGUGUUCAACAUAUGUAAACAACCUCACCACCAGGAAGAUGAUGAUAAUGAGAAUGAGGAGAUUGAUUUCAUCGAGCCAAUCAUUGAUGAACACAUUCAGAAUAAGAAUUUUACAAACUCAGUGGAAAUUUAUUCUGCUCGUUCUUUUGAAUCGAGUAAGAAAUUAGAUUACGAUACUGAUAACAUAUACCCUACACUUGAUUCUAUGCAGGUACUUGCUGACGGUGACCAAUCAAACUUUAAAAAUACAGAACAAUCUAAAGAACCAAACGAAGAGGAAGUACCAGAGCUCGAAUUAAAGCCCUUACCGGAAGAAUUGAAGUAUGCCUAUCUUGGAGAAUAACAAACUUAUCCGGUGGUAAUUUCUUCCCAACUCACGCAUGAUCAAGAAGGUAAGUUGUUGUCUGUACUAAAAAGGCAUAAAACUGCAUUUGGUUGGACCUUAAAAGACAUAAAAAGUAUUAAUCCUUUAAUCUGCACACACCGAAUACACUUAAAGGAAAAUACCAGAACAACCCGUUAACAUCGACAUUAUCAGUGUAAACAUUAAAUACCAAAAUCAACCCCAAAAACUAUAACUAAACUAUCAUGACUAAAAUAAAGUUUUUUUUUUUUAGAUAUUCGUUGUAGUAUCUCUUUAGAUGACAAACAAGAGAUAAAAUACAUAAAUAUUUGCUGUGUAAAUAAAAAUAAAUAAUUUUUUUGAACUGAAAAAUAUUCUCAAAAACUAAAUAGUUCAAACUUUUUUUAACAUUAUCGGUUCUGGACCUGAACCGAACCGUGAACCGUAAACUGCCCACCCUUACGUAGUUGUUUCCGUUAACCGAUGUUGUAUUGCUGGUAUAAAAUUGUUCAAAUGUUCAAAUCACAGUCUCCCGCUCUCAGCUCAGUCAGAGUUUCAGGUCCAGAGACUUCCCGCUGACUGAGAGCUUUUUUGUAGCAGUUCUACAAAUAAUGGAGUAGAGCUGAUUUUAUGAUUAAUUUAUUUCCUUUUUCAAUUUCUUAUGAUUGCGAUUUAAUCUGGAAAGUUAAACGUGAAUUGUUUAGUGCGGAUUAAAUGUUCGACGAAUUUCCCGCAAGAGUAUUAAGUUAAAGAGAAAAAAGAAAACAAUUGAGCGUGAGCGUGAGCGUGAGCGAGAAUGGUGUUUGGGCAAGUGGUGAUUGGUCCGCCCGGCUCGGGAAAGACCACUUACUGCAAUGGCAUAACUCAGUUUCUCAGCCUUGUUGGCAGGUAACUUCGUUUCUUGAUUUCAAGCAGCUUUAUCUUUGAUGACCAAAAAAAUUGAUUUGGGCUUUGCCCAUUAAAUGAAUGUAAGAGCGGUAGGGAAUAACUGAGUUAUAGGAUUAGCUUUAAGUGAACAUUGAUGGUAACAUGCGCGUGAAGGUUGUAUGUGUUCAGUGGCAAGCUGUAUGCCAAUUUGGUCUAUAUGGUUGCUUAGGUAGUAACUUAUUAAUUUUUACGCAGGAAGGUUGCAGUCAUCAAUUUAGAUCCUGCUAAUGAUAGUUUGCCGCAUACUUUGUCAUUGAACUUUCUUACAAAUGCUGUGGUUUGUUGUAGUAUAAUUAGUUCAAUUGGAAACUUCCUUGAUGUUAAUAUAGAAAUGAGUGUGCUGUGAAUAUUGAGGACCUCAUUAGACUAAGUGAUGUGAUGAUGGAGUAUUCACUUGGUCCCAAUGGAGGUUAGUCAGCCUAUUGUUGUUUACUCUUUCUUGCUUUAUCACGCAAUGAUAUUCCUUUGCUUUACAACAAAUUUCGUGAAAUUAACUUCAAUCAAGUGGCAAUGUUCAUAUGCUGUUGAGAUUUUAUGGACAAUGAUUGGUAGACUUUAUAUGCCGUCUUCUUUCUUUUUGCAGUGAUAUGCUUGUAUUCAAUGAGCAUGUACUUAUUCUAUGGUUUCUAAAGUAGGUGUUUUUAUGAUAAACUAGGUCUUGUGUAUUGUAUGGACUAUCUAGAGAAGAAUAUUGACUGGCUGCAGUCGAAAUUAGAACCACUUUUGAAAGGUAAGAAGAGGCCAUUUUCCUUCAUUCUAAUGCCAAUAAUGCUGUCAUGAGACUCAUAAAAAUGUUAAAACGUUAAUGUUUUUGGUAUUUUGCAGAUCAUUAUCUUCUGUUUGAUUUUCCUGGCCAAGUUGAAUUAUUUUUUCUUCAUUCCAAUGCCAAGACUGUUAUAAUGAGACUCAUAAAGAAGUUAAAUCUCAGGGUAUUGUUACAUCUUACAUCUAUGAAGGGACUCAAAGAGUUGAGAUGAAUUCAUCUUUGUUAUUUUGAUGCCAGAAUUGUGCAAUUCUCAGUUGGUUCCUUGCACAUGCAGUUGACUGCAGUGCAUCUAGUUGAUGUGCAUCUUUGCAGUGACCCCGGGAAGUAUGUUAGUGCUUUGCUUCUCUCAUUGUCUACGAUGCUACAUCUGGAACUUCCCCAUGUCAAUGUCUUGUCUAAUCGAUCUGAUUGAGAAUCAUGGAAAGCUAGGUGUGGUUUUAAGUGUAUCUCUCCUACUUGUUUGUUUAGUUUGAAAUAUCAGAUAUUGUCACAAGCUCCUAUUUGCUACAUUUCCUCACCAAUCAAUUACUUUGGGUAUGUUGCAGCUUUUAAUCUCGAGUACUAUACAGAUGUGCAAGAUUUGUCAUAUUUACAGCAUGCUCUCGGUCAGGACCCUCAUUCUGCUAAGUACAGGUUUGAAUUCUAGCUGAAUCAAUGAUGCAAAUUAUGUUCAUUGCUAUUUCUGCUGUUGUUUCUAUCAUUUUCAAUUGUUACCUCCCCUUGCCAUCUACUGCCACACUGCAAUGCCUACACAAAUGUUAUGAAAUUUGUCAAUGGCAAUGCCAUCCUGUUUGUCCAGAGACAGCUCUUAGAUGCAAGUGAACAAUUUUUGGCUUUGGCCGUAGUACAGCCUUAGAUUUCAACUUGCCAUAUCUUGUCUCGGAAGUCAAAAGAAAGCGUAUAUGUUAGCCAAAUUUUAUUUGAAUUUAUUAAGUAACAAUGAAUGGGUCAGAAAAACAGUUCCUCUUUUGUUUUGAUCAGACUCAAUGAAUAAGUGUUUAAAAUGUGCCUGUCCUAAAAAUAUAGAUGUGUGGUUUCACAAAAUUUUCUUGAUCUUAAGAAAGAGUUAUCUUGAAAAGAAGAUAACAUGGAGAAUUCAGCAACUAUACAGUCAUAUUGAUGUCUGUCAACUUGGGUCAGAUGGUGUCGUUUGGAUGGAGAUGUUAGGUCCCAGAUGGUAUGCUUGUUAUCAAAUUCCAGUCUAAUUCAUUCAUGCUUUGAUGACAUAUGCGGUGCAGCUUCUUAUCUAAGACCUGUAUAUGUUCAGUCAUCAUUCAGUUCUGUAUUUGGCUGUCAUUCUUUCAAUGAAUUCAAACCACUUUCUGAAUACUUGCAAGGGAAAUUAUCAUUCGUAUACCCUAUAUUUACUCUGUUAUCAAAAAUACUACAACACUUUGAGGGUGUAUCAAUCGUCCACCAUAAGUUGACAAAAUGUAUCAACCGACCACCAAACCGUUAAUUGUCGUUUGAAAGUUAACGGAAUUACAGUGAAUUGACGAUUUUACCCUUGAAAAUUAUCACUUGUAUACCCAUAAAAUUCUCUUUUUAGCACUUGUAUACCCUUAAAUUAUCACUUGUAUCAUAUGAAAAGACCAAAUUACCCUUCUGAUGUUAUCAUAUUUAAACGGCAACUAACGGUUUGGUGGUCGGCUGAUACAUUUUGUCAACUUAGGGUGGACGAUUGAUACACCCUCAAAGUGUUGUAGUAUUUUUGAUAAUUGAGUAAACUAAGGGUAUACAAGUGAUAAUUUCCCUACUUGCAAAUUCAUCCAGUGUUGUCAUUGAGAUGCCAAUAUGUAAAGGAGCAAUAGUUGCCCUUGAUAGUAUGCUUAUUGAUUGCCUCUUGCCUCACUCAGCCUAAGGAAUCUGGUUGUAUGGUGUUCUUGUAAUUUCAUUUGGAGAUAAGUAAUAUCUGUUGUUCAAAUGUAUUUUAUAUACAACCAGUUCAUAAUUCUGCUUGCAGAAAGCUUACAAAGGAGCUGUGUGAUGUAAUAGAAGACUACAGUCUGGUCAAUUUUUCAACUUUAGAUAUUCAGGUCAUCAGUUUCUCUUGAAUUCUUUCUUGAGUUUCUUUGAAUUAUUUGUGAAUAAGAUCUUAGUUGGCUGCUCCUCUUCAGGAUAAGGAAAGUGUGGCAAAACUCGUGAAGCUGAUAGAUGAAAGCAAUGGGUACAUCUAUGCUGGCAUGGAUGCCAGGGCAGUUGAAUUCAGCAAGAUUGCCGUUCGCGAUGUUGAUUGGGAUUAUUUCGGAUAUCCUUCUUUUCACCUAUUUUCAAUCUUGUUAUUCUCAUAUUCAUAAAACAUUUUGGUUAUUUAAUUAUGGUUCAUCAUAUGCAUCUGCAUCUUCUAACUUGUUCGUUUGAGAAACUAAUUUUGCCGUUAGGUAGGCUUCAAGCUUGAUUCAUGCUUUUUUCAAAAAUGUACCAAAAUCAUGGAAACUUCUUUUUCCCAGAUAUUGUAUCCACACUUUUCCCAUAUAAUUGGGUCAGACAAGUUUUGCUUAACAAAGAUAUCUACAGUAGCCGAAGUGCAGGAGAAGUACAUUAAGGAUGAUGACGAUGUUAACUAAAAUGGGACGUGAAGAUAUGUGGUGUGCAAACCGUAAGCCUGCCUCUUAUUUUUGUGCAUGUUUACUUGCUUGUGAUUCACGUUUGUUAAUCUAUUUUGCUCUCUUGCAGGAGUUAUAAAGUUUUCAAUCAAUCAAACAUUUAACUCAAGUCCUUAGCUCUUCACGGCUUGAAUGGGUCAGAUAGGACAAGCGCCGAAGAGGUGGUUUUAAUCAAACCCCUCCUAAUUAUGAUGUAUGGUCCAAAUCUCGGACUUUCUGUACAAUAUCGAGCGAUUCGGACCUUUCAAGUCGAAUAUUGAUUUUUCUCCAGUAUUGUUUGUAAUUACAAGAAACGAAGUAAUGAAAUUUAUCACUGCGUUCAUAGUUAUGCUUAAGCUCAAAGAUUACCGUCAAGAUCAUUUUGGGCCCUCAAAGAAACAUGAUGUUGACACAUGUAAAAUUAUGAAGCUUGUGAUUAAAAUACUUUUGACAUAUAUAUGUUAAGUACUAUUAAUAAUUAAACAUAUGAAUAAAUAUGGUCAAUGAGGAGAGGAUAAAAUAAAAUGGUUUCAUUUUUUGAAUUACUCAACCGCUUCAAACUUCUAAGAAGUAGAUAUACAAUGAGUGGAAUACUGAAUUGAGUGCGAGCUGCGGAUAACUUAUAAAAUUGGGAUGCAAGCUUCAAGGAAAGUGUAUUGCUAUUCAAAUGUAGAUUUCAAAUUAGGAAGAUAUGCCAGCAAAUUGUAUAAAAAUGUAUAAAUUGAUCAGUAACAUUAAUUCCAAAUGAUGAAAUGAGUUAUCUUGAUCAAAAGGUCAAGAACCUACCUUACUUCUCUUAGAGAUAACUUGCAUCAACCGUUGUGGUAUUCAUACUUGUCUUCAGCUAGUAAAAGUGAAAGUUUCACAAUUGAAAUAAAGCUAAGGGAAGAUGCUAUGCUGCAUUUAUUAUUAUUAUUAUUGAUGUGGUCGAGAAGUAAAGCCAUGCAUAUGAUGAAGUAUAAAUAAGAAUGCAAUAGCCCGGAAUUCAUUUUCACAAACACUUCAAUAUCCUUUUGAUCACUUUUGCAAACAUCAAUUUGUCUCCUCUUGUAUUCACCAUGGUUGAUGCCGUCAUUUCCCCUCUCGUGGAGCAGCUGACUUCCUUCGCUGCUAAAGAGAUAAUACAACAGGUGAUCGAAGUUAAACCCCCCAUAUUAUAAAUACUUCUAAUGAUUUUAAUUGGUUUUGUUUUUAUCGAAAACAUUAACUUUGCUUUAUUUUACUUAUUUAGGCAUUUUAAAUUUUGAAAUUUGAAUUGAAUUUAAUUAAAAUGUGAUGUAGUUAGUAACCACUUUUUUUUAUUUCAUUUAAAUUCUCAAUAACUACCUAUAUUUUGGUAACUUACUGUAACCCCCGUAUCUAAGAAAUGAUCAAAACCCACAAUUUUAACUCCACAUAAAUAUUCCAUGUUGAGCUAAGUUCGAUGUUGAGGUAAGUUUUUGCAUAACAUUCAAGUUUGUCAAAUAGUCAUUAAUUAAAUGUUUAGUAAAAACUUAUCUCUGAAAAAUUUCAUAAUUUUCUUACAUUCUUUGAGUUUGGUAAGUGACUUCAUAUAAUUUCCUUUCAAUUUAAAUUUUAAUUUGGUUUCUGAUAUAGUCUCUUUACUGAAUUUAUAUCUUUUAUGAUUCUUGGAUUUGGGGCUCCAACUUUUUAGGAUUUGAUAGUCACAUUUUAUGGCAUGCUUAGAUUGAUUUUCAUGAUUUUUAGUACUCGUUAAGUGACUGAGAAUUUGACAAAAGUUUGAAAGGAAAUCCGUUUCACGAUUCUUAUGUGGAAGGUUCAUAAAAUCAUUAAAUUUGGAUAGGAUUCAUUAGCAAUAUGUACAAGACUCUCCAUGAAGUUUCGUAAUUUUUCAUUCGGUCUGGGGUGGUACAGGUAAAGCUUGUGGUUGGUGUUGAAAAAGAAGUGAAAAGCCUUACCAGCCACCUUCAAGCCAUUCAAGCUGUUAGCGAUGAUGCAGAGGAAAAGCAAGUGAAGGACAAAGCUAUUAGACUUUGGCUGGGUAGGCUCAAGUACGCAUCCUACGACAUUGAAGAUGUGUUGGAUGAAUGGAUCACGGCAAGAGGCAAAUUGCAAAUUAAGGGUGGCGCUGAUAAGAAAAAGAAGGUUUGUUUCUGCUUUCCCGCCUCUUGUUUUGGAUUCAAACAAGUCUUUCUACGUCAUGACAUUGCCAACAAGAUCAAAGAAGUCAGUGAAGAGCUACAUGAUAUUGCCACCCAAAAAGACAUGUUUAAAUUUGAGAGUAGCAGUAAAAGUAGUGAAAGACCAAGGCGUGUGCAGAGUACCUCCUUGAUUGAUGAGGAAGAGAUUUGUGGUAGAGUUGGUGAGAGGAAUGCACUCUUAAGCAUGCUGUUGUGUGAGAGCAGUGAGCAACAAAAAGGCCUUCAUAUCAUCUCAAUUGUUGGUAUGGGAGGCAUCGGGAAAACAACUCUUGCACAACUAGCAUGUAAUCAUGUUGAGGUAAAGAGAGAGUUUGACAAAAUUUUAUGGGUGUGUGUAUCAGAAACUUUUGACGAGUUUAGGAUUGCCAAAGCGAUGCUUGAAGCUUUGACUGGUUCAACUUCUAAUUUAGAUGCAUUGCAAUCUCUUCUUAUAAGUAUUGAUGAAUCUAUUGCGGGAAAGAGAUUUCUUCUUGUCUUAGAUGACGUGUGGGACGGAGAUUACAUUAAAUGGGAACCAUUCUACCGUUGCCUAAAGAAAGGUCUCCAUGGAAGUAAAAUUUUAAUUACGACACGUAAGGAGUCAAUUGUGAGCAUGAUGAGAUCCACAGAUAUUAUCUCUAUCAAGGAAUUGGCUGAAGAAGAAUGUUGGGCAUUGUUUAAGCGGUUAGCAUUUUUCGGUCGUUCCACUGAGGAGUGUGAAAAAUUGGAACAAACUGGUCAAAGAAUUGCAAGAAAGUGUAAAGGUUUACCUCUUGCUGCAAAGACAAUGGGAAGUCUCAUGAGCUCUAAAAAAAUUGAAGAAGAGUGGAAAAGAAUUUUAAAUAGUGAUUUAUGGAAGGUAGAAGAGAUCGAGAAAGGUGUUCUAACCCCUUUGUGGUUGAGUUAUAACGAUUUGCCAUCUAGAGUAAAAAGAUGUUUCUCGUAUUGUGCUGUCUUUCCAAAAGACUACAAUAUAGAAAAAGACAAACUAAUUACUUUGUGGAUGGCUCAAGGUUAUCUUAGUGCAGAAGCAGCAGAACAAGAUGAGGAGUUGGAGACUAUAGGUGAAGAGUAUUUUGGCAUCUUAGCUUCUCGCUCUUUCUUUCAAGAGUUUGAGAAACGUUAUGAUAAUCGUAUUAUAGCGUGCAAGAUGCAUGAUAUGGUACAUGAUUUUGCCCAAUUUGUUAGUCAAAAUGAAUGUUUUUCGUUGGAAGUUAAUGGUAGUGAGGAACUAAACGUCACAAACUCUACAAACUCUCUUGAUGAGAAGGUCCGUCAUUUAAUGUUAAUCUUUAGUAAAGGGGCUUCAUUACCGGUUUCCACUCUUAGAGUUAAAAGAAUGCGUACCCUCUUAAUUAACGAUAGUAGAUCUGAUCAUUCAUUAUUAAAUGGUGAGAUCCUAGAAGAAUUAUUUAGGGAGUUGACAAGUUUAAGGGCAUUAGAUUUUGGCAAAUCGUAUAACUCAAGUUGGUAUUCGACUCUGGAGAUUCCGAGAAACAUAGAAAAGCUGGUACAUUUAAGAUACCUUAAUUUGUUUUAUCAGGGAAUAAAGAAACUACCGGAGACAUUAUGCGAGUUGUAUAAUCUAGAAAAGUUAGAUAUUAGUUUAUGUUUUAAUCUUAAAGAAUUACCUGAAGGGAUUGGGAAGUUAAUAAACAUGAAGCAUUUACGAAAUAGAGGUACUAGUUCUUUAAGGUACAUGCCAGUAGGGAUUGGGAGAUUAACGGGUCUCAGGACCUUGGAUGAGUUCCACGUGAGUGGAGGAGGAGGUGUUGAUUGUAGGAAAGCAUGUAGGCUUGAAUCUCUCAAAAACUUGGAAAACCUUCGAGUGUGUGGUAUAUGUAGACUGGGUGAUGUAUCAGAAGUGGGCGAGGCUAAGCGAUUAGAACUUGACAAAAAGAAAUACCUCUCUUGUUUGAGACUUCGGUUUGAUAAGAAGAAAGAAGAAGGAGAAAGGAGGAAGAACGAGUACGAUCAACUUCUUCUUGAAGCCCUACAACCACCUCUCAAUUUAAAGGAAUUAGAGAUAGAGUACUACCGAGGCAACACUGUUUUCCCCAGCUGGAUGACGUCAUUAACCAACUUAAAGAGUUUAGAUCUCUCUUCCUGUGAAAAUUGCGAGCAGCUGCCUCCUUUGGGAAAAUUGCCAUCCCUUGAAAAUCUCCACAUAUAUCGCAUGGAGAGUGUGAAAAGAGUGGGUGAUGAAUUUUUGGGGAUAGAAAGUGAUCAUCAUGGCUCAUCUUCAUCGGUUAUUAUUGCCUUCCCCAAAUUGAAAUCACUCACAAUUUCUUUGAUGCUGGAAUUGGAGGAGUGGGAUUAUGGGAUUACAAGAACGGGAAACACCGUCAUCAUCAUCAUGCCACGUCUUUCUUCCUUGACAAUUGGGAAUAGUCCCAAAUUAAAGGCACUGCCCAACCACAUUCAUCAAACGACAACAUUGAAGACAUUGCGCAUUUGGAGGUGUGACCUUCUGGAAGAACGUUACCGCAAGGGGGAAGGAGAAGACUGGCCUAAGAUAUCACACAUUCCCAAUCUCCAUUUUGGGCUUUGACAAGUAAUUUCUUCUCUUACUCUGAUUUGCUUUGUUGUUGUUUUUAAUCUAAUUAAGAAGCGUAAAUAGCAUUUUGAAUCAAACUCUAUAUCAGAAAUCUGCAAUACUUACUUUCUAAUAUUCUGAUUUUCAUAUCCUAUGAAUAUACGAUUUUUAAUUUGUGGGAUGGGUAACGUUACUGUAAAAGAUUAUUAAUGCAAUAUGAGUAAUUCUUUUGCAGGACAAGUGGCCUACAUUUAGUUUGGCUUUGGAGUUGAAUAAUAACCUUUCGAGGUCCCGACAACCAAAAAACGAAACUUAAUUUGCCACAGAUUGCACGUAUUGCCAUUAUUGACAAUUUUCUGCACAAGCUUAGGUUGAUGUCAAAAGAGGUAAAUUAUUGGCAUGCCUGACUAUUUUGACCAUUACAUGAUUCAUAAGUUUACAUUAAUUUUGAUUUUGAGUUGAGUGAUUAAUUUUCUAGGUUUGCUUACUUUAACUGGGUGACCAAUUUCUUGUAACCAAAUGUAUGAUGUGAUGCAGGAAGCAGGGCAGGACAUGAAAAGAGAAGCUUAUUAGAGGAAGGAUUGCCAGUAACAGAAUCCAAAGAAAAAGAAACCAUUUCGAGGCAGCAGUUGGCAGUUGGCAGUGAAUGGAGCCCCUUGAAAAAACCCCCAAGCGGUUGCACUGCAAUUACGAUCAUCCUCGGCCUCAGGUAAUUUCUUCUCCUGCAUUUUUGUUAUUUGCUAUCAAGUGACUAUUUUAAGUAUGAUUGCAUUAAGCUGCUGCUGGGAAAUUUGAGGUUUUGAUGACUGCCCAUGCUAUUGUAAGAAGCUGCGGUUCUUUUCAUCAGCCUGAACCUGGACCUGCCGCUAUGGAUAACUCAGUUUUUCUUUUUUUUAAUCAACUGCCAUCUUUUCCACUGUUUAGAAACUCUUUAAGAUUAAACUUUAGUAAAGUUGUUUUAGUUAUUCAUGUAAUCAGGCUGAGGAUACUUAGCUGCCUAUUUAGGCAAAUGUCAGAAUUUAGUUUGUUCGCUGGGUACUGGUGGGGACUGGCAAAGGAUGAUGAGAUAGUUUUUUGAGUGAGUAAAUUUUGGGAGCUUGAGUGUAUUGGGAUUUGCAAUUACAAUCAUCGUCUGCCUCAGGUGAUUCUUUUUCCUGCUCUGUCAUUGUUUGUUCUCUAAUUCAAAAGCAUAAAAUAUUUCAAUCAAUUUUUAUGCCAGGAAUAUGCAAAAGUUUCUAAUAUUUUAUUUCCAUCUGUUACAAGAUCAAACUGAAGCAGAACUCAAACAAAAGUAUGCUACUUCUUGCGGAAAUCUUGCCUUUGUUCAGAUUAUGAAACCAUUUCCAUGCAGCAAAUUCAUCCAAAAGUUUGAAUAAGUUUCACGGUUGGACACUGUUGGCUUCUUUUUCUUCUGGGGUGCAUUUAGGUGCUAUCAAGUGACAGCUGUAAGUAUGAUUGCACUAAGCUGCUGCUGGGAAAUUUGAGGUUUUGAUGGCUGCCCAUGUUAUUUUCAAUAAACUAUUGAUGUAAGAAGCUGUGGUUCUUUUCAUCAGCUUGAACCUGAAACUGUCGCUAUGGAUAACUCAGGUUUUUGUUAUCAACUAUAUCAUCUUUUUCACUAUUUUGAAACUCUUAAGAUUAAACUUUAGUAAAGUUGUUUCAGCUAUUCAAAUGAAAAACUCAUUGAUUUGAGAAUUCCUUCAUUAUUGUUUCUAAUUACAAUGCUAACGAUCCAGAUAAAAUAAUAUUUAAUCGGCGAAGGUGUCCCUUGGAAGUACAUCCUUCUUUUUCUUUUAUUAUAUCAAUUCUUGCAAUGAGCUUAGUGAAGCUGUUGUGCUAAUCAUGCCACUGCAUAAUUUGGCCCCUAAUGUGGGUACUCUGUUACAUUGUUCUGCAAAUUCUCCAGAAGUUAAAAUCAAUAAAUUUUCUAUUAGCUCUAGUGCUUUGACCUAAAUGCUAUUCUAUAUUCUGAUUACAAUGUUUUAACCUUUAAAUUAACUACCCCUAGAUGUUGGAUUUUCUAGAACUUCAAAAUGAUUAAUGGAGAAAGAUCCCAUUAUCGUUAUUGCUAUAAGAAAUUGAUUUAUGCAUCCAAAGAUACAUUAUAUAUUUCUGUGUCUCUAUUUAUAGAUGACAUUUAAGCAUCCAUAAACCGUCAGACAGAGGAAGGGGGUUCAGUGCAAAGAUUCUGUUGACCUAGGGUUGACUGCAUAUGUCACUUGUUCGCAAUCUAUUAUUUAUUUUAUAUUUUGAAGAAUUUAAUGGGUAAUCCUAAUUGUUUGUUUUGGCAGGUAUGUGUUGUUAUCUCCUUCUAUCUAACAGUCGUACCUAAAUAGCAUAGUUUCAUCUGUGUUACCAUGUGAUGUACAUAAUUUCACAUUUGCCUCAGAUUAAGCUUAAUUUCCCACAGAAUAGAGCUGUCGCGACUGGACUUAGGUUGAUGUCCAAAGAGGUAAAUUAUUGGUAUGCCUAGAUAAUUUGGCCAUUUCCUAAUUCAUAAGUCUACAUUAAUUUUGAUUUUGAGUUGACUGAUUUCUUUUCAAGGUCUGCUUCCUUAACGGAGUGACCAAUGUUUUUCAACUAAAUUUAUCAUAUGAUGCAGGAAGCAGGGCAGGAUAUGCAAUGAGAAUCUCAUUGGUGGAAGUAUUGCCAGUAACAGAACCCAAAGAAAAUGAAACUGUUUCAAGGCAGCAGUUGGCAGUUGCAAGUGAAUGGAGGCCCUUGACAAAAUUCUCAAGCGGUUGCAAUGCAAUUACGAUCAUCCUCAGCCUCAGGUAAUUUCUUCUCCUGCUUUGUAUUUAUUUGUUAUCUAAUUAGGAAGCGUAAAGUAUCUUGAAUCAUUUUCUGUAUCUGGAAUAUAUGCAAGAGUUUCUAAAAUUUUGAUAUGAGUGUGAUGAUGGUAAUUUCUGUUUUCUGUCUGUCUUCAAAUGUUAGAAAACUUUCAUUGAGACGCUUGAACCGAGUCAUUUUUGACAAGUGAAGUGCUGAAGAGUGAAGAGUAAGAAUGGUGCUAGAUUGGGGAAUAAAGCAAAAGGAGGUAAAUUAUUGGCAGCUUCUUCAGCCUUAUUUUCUUUGGACCAGUGCCUAACUCACAAGUCUCCAUAAUUCGGCUUUUGACCAGUUGAUAGAUAAAAUUUUAAUUUCAUUGGUGCUAAUGUACCCGUGAAGCAGGCAGAGAAGGACUGUGGAAAAGAGAAGGUUUUUAGUGAAAGCUUAAACUCAGGUAAUUCUAAAAAUUAUAUGUUUUGGCUGAUUUAUCUAAAUCAGGAAAUUUUAUUUCCAUCUGUUACAAUAAAACAGAAACAGAACACAAAGAAAAAUAUUCUACUUCUUGUGGCAAUCUUGCCUUCAUUCAGACUAUGAAACCAUUUCCUUUCACCAAUUUCUUCCAAAAUUUUGAACACGUUUCAUGGUUGGACAUAGUUAUCUUCUUUUUCUUUUGGUGCAUUUAGGUACUAUCAAGUGACAGCCAUAAGUAUGAUUGCAUUGUUGGGAAAUUUUAGGUUUUGAUGGCUCCCCAUGUUAUUGCCAAGAAAUUUUAAGUCCUCAUGUCAGAAGCUGCGUUUCUUUUCAUCAGCCUGAACCCGAACCUGUCACUAUGGAUAACUGAGGUUUUUGUCAUCAACUAUAUCAUCUUUUUCACUGUUUUGAAACUCUUAAGAUUAAACUGUUGAGAAGUCAAUAUUAGCCCAAAUAAGUCCACACCUAAAUUAAUUUGAUGUCAUUGCUUACAUCAAUUUAGUUAGGUGAAUAUUAGCCCAAAUAAGUCCACACCUAAAUUAAUUUGAUGUCAUUGCUUACAUCAAUUUAGUUAGGUGAAAAUUAGGUAUUUUUCCCAUGUUUAAUUUCAAUGGUUUAAAUUAGUUUGUGGUUAUUUUAAUGAGUGGUUUAGAUUGUUUCUUGUAACCUAUAAAUACCUCAUUUGUAUUUGAGUUUUAUUAUUCAACAAUAAAAAGCUUUAUUAUAAGCAUUUGAAAGCUUUCUUAAGAGUUCUUCUCUUUUUGCAAUUUUGUGAGAUUAUUCUAAAGAGAGUUUUUCUUCUUCUUGAUCAAUUAGAGUUUUUACUCUAUUUUGAUUCAACAUUUGGUAUCAGAGCAUUGGUUGUAAAGUCUCUUGAAAUUCCGAGUAUGCUCUGUGGUUGCAGUUUUGACUGAUCUUCCACAUCAGAAAAGAUUUCUUGAGAUUAUUGCUGGGGUUAUCACAAACCUUGAGAGGGAGCUUCUUUGUGUCAAGAGUAGUGUAUUAUUCUGCACGGUAGUCACUCAAGAUUGUUCGGUGUAGUCAAAGUCUUGUCGAUACGAUGGGUGAUCUUCAAGUUGUUGGAGGAAUCAAGAAGCUCAACAACCAAAACUAUAACACGUGGGCAACGUGUAUAGAAUCUUACCUUCAAGGUCAAGACUUGUGGGAGGUUGUCGGUGGUAGUGAAGUUACACAACCGGCAGCGGAAGAUGCUAACGGCGUCUUGCGGAAGUGGAAAAUUAAAGCAGGCAAAGCAAUGUUUGCUUUAAAGACCACAAUAGAAGAAGAAAUGUUGGAGCACAUUCGGGAUGCUAAAUCACCGAAGGAAGCGUGGGACACCUUCGCUACACUCUUUUCGAAGAGGAACGAUACAAAAUUGCAACUUCUCGAGAAUGAACUUCUAUCAAUGGUGCAACGCGACAUGGCGGUUGCCCAAUACUUUCACAAGGUGAAGUCGAUAUGCCGUGAAAUUUCAGAAUUAGAUCCGACAGCUGCUAUUGGGGAAGCCAGGAUAAAAAGAAUAAUUGUCCAUGGCUUGAGACCCGAAUACCGAAGCUUUGUAGCCGCUGUACAAGGAUGGCCGACACAACCAUCACUUGUUGAGUUUGAAAAUUUGCUGACAGGCCAAGAAACUAUGGCCAAGAAAAUGGGAGGAGUCUCACUAAAGGGUGAAGAGGAAGCGCUUUACACCAACCAAAGCAGAGGUGGUUCAAGACAGCACAACAAAGGCGGAUCUAGAAAGACUGGUGAACAGACAAAAAGUCAUCAGGGAGGGAAUGGCUCUCGUCCAGGGGGAGCUUCGAAGAAUCGUGACAGUAAUAGAAAGUUCGAUGGCGAAUGUUACAAUUGCGGGAAGAAGGGCCACAUGAAGAGAGAUUGUUGGUCCAAAAAGAAGUCUACCGAAAGCAAUAUUGCUACUUCUAGUUCUAAAGAAGAUAGUGAAGAUAGCUGGGAUGCCGAAGCAUUACUCGCUAUGGAGGAAGAAGAAUUAGCUCUCACGGUAACAACACCAGAAAAGAUUAACUACGAGAAUGAUUGGAUCGUAGACUCAGGCUGCUCAAAUCACAUGACGGGUGAUAGACAGAAGUUGCAAAACUGUUCUGAGUACAAGGGAAAUCGUGUGGUGGUAACAGCUGACAACUCAAGGUUACCGAUAGCUCACAUCGGUAAAGCGAUCGUUACACCUCGAUAUAGUCCCAACCAAGUGCCACUUCAAGAUGUCUACCAUGUUCCAGGAAUGAAGAAAAAUUUGCUAUCCGUAGCUCAAUUGACAUCAUCAGGCCACUAUGUCUUGUUUGGUCCACAAAAUGUGAAGGUAUUUCGAGACCUGAAGAUCUCAGAAAACCCUACGAUGGAGGGACGACGAUUGGAGUCAGUUUAUGUGAUGUCAGCUGAGUCUGCAUACGUAGACAAGACAAGAAGGAAUGAGACGGCAGAUCUGUGGCACAUGCGGCUAGGUCAUGUUAGUUAUUCCAAGCUAAGUGUGAUGGUGAAGAAGUCGAUGCUUAAGGGACUUCCACAACUUGACGUGAGAACAAAUACUGUUUGCGCGGGAUGUCAAUAUGGUAAAGCACAUCAAUUGCCAUACGAGGAGUCGAAGUUUAAAGCAAAGAAACCAUUAGAGUUAAUUCACUCUGAUGUGUUUGGACCAGUUAAGCAACCAUCAAUUGGCGGAAUGCGGUAUAUGGUUACGUUCAUUGAUGAUUUCUCCAGAUAUGUAUGGGCUUUCUUCAUGAAAGAAAAAUCUGAAGCAUUCUCAAAGUUCAAAGAGUUCAAAGAGAUAGUCGAAGGAGAAGUGGAGCAAAAGAUUCGUUGCUUGCGCACAGACAACGGGGGUGAGUAUAGCUCGAGAGAGUUUUCUCAAUACCUACGGGAAUGCCAAAUACGUCAUCAGUAUACUUGUGCCAAUACGCCACAACAAAAUGGUGUAGCAGAGAGGAAGAAUCGGCACCUUGCUGAAAUUUGCCGGAGUAUGCUACAUGCGAAGAAUGUACCUGGAAGAUUUUGGGCCGAAGGUAUGAGAACUGCAGCUCAUGUCAUCAACAAGCUUCCUCAACCAAGGUUGGAGUUUGUUUCACCCUUUGAGAAAUUGUGGAACAAGAAACCUACAGUUAGCUAUUUUCGAGUAUUCGGUUGUGUAUGCUAUGUAUUUGUUCCUGACCAUCUACGUAGCAAGAUCGAUAAGAAAGCAGUCAGAUGUAUCUUUGUGGGAUACGACAAUCAGCGAAAAGGGUGGAAGUGUUGUGAUCCAGUAGAUGGAAGGUGCUACACAUCACGAGAUGUGGUGUUUGAUGAAGCAUCCUCAUGGUGGACCUCAGAAAAAGAAGUGCUGCCAGACUCGAAAGAAUUCGGAGACAUGCUACAACAAAAGAUGGGGGAGCAUACUGUCCAAAUUCAUCUAAGCUCAGCUGGGGAUCUAUGCGAUAGUGAUAGCGAACGAAGAGUAACUCUAAAUCCUUGGCAAUCUGGGGUGUAUCGACAACCAGAUGAAGAAGGUGUGCCUAGUGAAACAGAAGAAUCAACUCCAUUACGAAGGUCAACAAGAACCCGAAGGCCAAAUCCCAAAUACGCUAAUGCAGCCAUAGUUGAAGAAGCAACUGGAAUAGAACCUGAGACGUUCGAAGAAGCGUCACAGAGUUCUGAGUGGAUGACAGCUAUGAAAGACGAGAUCACUGCACUUGAGCAAAAUCAGACCUGGGAACUCGUGCCAAAGCCAAAAGAUGUGAAACCCAUAUCCUGCAGAUGGGUUUACAAAAUAAAGCACUGUCCAGAUGGGUCAAUCGAGAGGUACAAGGCUCGAUUGGUAGCUCGUGGUUUCUCUCAACAAUAUGGACUAGAUUAUGACGAAACGUUUAGUCCAGUGGCAAAACUUACAACCGUCCGAGUCUUACUUGCACUUGCAGCCAACAAAAGCUGGAACUUGUGGCAGAUGGACGUGAAGAAUGCCUUUCUCCAUGGAGAGCUGGAUAGAGAGAUCUACAUGAUUCAACCGAUGGGUUUUCAGAACCGAGGUCACCCUGAGUAUGUGUGUAAACUGCGAAAGGCUCUCUACGGACUAAAACAAGCACCCAGGGCGUGGUAUGGCAAGAUUGCUGAAUUUCUAACUCAAAGUGGGUAUUCAGUAACAUCUGCAGACUCCAGCUUGUUUGCUAAAGCUAAUGGAGAAAGGAUAGCUAUUGUGCUCGUGUACGUAGAUGAUCUAAUCAUCACUGGAGAUGAUGUUGAAGAAAUUUUCCGAACAAAGGAGAACUUGUCAGUUCGUUUUCAAAUGAAAGAACUUGGACAACUUAAGCAUUUCCUUGGGCUAGAGGUUGAUCAGACGAAAGAAGGGAUAUUUCUUUGUCAACAGAAAUAUGCCAAAGAUUUGUUGAAGAAGUUUGGGAUGCUAGAAUGUAAGCCGAUCUCAACACCGAUGGAACCAAAUGCCAAGAUGUGUGCACAUGAAGGCAAAGACCUGGAAGAUGCAUCGAUGUAUCGACAAUUAGUGGGUAGUCUAAUCUACUUAACCUUGACUCGACCUGACAUUUCUUAUGCAGUUGGCGUGAUGAGUCGAUACAUGCAAAAUCCGAAGAAGUCUCAUUUAGAAGCGGUUCGGCGAGUACUCAGAUAUGUGAAGAGUACAAUAGACUAUGGUCUUUUAUACAAGAAAGGUGGAAAUUGCAAACUAGUUGGCUACUGUGAUGCUGACUAUGCAGGAGAUCACGAUACUCGCAGAUCAACUACUGGGUAUAUGUUUACCCUUGGAUCUGGAACGAUUUCUUGGUGUAGCAAGAGACAACCGACUGUGUCCAUGUCAACUACGGAAGCAGAGUAUCGAGCAGCAGCAAUGGCAGCUCAAGAAAGCACGUGGCUGAUACAACUAAUGAAUGAUCUACAUCAACCACUAGAUUAUACAGUUCUGUUGUACUGUGACAACCAAUCGGCAAUUCGGCUGGCGGAGAAUCCUGUUUUUCAUGCAAGAACUAAACAUGUGGAAGUGCAUUACCACUUUGUUAGGGAAAAAGUUCUGCAAGAAGAGAUUGAGAUGAGGCAAGUCAAGACAGAUGAACAAAUUGCUGACUUGUUUACAAAAAGCUUGAGUGUUGGAAAGUUUGAACAUUUCCGUCGUCAGCUUGGCAUGAUUCAAAGAAUGGGGGCUAACAUUGAGGGGGAGUGUUGAGAAGUCAAUAUUAGCCCAAAUAAGUCCACACCUAAAUUAAUUUGAUGUCAUUGCUUACAUCAAUUUAGUUAGGUGAAUAUUAGCCCAAAUAAGUCCACACCUAAAUUAAUUUGAUGUCAUUGCUUACAUCAAUUUAGUUAGGUGAAAAUUAGGUAUUUUUCCCAUGUUUAAUUUCAAUGGUUUAAAUUAGUUUGUGGUUAUUUUAAUGAGUGGUUUAGAUUGUUUCUUGUAACCUAUAAAUACCUCAUUUGUAUUUGAGUUUUAUUAUUCAACAAUAAAAAGCUUUAUUAUAAGCAUUUGAAAGCUUUCUUAAGAGUUCUUCUCUUUUUGCAAUUUUGUGAGAUUAUUCUAAAGAGAGUUUUUCUUCUUCUUGAUCAAUUAGAGUUUUUACUCUAUUUUGAUUCAACAUAAACUUCAGUAAAGUUGUUUCAGUUAUCUAUGUAAUCAGGCUAAGGAUAUUUAGCAGCUUAUUUAGGCAACUGCCAGAAUUCAGUUUGUUCGCUCGAAACUUGUAUGGUGACAAGGAUACUGGCAAGGAUAGUGAGAUAGUUUUUUGUGCGAGUGAAUUUUGAAAGCUUGGGUGUUCUGGGAUUUGCAAUUGCAAUCAUCCUCUGCUUUAGGUGAUUUCUUCUCCUCUUCUGUCUUUAUUUUCUCUCUAAUUGAAAGCAUAAAGUAUUUCAAUCAAAUUCUGUACCAGGAAUACGAAAAAUUUACUAAUAUUUUAUUUCCAUCUGUUUGCAUUGAUAACUUGGCCGCUUAUGUACUAGUUAAAGAACAAACAGAAGCAGAGUUCAGGAAAAAGUUUCUUCGGCCACCAUAUUUUAAAAUGAAACCAUUUCCAGGAAGCAGUUGGCAGCAAAUUCAUAGAAAGUAUAGACAAUGAUGAGCAAAAAGGUGAUUCGCAAUUUCAUUUUUUUAAAAUGAAAUUAUUUGUUAAGUUGGAGCUGAUAUUGUUAGAAGGCCAUUGAGCUAACCUAUGACACUGCUUGCCUAGAUUGCAGGAGGUCAAGACUCAAAAGAUGCACUGAAUUUUAAAAGGCAUGCAAUAAUUCUUAUGGCCAUUUGUCAAUGGUGGAAUGCUUUUAGCUUCUUUUCCUUUCGUGCAUUUUGGGGUUCUAUCAAGCGACAGCCGUAUGUAUGGACGGAUAUAGCUGCUGCGUUGAUUUCUAAUGCGUUGUAUGAUGUUAUAGCAACUAUCUAUCUGGUCAAUGUUUCAAAAGAAUAAGACACAGGGAAAAAGAGAAAGCAAGUGGCCAAUCAAGUAUUCAUGUCCCAAAGAAAAGAAUGAUUCGACAAUAGCAUUAAGGGUUAAUUGGACACAACAGAAGUGUUUUAACCACUUCAAGGAAUGUAAAUGUAAUUUUCCAUUCUAAAGAAAAAGUAAAUAUAUGCACUGUCAAUUAAUCUUUGGUCAACCAGCAACAUUCAUAAUUUCGUGUAAGUUUCAUUUCUGUUUGUUGGAAAUAGCAGUGUAUUUCUGAGAGUUUGUUCAAAAUGGAAAGAUUUUAAAAUAUAAAUUUCACAUCUGUUUAUUACUGUUGUUUGGUCUAAUUUCUUAUGUAGAAUUUUCAGAAUCUGUCGGACAUUAGUUUAUAAUUUUGAGAUUUUGCAGCCAUAAAUUUUUUUUUUUUUUGGUUGCCAUUUUAUUUUGCUCCUUUAUCUAUGUGCAUGUUGACUGGCUGCAGUGAGUGAAAAUUUACCCAUAUUUGCUGGCUAUUCUUGGACAAUAUUAGAGAAAAUAAUCAUAUUAUUUCGCGUGAAGUGAACUUCCAUAACUUAUCAAUUGAAUUGCUGUAAAAUAUUAAAUAGUUUUAUUUUUCUUUUAUCGUGUAACUUGGACCAAAAAAGGAAAUGAGUUUAACAUGACCCUCAUUCCGGCACUAUGCAUGUUUUUCUUGUAUUGAUGACAGUGCUCUUGGUGCUUCUCAUCUGCUUCUUGCUUUGGUUUCAAACAAGUCUUUCUCCGUCGAGACAUUUAUUGUAAUUUCAUUUGGAGACAUAUAUCUGUCGUUCAAAUAUAUUUCAUAUGCAAGCUGUUAAUAAUUCUGCUUGCAGAAAGCCUACAAAGCAGCUGUGUGAUGUAAUAGAAGACCAUAGUCUGGUCAAUUUUUCAGCAUUAGAUAUUCAGGUCAUCAGCUUCUCAUGAAUUCUUUCCUGAGUUUCUUUGAAUUAUUUGUGAUGUAAUAACUUGUGCAUUUGAGAAACUGUUCUCUUGAAUUCUUUCUUGAGUUUCUUUGAAUUAUUUGUGAAUAAGUUGUUAAUCGGCUGCUUCUCUUCAGGAUAAGGAAAGUGUUGCAAACUGGUGAAGCAGCUGAUAGAUAAAAGCAAUGGGUACAUCUUUGCUGGCAUGGAUCGAUGCCAGUGCGGUUGAAUUCAGCAAGACUGCCGUUCGUGAUGUUGUUGAUUGGGAUUAUUUUCAACCUUAUGAUUCUCAUAUCCAUAGAACCUUUUGGUUAUUUAAUCAUAUUUCAUCGUAUGCAUCCGCAUCUUCAUGUGCGUUUGAGAAACUGUUUUGCGGUUAGGCAGGUUUCAAUCUUGAUUCAUGCGUCUUUCAUAAAUGUACAAAAUUAUGGAAACUUCUUUUUCCCAGAUAUUAUAUCUGCACUUAUUCCCAUGUAAUCGAGUCAGACAAGUUUUGCUUAACAAAGAUGUCUACAGUCGCUGAAGUGCAGGAGGAGUACAUUAAGGGUGAUGACAACAUUGAUUAACCCAACCCAACCUGUAAAAAAUCACACCGGUUAGGUUGGUUUCACGGAUUGGGCGGGUUGGUGCCCACCCAUAAAUAUAACCUCCAUUUCAGUACAAUGCAUGUUAAUUGUUCUCCAAGGACUUCUCUUGUUUCCCAUUCCCAACCUCCAUGCUCUCGAGAGGAAUUUGGCACCCAUCAAUUUUUAUUUUUGAAAACUCGUAAUGGUCUGAUAAAAUUAAACAACAUCAAUAACGUUACCAGUCUUUAAAUAGUAAUUAAUUUAUUUAAUUUGCCACCUAAAAGAAUCCUGCUGGAAAUAGAGGUUAAAAAUUUUAUUAGAUCUGCUUACCUUUGUUCAUUCAGCAAAAACACUUACAAUUCAUAGCUAGAGAAUCUAUCCAUUGACAAUUGUGGAUUAAAAUUAUAACACCUGAAUUCAAACAUAUCCUUAUGAAGUUAUGAAUUUGUUCAUACUUCAAAUGAUUUUUUUUUCCCCAAGCUAAUAAAGCGACCACUUUGAUCAAACAACGAUGUUGAAGGAAUUGCGUAUUUUCAAUGUCCUUUUCCAGACAGACGUUCGAGAGAGGGAAAGGAGAAGACUGGCCUAAUUAAGAUAUCUCACAAAGAUUAUUAUUGAGUUAAAAUGUUAUUGUAAAAGAUGUUUAAUACAAUAAUAGUACUUCUUUUGCAUUGUUAUAAUGAGGCUGGUGGGUUUCCUCAGAGGAUGGAUCUGGCUCGCUAGUAUGCAUUUGGGAAGCUGCUAAUUAUCGGCCAUAAAAAGUCAGGGGGUUGUGGCUGUUCCGUCGCCCAGAAAUUCCUAAACUCAUAUAUCAAAUUUCGGAUGAACUUGGGCAUUAUGUAAAUAUGUAUUUUUGAGAAUUAAACUAGUGCGUUAGAAAAAUUUUGAGCCACUGUAAUCAUUUGAUUUUGCUAAGAGAAAAUUUUACUCUGUGUUUCGCUUUGCCUUUUGUUUUUUCUGUGAUAAUAUGAUUCAUACGAAUGUGAUUACACACUAUCAUGCAUCUAUUUUCAUUUGCUUGUCAUGAAUGAUCAACAUGCUCGAAAUAUUUAUAUAGGUUGGAAAUAUUUAAAUCUAUUAAAAUACUAUACACACCCAUUUUAAAAUAAAAAUAUGAUUAUUAUAAUGAUCGCGAAGGUAACACGAUAUCAUAAAUAAAAUAAAAUAUUUCGCAAAAAAGAUAAGAUACGCUUGAAUACAUUGGUAUAAAAAAUAUUUUAGUGGAUUCAAGUAGCACUAAUGCUCCCUUAUCAAAAAAUAUAUAAAGAUAACUAAUCUGAUUGGGUAUACCGUGUGUGUGUGUGUAAUAUUUUUUGAUAUUAUUAUAUAAUAUUUUUUAAAAAGAAGAGAGAGUGGGCAAAGUUCAAAUCAAUUUUCUAAUCCCUAUCUCCUUUAGGAUUUAAACUUCGGUGUUUAGUGUCACGGGUCGCUCAAAUUUUCUAGUCAAAGAGGCUAAAUUGCACGAAAUUGUGCUAGCUUAUUUGAUUUUAAAAUUUUCCAAUGCACUGUAACACACUCUCAUGCUUGUACAUAGCUCGAAAAUCUCUAGAAUUUACCAGAGUAGUGUAGCAUGUAGCUUGUACAUAGGUUUUUCUGGAACACUCCAAGCAUUACUAAGCAUAAGAGCUUUGAGAACUCUCUAGACAUAAAACAUUCAAGGGUAGGCCUGCCCUAAAAAUAGGGCAUGAUGAUUGCCAUUUGAGCAUACAAGAAGUAAGAACAAAUCAAGUAUAUUUGUAAGCUCCCAAACUCUCUCGUACACACUCCUGUGAAUAUUAUGCUUUCUCUUUGACUAUAUUACUCUCUCUUCUCUCUAGUUUUUUUUCGCAAGUAUCAUAUCUUAGCUAGUCGAAAAGUUCAAGUAAGAAUGAUAAUUUUUCCUGAUGGGAUGGGAUGGGAUGGGAUCCUGUGGGAUCCCAUCUCAUUUAGGACGGGAUUGGGAUACAUUUUUAUCCCAUAAAAAAAUAUAGGGACGGGAGUAGAACUUUUUUUAUCCCACUUGUAUCUAUGGGACAGGACUGAGAUUAACAAAUCCAGUCUCGUCACGUCUCGUCUCAUUGCCAACUAGGGAUGGAAAUUUUUCCAAUUGAGAUGGGCUCUCACAGAAUCCCAUUUUUUUGGGGAUGCGAUUGAGACAUAUUUUUAUCCCAAAAAAAUAUAUCGACAGUGACACUUUUUUUUAUCCCACUUGCAUAUUCGGGACGAGACUGAGAUUAGUAAAUCCCACUCUAUCCCAUCACAUUGCCAACCCUAAGUUCAAGGCUUACUUUGCAACUAUCUCAUAAAAGUUGUUUUAAGUACCACAGGAGUUUGUUGUGCAAAAUACUCAUCCCGUGACAUUAGCUAAAUAAAAUUGUUUGAAAGCCACUUACCCAAACUAUUAAACAAAUAUUAUUCUUUUAAUAUGCAAUCUUUUAAUAUAAACUUUUGUCUUAAUUUUCUAUCUCCUACAAUAAAUUUUAUGAUUUUAAAAAUUGAAAAAAUUAAUAACUUUUAGAUAGAGCAUUCCUUACUGUUAAAAGAAAUAUGAAUGGUAAUAUAAAACUUACUUAUUAUAGUAUAAUGCUUUUAGUUUUUUGAAAUAAGGUUCUUAUUUUUUUCAAGAUAAAAUUCAAAGAAAACAAGUUAAAUGUUGUGGAAAAUCUUACGCCCAUACAAUAAAUUAUGACAGCUAAAUGCAAACCUGGCUGAAGUAUUAGUUGUUUUAUUACAAUCUCCAAAAAGAUGAGCACUUCCAAAAUCUUUCUUUGUAACAAUAAACACUACUGGUCAGCAACUAUCCAAGUCAAAAGUAACUCAAUGUGAGUCUUAGUGCACUUGCAGUGAAUCCCAAGAUAAACUAAUUUCACUAGCAAGUUGGAUACCAAAGAGUAAGGCUUCAGCCUCAAUUAUAUUAAAAUCUGAGUAAACAUUAAAUACCACAAUCAAACUCAGAAAUCAUAAUUAAACUAUCAUGAUUAAAAAUAAAGUUUUUUUUUUAGAUAUCCGUUUGUAGUAUCUCUUUAGAUGACAAAUAGGAGAUAAAAUAAAUAAAUAUUGGUUGCGUAAAUAAAAUAAAUAAUUUUUUUAACUGAAAAAAAUUCCUAAAAACUAAAUAGUUCAAACUUUUUUUAACAUGAAAUAAAUAUUAGAUGCGUAAAUAUAAAAAAAUUAACUGAAAAAAUUUCCCAAGAACUAAAUAGUUCAAACUUUUUGUUUAACAUCAUGGGUUUUGUAUAUUCAAUUGAACCGAACAACUAAAUUAAAUCGAAAUUACCCUGUUCGGUUCAAAUGAAUAGACGAAAACCGAACAGUUCAUAUUUUUUGAACUGAUGGUGCGUUUACUUCAUGAAAUGAAAAUAUGGUGGAAUGAGAAUGGGCUGGAAAUGAGAAUGUGUUGAAAUGAGAAUGAAGAAUGAGAAUGAGAUUCUAAUGUUUACUUAAUAAAAAUAAAGGGAAAUGAGAAUGUGCUGGAAUGUCAUUGAUGUGUUUAUUUGACAAAAUAAAUGGGAAUAAAGAAUGAGAAUGAGAAUUAAUUUACCAAAAUACCCAUAGUAUUAAAUAAUAUAAUUUUUAUUUUACUAGAUACAUGUAUAAAUAUUAUUAUAAAAAUAAUAUUAAUUAAAAUAAUAAAUGUUAAGAAUGAUAAUAUUAAUAAAAAUAAUAAUAACAAUAAUUAAUAAUAACUAAAAUAAUAAAGUUAAUAAAAAUAACAACAACAAUAAUAAUAAUAAUAAUAAAUGUUAAUGAUGAUGAUGAUGAUAAAUGUUAAUAAUGAUAAUAUUAGUAAAAAAAUAAUAACAGUAAUUAAUAAUAACUAAAAUAAUAAAGUUAAUAAUAAUAAUAAUAACAUUUAAAAUAAUAAAAUUAAUUGUGAUUUGAAUCAGAGUAAUUCGAAAAAUAUAAAAAAAUUAAAAUGAUACAAAAAUAAACAUAAAUUUUAUCCCCGUUCCCUCAUUUUCAUUCUCAAUUCCCCAUGAAAAUAGAAUUCCCAUUUCUUAUUUUCAAAUUACGGAAUCCCCAUAUUUUAUUAUCAUUCCCAAAUUAUAUUUUACCAAAUAAAUAUAAAUUUUAUUCAUAUUUUUUCAUUUCCAUUCUUUAAACCUUCAAGUAAACACAAUUUUCUUUUAAUUCGGGUUCUGGGCCUGAACCGAACCGUACCGUAAACUGCCCACCCUUACAGUAGUUUUCGGGGUUUUUAAUUAAAUAUGCCUUAAAAGUAGUGUAUUUAGUUAAAUAUACCCAUGUUUGAAAAUUAUCUAAGUAUGCCUUUUUAUGUGGUACAUUGUCUAAAAUAUCCCUAAAGAAAAAUAUAAAACACACACACAACUCACAACACUCUUUGCUUCUCACGUAUUUAUCAUCUAUACAAAAACUCACACCACACUCAAAAUCACUCACAAACAGCUAAUGCACUGAGUUUGUUUGCAGUUGGGUGUAUUAUUCAUCCCAUGAAUAAGGUAUUUGAAACUUUUUUUAUUUUAUUUUGGGCUAUCUAUUCAAUUUGUUGACAUUAUAUUAUUUUUAGGGUUUUGUUUGGUUUGUGAUAAACACUAAAGCAACUCAUAUUUUCAUUACAUUUGCAUCAUAUGACUGUUAUUUGAUGGAUUUUAUAACUACAUUCGUUAAAAUCUGAAGUUGUUGUCAAAUUUUUUUCUGCACCCGACAUACACGACAGCAGUCGUGUAUGUAUGUAUUUACAUGACUGUAGUCGUGAAAAUGUGCAAAAAAUUUCAAUUAUUAUGACACCUUAUUAUUCUAUUGGUUCAAAAAAUAUAUAUUUUUCACUAUAUAUAUCCUUUUACUAUUACUAUACUAUAGUCGUGUGUGUGAAUAAGUUACACGACUACUAACGUGUACGUAUAAACUUACAUACUAUAAUUGUUAAUAAGUUACACGACUACUAUGAACCUUAUAUACUUGUUAUUUUUUGUUGUUUUAAUUUUUUUAAUAUCUUUCAUAUUUAGUGAUAAAUUUUUACCUUUUUGUUUCGCAGAUGAAUAAACAUGUUUGUGUGACUUUCUAAGAACAAGUAUUGAAGGGAGGCGACCAGAGACUUAUAAAAUAUGGACUGAGUGUUUGGGUUGAAUAUGCCAAAAAUUUAUGAUGAAUGUUAAAUAACUUCUAUUAUAUUACGACUUAUUUACGAUUUCAAUAAUUAUUGGAUUUGUGUUAUUUGAUAGGCAAUCGAACUAUAGUUAGUUUCAUUUAUUUGAAGUUUGAUAUGUUUAAAAUCUAUAUUGAUUGUGUCAUCAAUAUAAUGAAUGAUUGAAAAGAAUUUUUAUUCUGUGCACAUACCCGAGUACAAUCGUGUAUUUUGGCUGUUACAAAACUAGUCAUGUUUAUUUCUAAAUACUCGACUACAGUCGUGUAUCUGUGCAAAUACUCGAUUAUCACAGAGAGUUUGUCAUAUUUAUUUCUAAAUACUCGACCAUAGUCGUGUAUCUAUGCAAAUACUCGACUACAGUCAAGUAUUUUGUCACAGAGAGCUUGUUAUUUUUAUUUGUAAAUACCCGACUACAGUCGUGUAUAUGUGCAAAUACCCAACUGCAGUCGAGUAUUUUGUCACAGAGCUUAUUAUGUUUAUUUCCAAAUACCCGACCGCAGUCGUGUAUCUGUGUAAAUACUCGACUGCAGUCGAGUAUUUUGUCACAGCUUAUUAUGUUUAUUUUUAAAUACCCGACCACAGUCGUGUAUCUGUGCAAAUACCCGACUACAGUCGAGUAUUUUGUCACAGAGCGUAUUAUGUUUAUUUCCAAAUACCCGACCGCAGUCGUGUAUUUGUGCAAAUACCUGACUGCAGUCAUGUAUUCUCUUACAGUGUAUUCCUUGUGUAUAUAUUGUGCAAACUAUCUUAUCUAUCAUUAAUAUAAAUAACAAAGAAAUAAAAUAUAUUAAUGCUGUCAAUUGUCUUUAAUGACAUCAAAUAUCAAUAACAUCCUCAUUACAACUAUUACAUCUCAUAAUCUAAAAAAUGACACUACAAAGUUUUUUUCCAUGACCUAUGCCCAAAUAAUUUUACAACCAAGGCUUGUCGAAAUUAUGUAACAUGAUUUUGUUGGCAUUAUGAAUUGACAUCAAGUCCAUGGACUAGGACCUCCAAGUACCGCAACAAAAAUGCUCCACAUUCACCACUAAAAAAAUUCAUAUAAAUCAAUUGUUAAAAAUCAUCAUUCUUAUUAUUAUGUUCAAAACACAUUAUAUAUAUAGUACAUACCCUGAUUUUUGUUGCGGGAUGUCACGCACUCGCACGAUGGGCCAAGGAAUUUUCGAAAUAACCUCACUACAGUCUGGAUGUGUUUCGUGAUAUGCUAUCUUCUGAAGUACUAGAGGUAUCAUGUCUGCAACAGGCAGCAAUUGUCUCACCAAAACUGAAUCCUUUGUUAAGUCUAUCAUGGAGUCAUAAAUAGAAAUCUUGCCCCCAAGUAUAUCGACCACACCGAGAACCCAAUGAUCAUUCAUGAAUAUUGGCAAAUACACCUACGAAAUACAGACAAUAUUCUUAACAAGUAACGGCAAAUAUAUCUACGAAAUGCUGUAACUGUUUUUAUCUACUUGCAGUUGAUUUAUUAAUAGUAUACUAUCAAUAGUUUUAUGCUAAAACAAAUAGCAAAUUGUUAAUAAAUUAGAAUUGUAAAAUAAAGGUUCUACAACAAAUAAUAGAGAAAACCCAGAUUGUAGCAUAAUGAAUGCAUACGCAGUUGAAGAAAAUUGAUAUAUAAUUCCCAUGGAUGAAGUUCAACUACAAACAAUAAGUAAAAUUAUAUAAAGAUCUAAUGCAUAAACUAGUGUAGCCAUAACCGAAAAUUCAUAAGGAUAAUAUUUAAUUAGGAACUCCCACAACCAUUAUUAAAGAGCUAUUAAUUCACUCUCUUCAAUUUCAAAUUCACAAGUUAAAGAAGCUUCAUUACAUUACCAACAAGAAAGAUUAUCAGUAAAUAAGCAAGAUAAUGACCAAAAUCAUGUGGGUAAUUUGUUUUUUAAAACCCUAUUGCAUAUAACCCUAACAAUUAUGCACCAUAAAUUCUCUUUAUAAAGUAAAAAAUAAGUGUAAAUGUGGUUAAUGACCUUUAGUUCGGUGAAUUUCCAGCCUUUAAUUCGGUGAUUUUGUAGCCUUUAAUGUGGUGGAUGAACUUGCAGCAGCAGGAGCAUGAACUUGCAGCAGCAGGAGCAUGAACUUGCAGCAGCAGGACAAGCGUUGUGUAUGGUAGCUCGUGAAUGCAGAUUUUGAAAUUUGAAGAAUUAAAUUGGGGUAAUUUUAUAAUUGCACAUUGAAAAAGGUAUAUAAAAAAAAUUUUGAAUUAUGGGGGUAUAGUUGGAUAAAUACCUAACCUUUAGGGUAUAGCGGGGACAAAUCCCUGGUAGUUUUCAUUAACCGACGUUGUACUGCUGGUAUGAAGUUGUUCAAAUGUUCAAAUCAGUCUCUCGCUUUCAGCUCAGUCAGAGUUUCCAGGUCCAGAGACUUCCCGCUGACUGAGAGCUUUUUUAGUAGCAGGUCUACAAAUAAAGGAAUAGAGCUGAUUUAAUGAUUAAUUUAUUUCCUUUUUCAAUUUCUUUUGAUUGCCAUUUAAUCUGGAUAAGUUAAACGUGAAUUAUUUAGUGCAGAUUAAAUGUUCGACGAAUUUCCCGCAAGAAUAUUAAGCUAAAGAGAAAAAAAGAAAACAAUUGAGCGUGAGCGGGAAUGGUGUUUGGCCAAGUGGUGAUUGGUCCGCUCGGCUCGGGAAAGACCACUUACUGCAAUGGCAUGUCUCAGUUUCUCCGCCUUGUUGGCAGGUAACUCCGUUUCUUGAUUUCAAGCAGCUUUAUCUUUGAUGGCCAAAAAAAUUGAUUUGGGCUUUGCCCAUUAAAUGAAUGUAAGAGCGGUAGGGAAUAACUGAGUUAUAGGAUUAGCUUUAAGUGAACAUUGAUGGUAACAUGCAUGUGAAUGUUGUAUGUGUUCAGCGGCAAGCUGUAUGCCAAUUUGGUCUAUAUGGUUGCUUCGGUGGUAACUUAUUAAUUUUUAUGCAGGAAGGUUGCAGUCAUCAAUUUCGAUCCUGCUAAUGAUAGUUUGCCAUAUCCUUUGUCGUUGAACUUUCUUACAAAUGCUGUGGUUUGUUGUAGUACAAUUAGUUCAAUCAGAAACUUCCUUGAUGUUAAUAUAGAUAUGAGUGUGCUGUGAAUAUUGAGGACUUCAUUAGACUAAGUGAUGUGAUGAUGGAGCAUUCACUUGGUCCCAAUGGAGGUUAGUCAGCCCAUUGUUGUUUACUCUUUCUUGCUUUAUCACGCAAUGAUAUUCCUUUGCUUUACAACAAAUUUCGUGAAAUUAACUUCAAUCAAGUGGCUAUGUUCAUACGCUGUUGAGAUUUUAUGGACAAAGAUUUGGUAGACUUUAUAUGCCGUCUUCUUUCUUUUUGCAGUGAUAUGUUUGUCUUCAAUGCACUUGUACUUGUUCUAUGGUUUCUAAAGUAGGUGUUUUUAUGAUAAACUAGGUCUUGUGUAUUGUAUGGACUAUCUAGAGAAGAAUAUUGACUGGUUGCAGUCGAAAUUGGAACCACUUUUGAAAGGUAAGAAGUGGCCAUUUUCCUUCAUUCUAAUGCCAAUAAUGCUGUCAUGAGACUCAUAAAAAUUGUUAAAAUGUUAAUGUUUUUGGUAUUUUGCAGAUCAUUAGCUUCUGUUUGAUUUUCCUGGCCAAGUUGAAUUAUUUUUUCUUCAUUCCAAUGCCAAGAAUUUUAUAAUGAGACUCAUAAAGAAGUUAAAUCUCAGUGUAUUGUUACAUCUUACGUCUAUGAAGGCACUCAAAGAGUUGAGAUGAAUUCAUCAUUGUUAUUUUGAUGCCAGAAUUGUGCAAUUCUCAGUUGCUUCCUUUCACAUGCAGUUGACUGCAGUGCAUCUAGUUGAUGCGCAUCUUGGCAGUGACCCCGGGAAGUAUGUUAGUGCUUUGCUUCUCUCAUUGUCUACGAUGCUCCAUCUGGAACUUCCCCAUGUCAAUGUCUUUUCUAAGAUCGACCUGAUUGAGAAUUAUGGAAAGCUAGGUGUGGUUUUAAGUGUAGCUCUCCUACUUGUUUGUUUAGUUUGAAAUAUCAGAUAUUGUCACAAGCUCCUAUCUGCUACGUUUCCUCACCAUUCAUUUACUUUGGGUAUGUUGCAGCUUUUAAUCUCGAGUACUAUAUGGAUGUGCAAGAUUUGUCAUAUUUACAGCAUGCCUUGGGUCAGGACCCUCGUUCUGCUAAGUACAGGUUUGAAUUCUAGCUGAAUCAAUGAUGCAAAUUAUGUCCAUUGCUAUUUCUGACUAUUGUUUCUAUCAUUUUCAAUUGUUACCUCCCCUUUCCAUCUACUGCCACACUACAAUGCCCACACAAAUAUCAUGAAAUUUUUCAAUGGAAAUGCCUUUCUGUUUGUCCAGAGACAGCUCUUAGAUGCAAGUGACCAAUUUUUGGCUUUGGCCAUGUUACAGCCUUAGAUUUCAAUUUGCCAUAUCUUGUCUCGGAAGUCAAAAGAAAGCAUAUUUGUUAGCCAAAUUUUAUUUGAAUUUCUUGUGUAACAAUGAAUGGGGGAAAAAAAAAAGUUCCUCUUUUGUUUUGAUCAGACUCAAUGAAUAAGUGGUUAAAAUGUGCCUGUACUAGAAAUAUAGAUGUGAGGUUUCAUAAAAUUUUCUUAAUCUUAAGAAAGAGUUAUCUUGAAAAGAAGAUAACAUGGAGAAUUCAACAACUAUACAGUCAUAUUGAUGUCUGUCAACUUGGGUCAUAUGGUGUUGUUUGGAUGGAGAUGUUAGGUCCCAGAUGGUAUACUUGUUAUCAAAUUCCAGUCUACUUCAUUCAUGCUUUGAUGACAUAUGCGGUGCAGCUUCUUAUCUAAGACCUGCAUAUGUUACAGUCAACAUUCUGUUCUGUAACUCAACCUCAGGAAUCUGCUUGUAUGGUGUUCUUCUAAUUUCAAAUGGAGAUAAGUAAUAUCUGUUGUUCAAAUAUAUUUUAUUUACAAGCUGUUAAUAAGUCUGCUUGCAGAAAGCUUACAAAGGAGCUGUGUGAUGUAAUAGAAGUCUACAGUCUGGUCAAUUUUUCAACCUUAGAUAUUCAGGUCAUCAGUUUCUCUUGAAUUCUUUCUUGAGUUUCUUUGAAUUAUUUGUGAAUAAGAUCUUAGUUGGCUGCUUCUCUUCAGGAUAAGGAAAGUGUGGCAAAACCUGUGAAGCUGAUAGGUAAAAGCAAUGGGUACAUCUUUGCUGGCAUGGAUGCCAGUGCAGUUGAAUUCAGCAAGAUUGCCAUUCGCGAUGUUGAUUGGGAUUAUUUCAGAUAUCCUUCUGUUCACUUAUUUUGAAUCUUGUUAUUCUCAUAUUCAUAAAACUUUUUGGUUAUUAUUAUGGUUCAUCAUAUGCAUCUACAUCUUCUAACUUGUUCGUUUGAGAAACUAAUUUUGCCGUUAGGUAGGCUUCAAGCUUGAUUCAUGCUUUUUUCAAAAAUGUACCAAAAUCAUGGAAACUUCUUUUUCCCAGAUAUUGUAUCCACACUUUUCCCAUAUAAUUGGGUCAGACAAGUUUUGCUUAACAAAGAUAUCUACAGUAGCCGAAGUGCUGGAGAAGUACAUUAAGGAUGAUGACGAUGUUAACUAAAAUGGGACGUGAAGAUAUGUGGUGUGCAAACCGUAAGCCUGCCUCUUAUUUUUGUGCAUGUUUACUUGCUUGUGAUUCACGUUUGUUAAUCUAUUUUGCUCUCUUGCAGGAGUUAUAAAGUUUUCAAUCAAUCAAACAUUUUAACUUAAGUCCUUAGCUCUUCACGGCUUGAAUGGGUCAGAUAGGACAAGCGCCGAAGAGGUGGUUUUAAUCAAACCCCUCCUAAUUAUGAUGUAUGGCCCGAAUCUCGGACUUUUUUUACAAUAUCAAGCGAUUUUUUUUAGUUGAAUCGGCUAGUGUACACAAAUGUCGAUUAUUGAUUUUUCUUUAGUAUUGUUUGUAAUUACAAGAAACGAAGUAAUGAAAUUUAUCAGUGCGUUCAUAGUUACGCUUAAGCUCAAAGAUUACCGUCAAGAUCAUCAACCUGCUGAUGAUCUGAAGCUUCCAUAGAAAAAGGAACCGGACAAAACCCAAGAGAGAGAACAAAAAUAAAUUAAUUAAAAAAAAAGAAGAAAAAUUGCCAAAGCUACUGGUCAGUUGACAUCAAUCUUUUGCACGUGGGAUGGAAAUGGAACACUGGGCACUUUGGAUGACUCAUAACUCACAAGAGAGCAUCGAAUUUAGGCCGAAUCAUAUAAAGUACGCUAAGCCUUAGUGCGUGCGCUGUUGCGUUGCUGUGUCUGCCGGUGAGAAUAAUUUUUCGUUUUUAAGGUAAUUUUCAUUUAUUUAUUUAUUUUUUUGGUGCAUAUGGUCGAACACUUGGUGGGCACCUCAGUUUUUGGAAUGUUCUCUUCAAUGAAUACAGGGAAAAAGGGACAAAAAUUAAGAACUUUAUUUUGUUCGCGUGGAAUCGAUAUCUGGAUUGGGAUUGUAUGUCGUGUUUAAUUUGAAUUGGUUGAUUCCUCUAAUGAAUUAUUUGAUAAAUUUAGUAGCAGUAUUUGGUGGCAAAAGUAUCAUUAAUUUUUGGAAAUAUGAUUAUAUUAUUAAUUAUUUUAGCAUUCUAAAAAGUCAAUGGUUAUGUUGGAAAUACUCUAAGGUAGACUAGAGUACAAAUCACAAUCACACAUAAAAAGUGAUAAAUAAUAAAAAAUAUAUUAUAUUUUUGAUCAUAUGAUUAUGAAGAUGUAUUUUACCUUAAAGAAGUUAUAAUAAGCGAAUUCUUUUAAAAAAGAAUAAAAUUUCUUUUUUAUCAUACUCAACCGCUUCAAACUUCUAAGAAGUAGAUAUACAAUGAGUGGAAUACUGAAUUGAGUGCGAGCUGCGGAUAACAUAUAAAAUUGGGAUACAAGCUUCAAAGAAAGUGUAUUGCUAUUCAAAUGUAGAUUUCAAAUUAAGAAGAUAUGCCAGCAAAUUGUAUAAAAAUGUAUAAAUUGAUCAGUAACAUUAAUUCCAAAUGAUGAAAUGAGUUAUCUUGAUCAAAAGGUCAAGAACCUACCUUACUUCUCUUAGAGAUAACUUGCAUCAACCGUUGUGGUAUUGAUACUUGUCUUCAGCUAGUAAAAGUGAAAGUUUCACAAUUGAAAUAAAGCUAAGGGAAGAUGCUAUGCUCCAUUUAUUAUUAUUAUUAUUGACGUGGUCGAGAAGUAAAGCCGUGCAUAUGAUGAAGUAUAAAUAAGAAUGCAAUAGCCCGGAAUUCAUUUACACAAACACUUCAAUAUCCUUUUGAUCACUUUUGCAAACAUCAAUUUGUCUCCUCUUGUAUUCACCAUGGUUGAUGCCAUCGUUUCCACUGUCUUGGAGCAGCUGAUUUCCUUCGCUGCUAAAGAGAUAAAGCAACAGGUGAUCGAAGUUACACCCGCAUAUUAUAAACACUUCUAAUGAUUUUAGUUGGUUUCCUUUUUAUCGAAAACAUUAUUUUUGCUUUAUUUUAUUUAUUUGGCAAUUUUAAAUUUGGAAAUUUGAAUUGAAUUUAAUUAAAAUGUGAUGUAGUUAGUAACCACUUAUUUUUAUUUUAUUUCAUUUAUAUUCUCAAUAACUACUCAUAUUUUGGUAACUUACUAUAACUUCCAUAUCUAAGAAAUUAUCAAAACCCACAAUUUUAACUCAGCACGAAUAUUCAAUGGUGAUCUAAGCUUUUGCAGAACACUCAAGUUUGUCAAACAUUCAUUAAUUCAAUGUUUAGUGAAAAAAACUCUUCUCAGCACAGAAUUCCAUGUCCAUUACUUAGGCUCUCUGAAAAAUUUCAUAAUUUUCAUACAUUCUUUGAGUUUGGUAAGUGAUUUCAUAUAAUUUCUUUUCAAGUUAAAUUUUAAUUUGGCUUCUGAUAUAGUCUCUUUGUUGAAUUUGUAUCUCUUAUGAUUCUUAGAUUUUGGGCUCCAACUUUUGAGGAUAUGAUAGUCACAUUUUAUGCUAUGCUCAGAUUGAUUUUUAUGAUUUUUUGUUCCCGUUAAGUGACUUAGAAUUUGACAAAAGUUUGAUAGGAAAUCUGUUUCACGAUUUUGUUUUAAUUGACCUUUUAGUGGAAAUAAGAUGCUUAUAACUUAAUGUGGAUGGUUUGUAAAAUCAUGAAAUUUGGAUAAUAUAAAUUUGUACGAGACUCUCCAUAAUAUUUCAUGAUUUUUCAUUAGCUCUGGGGUGUUACAGGUGCUACUUGUGACUGGUGUCAAAAAAGAAGUGAAAAAAAUUACCAACCACCUUCAAGCCAUUCAAGCUGUGCUCGAGGAUGCAGAGGAAAAGCAAGUGACGGAAACAGCUGUCAGACUUUGGCUGGGUAGGCUCAAGUCCGCAUCCUACGACAUUGAAGAUGUGUUGGAUGAGUGGAUCACAGCAAGAGGCAAAUUGCAAAUUAAGGGCAGCGUUUAUGACAAUGCUCUUGUUGCUCCUAAUCAGAAGAAGAAGGUAUGUUCCUGCUUUCCUGCCUCUUGCUUUGGUUUCAAACAAGUCAUUUUGCAUCGUGACGUAGCUGUCAAGAUCAAAGAAAUCAAUGAAGAGCUGGACGAUAUUGCCACUCAAAAAGACAUGUUUAAAUUUGUUGGGAGUGUCAGUAAAAGUAGUGAAAGACCAAGACGUGUGCAGAGUACCUCCUUGAUUGAUGAGGAAGAGAUUUGUGGUAGAGUUGGUGAGAGGGAUGCACUCUUAAGCAUGCUGUUGUGUGAGAGCAGUGAGCAACAAAAAGGCCUUCAUAUCAUCUCAAUUGUUGGUAUGGGAGGCAUCGGGAAAACUACUCUUGCACAACUAGCUUGUAAUCAUGACAAGGUGAAGAGUCAGUUCGACAAAAUUUUAUGGGUGUGUGUAUCAGAAACUUUUGAUGAGUUUAGGAUUGCCAAAGCGAUGCUUGAAGCUUUGACUGGUUCAACUUCUAAUUUAGAUGCAUUGCAAUCUCUUCUUAUAAGUAUUGACGAAUCUAUUGCGGGAAAGAGGUUUCUUCUUGUCUUAGAUGAUGUGUGGGACGGAGAUUACAUUAAAUGGGAACCAUUCUACCGUUGCCUAAAGAAAGGUCUCCAUGGAAGUAAAAUUGUAAUUACCACACGUAAUGAGUCAAUUGCCAGCAUGAUGAGAUCCGCAGAUAUUAUCUCUAUCAAGGAAUUGGCUGAAGAAGAAUGUUGGGCAUUGUUUAAGCAGUUAGCAUUUUUCGGUCGAUCCACUGAGGAGUGUGAAAAAUUGGAACAAAUUGGUCAAAGAAUUGCAAGAAAGUGUAAAGGUUUACCUCUUGCUGCAAAGACAAUGGGAAGUCUCAUGAGCUCUAAAAAAACUGAAGAAGAGUGGAAAAGAAUUUUAAAUAGUGAUUUAUGGAAGGUAGAAGAGAUUGAGAAAGGUGUUCUAACCCCUUUGUGGUUGAGUUAUAACGAUUUGCCAUCUAGAGUAAAAAGAUGUUUCUCGUAUUGUGCUGUCUUUCCAAAAGACUACAAUAUAGAAAAAGACAAACUAAUUACUUUGUGGAUGGCUCAAGGUUAUCUUAGUGCAGAAGCAGCAGAACAAGAUGAGGAGUUGGAGACUAUAGGUGAAGAGUAUUUUGGCAUCUUAGCUUCUCGCUCUUUCUUUCAAGAGUUUGAGAAACGUUAUGAUAAUCGUAUUAUAGCGUGCAAGAUGCAUGAUAUGGUACAUGAUUUUGCCCAAUUUGUUAGUCAAAAUGAAUGUUUUUCGUUGGAAGUUAAUGGUAGUGAGGAACUAAACGUCACAAACUCUACAAACUCUCUUGAUGAGAAGGUCCGUCAUUUAAUGUUAAUCUUUAGUAAAGGGACUUCAUUACCUGUUUCCACUCGUAGAGUUAAAAGAAUGCGUACCCUCUUAAUUAACGAUAGUAGAUCUGA
rnacentral:lncRNA from 1 species